rnacentral:lncRNA from 1 species
AUAUGCUCACUGGUGGGAUACCUACAGAAUUAAGCAAUUUGAACUUUCUUGAAGUCCUAAAUCUUUCCAAUAACCAUCUUGUGGGAGAAAUACCUCAAGGAAAACAGUUCGGUACUUUUUCCAAUGAUUCCUAUGAGGGAAACUUGGGGUUAUGUGGACUCCCAUUGACAACAGAAUGCAGCAAGGACCCUGAACAACAUUCUCCACCUUCAACUACCUUCAGGAGAGAACCAGGAUUUGGAUUUGGGUGGAAACCAGUGGCUAUAGGAUAUGGAUGUGGAAUGGUCUUUGGAGUGGGAAUGGGAUGUUGUGUAUUGUUAAUAGGAAAGCCUCAAUGGCUUGUGAGAAUGGUUGGAGGUCAACUAAAUAAAAAGGUGAAAAGGAAGACAAGGAUGAGAUCUAAUGAAAAUGGUAGCAGAAUGAAUUAGUUGAUAUAUGGCAUGACUGGAGAAUGUCUUGUUCCAUACCUGCCAUCUUUGAAAACAAAACUUAAGGGCAAGAACUUUAUCACACUGCAUUGCAUGGGAGAUCUGGUUCAAAGUUUUGCUGUAAUAUGAAUGUGUUAUACUUUUGCUUUUUUUGUGUGUUCCUUUUUGUUUUUUACGGGUAGAAGAGUGCGAUGUAUUGAGCUUGCAGUUUUGAUUUAUUUAAUAAGUAUAACUGUGGCAUUAAUUGGUUGUAUAAUAAUAGAUGUUGUAUAUUUUAAAAAAAUCAUAUGUAUUGGCCAAUGCUAAAAUAUAUUGUAUCUUAAUUCAAGGAGCUGAAUUCACGGUUUUAGCUUCUAUUGUAGACUAUUUAAUUAAUUUGCUAACUAUUUAACCAGCGUGACAUGGCUUUAGAAGCUGAGGUCCAGGGCGUAAGUAUAAGAGCACAAACAAUGCAUACUAAAGGAAGGCCAUGGGUAUAGUCUAGGCCACAUGGUCCGUAGGAUAUCACAUAUUUAUUUUUUAUUAAAUUGUCACUCAAAAAAAUCAACAUUGUCAUUAAAUAAACCAGUGUGCUGUACAAUAAUUCACUUUUUAUCAUUCAAAAGAAAAAAUAAAACUGUUUUAUAAUAUUUACCUUAAUGAUUAAAUAUAUUUUUGUCUUUAAUAAAUAGUUGAUUUUUUUUUCUUCCUAAUAUAUUUUUUUUUUGUUUUGAGUACCUUAUAAAACAAUAAUUUUAUUUUUUGUCUUAGAUAUUUUGUUGUAAUCUCUAAUAAAUUAGUGAAUUUUUUUUACUCCCUCUUGAAUUAUCUAAUUUUAUUUUAGUUCCGACUAAUAACAAAUAAAAAAAUUAUCAAAAAAUAAACACACAAUUUGUGAAUUUAUCAUGGACUAAGAAAAGUAUCAAGGACUAAAAUAAAAUGAUUUUUUUAUUUGAAACUCAACGUAAAGUAAAAAUUUAUUAAAAAUUAAAUAUUUAUUAGGGAUUAAAAUUACAAUUAAAACUUAUCUUAAAGAUUAAAUUUAUUAUAAUUUUUUUAAUUGAUUCACAAGAUAUAAAUAUUUACACUUGUUAAAAUAUACUAUAAUUUCUCUUAAAUUAUUUUAAUGAAAAGCAAUAGUAAAAUAGUAGGAGCUUAAUCUAAGUUAUGUUCGGCAAAUAUCAAGUAAAAUUGGUAAGAGUGUGAGAAACUUCAUUAUUUAUCAUUUCCAACUAUGUCCAAUUAUGUGGAUCAACUAAUGUGGGUUGUUGAGCUAGAGACUCUUGCGAAAAAAUAUUGUCUGAUAAUGAGAAGAAUACAUCAUAAAAAAAAUAGAAAAGAUAAUAAAUUUGUUUAAUAUGGUUCAUACUCUCAUCCUUGCAUUGACAAUCUCAUACAUUUUAAGGACAAUCUAGACAAACUUACUAAAAUUCCCUCCUAACGACUUCCCUCUCUUUGUUAGGGUAGUAACAUUUUCUUCACACCGGAUGCAGUGAUUCUUUUCAUUUCAAAAAAUCUUUAUUUAUAGACCUAACAUUUUAAUCUUAAAUGAAUUUAAAUCUUUAAUUUACAAAUAAUAUAUUUAAUUCUAAAUGGUAUCUUAAAAAUAAGAUAAUAUCUUUUUUAAAAUCUAAACAAUAUCCUAUAAAUUUUUUAAUCAUUGAUUGAACCAUCAUUAAUUCCUACAUCCACAACCUCUAUAUAAGUUUUUAUGACAAGUUAGACAAACUUGCAAACCUUCCCUUAACAUGACUCAAUCUCUCUUGGAGUGUUGACCUAAGCUGAGUGAUUAUUCUUAUCUCAUAAAUCUUAUUUUAUAGACAUAACAUCCUAGUCUUAAAUGAAGAAACAAAUACCUAAUUUAUUAAUAAUAUAUUUAAUUUUAACAACAUUCUAAAAAUAAGAUAAUAUCUUUUUUUAAGAAAACAAUAUCUUAUAGAUUUGAGAAUAUAAAUUUGAAUUGUUUCCGAAUAAAGUCUUGGGUAUGCAGUUAAAUAUUUGAAGAAAAUUUUUUAUCAUUCAUAAUAAUCAUAUUGACUCAAAUAAGAUUAUCUUCAAUGGAAUAUACCUACUAUCCGAAAGAAAAACCUAAGAUGUAAGAUAUACCAAGAAGCAAAGUUGGACUUAUGUAGAUCAACCAACUAAUCCCUAUACCCACUCAUCACCCAAGCUCAGUCAAAACUCGCUUGAGCCCCAACCCUGCAUCUAGGGGUGGAAAUGAGUCGAGCAGUUUGUCGAGGGCCUUUGGCUCGGCCUAUGUAAGGCUUGCCUUUGCUCAGCUUGUUUACUAUAAAGGUCAAGCUCAAACUUUUUUAAAAAGUCUUUUUAGAUAAAAAGGUCAAGCUCAAACUAUAAAAAAAACUUGUUAAGUUUGUCAAGCCGACUUGUUUAACUAAUAAUAAUAAUAAUAAUAAUAAUAAUAAUAAUAAUAAUAAAUUUAUUUUAUCAAAUCUUAUCUUAUCCAGAUUUUAUUCUAUCUAGAUUUUAUUUUAUCCAGAUUUUAUUCCAUCUAGAUUUUAUUUCGUCCAGAUUUUAUUUCAUCCAAUCUUAUCUUAUCUUGUCUAGAUUUUAUUUUAUUUCGUUUUGGGCUUGGACUUAAAAAUAGAUUUGUGAGCGUUGGGACUGAGGACCUAUAUAACAGCACCAAGGUUUUAGUUUAGGCAGUUUUUUUUCGGAGAGGAGAAUAAUUCUAGGAUUUUAGAAUUCCAGUUUUUAUUACUGUUCAUGCACACUGUUCACGUAAAAUAAAAUUUGUUUUCUGCAAUUUCGUUUCGGCUUCAAUCUACAAUUUCGUUUCCACUGAUUAAUGGAAGACUAAGUCUCCAGCAUUGUUUUGUCUUGAGGAUCAAGCACAACUAUCUUUGAGUUUUUGUUAUUACUAUUGAAUAAUGAUCAUUUUUUUCUCUUCACCAAUUACUUUGUAUUUGUUGCUAUUAAUCCAUGCAUGUUUAGUGUUUGAUUAAUUGUCUCUGCGCUUAAUUUACGUUCAUGCUUAAUGAUCAGUUUCGUUCAUGAUUAAUUGGUGCCUGUGUUGUUUAAUCACAUAAUGACAGCCUUAUGUUAAUUUUCGCUUAGUAAUUUAAGUUAGGGUUGGAUUAAGUGGUUGAACUGAUUAAGGAUAAAUUCUCGUAACCUAGGAUAAGAGACUUGCUUGUGAAUGAAGGGGAAACAUGUUUUAAUUCUGUUAUUUUCUAAUUCAAAUUUGUUUGCUGUUUAAUUUACAAUUUUAUUACUAUCUGUUAUGAACGUUUGGUUGACCAUUGCUUGUUGGGAGACGACCUAGGAUCACUUUCUAGAUACUGCAUUUUUAAUGUUUAUUUGAUUUGGGUACGACCUCAAUCAAUAGUAUAUAAGAUAUGGCUUGAGUAGACUAAGAAGAAAUUAUUGUAGAUAUAUUUUAAAAUAAUAUAUUUAAUAUAAUUAUAUAUUCUAAAAAUUGAAUUAAAAAUUGUUAAUUUAACUAAUAAUAAUUUUUGUUUGGCUAUAUUAGUGUAAAUCAUCUUUAAUCUAUACAUUUUUUAAUAUUAUGCUCUUUUUAUUUUCUUUUGAUAUACUUUGUGUUUUAACGACUUGAAUUCAAUAUGAUUUUGUUUAUCAAUUAUUUUUGGAUUUGUACAUUACUUAUACGAAAUUUUAUAAGUUUCUUUUUUUAGUUAGUAUUUCACUAGGUUUUAAAAUAAUUAAUUAAUCAAAGACAUCCUUAAGCAAACUUUUAAAUAGACUCGUGGGUCAAGCCAGACUUUUAUGUAAGCCGGACUGAGCCUUAAAAAAAAGCCUAUAACAGGUAAUGAGCCAAGCUCAAGCCUUACUUAUUCAAGUCCAGCCGAACUAAAGCCUAGUAAAACUUGGCCUGAUUUGGCUCAUUUCCACCCCUACCUCCAUCGCUUAAGCUCUUAGCCAACACCACUAAAGCUACAUCAAGAAACAUGUUAGUUUUUGUGCCCAUUCUAGCUUAAGCGCUACCCAACACCAUUUAAGCUACUUCAAACUAAUUUACUCAAAUUAAAAAUAAUAAUGAUUCUACUAUUUAAUCACUACACAUUAAAUACCUAAUUUAUUUUCCGCACAUCACGCAACUGGUCCAUUUAUCUUUAAAUCUAAUUAAAAAAAUUAUAAAACUCUUGAACCCCAGAAAUAUGUCUACGUUCUGUUAUAGUUUAAUUUUAAUUUCCUUCCCCAGAAACAAUAAAAAAAACACAUUCUCAGCUGUGUUUUACCUUUUUUUUAAGGACCUUACCAUGGUUUUCUGUAACCACUCCCGUAAGGUUGAUUUGAAAAAAUUAAUAUAUAAAACGAUUCCCUCCCUAAGAACUGAUUUCUUAUUGUAAAAACGAAAAAAAAAAAAAAAACAGGGAUGAAAAUUUGAUUUACGGGAAAUCAAUUUCGCACUCAUGAAAAAUAAAUAAUAAAUUAUAUCAUGCAUGAAAUAAUUAUUAAUUUAUAUCAUUUGGGUGAAAAAUUUCCCAAGUAGUCCAAUCCAAAUAAUAAAUAAACUAAACCAACACUUUCCUAAAUUGAAAUAAGAUCAAUAUCCAAUCCAAACAAUAAUCAAACUAAAGUACCUAUUUCUGACGUAGAAAAGGAGAUUUCAAAUAAUUAUAAAAUCCUAAAACAACAAGAUAAAAUAAUUUUUUUUGGCAUACUUAGAAAAUUAUUAAAAAUAUAUCAAAGCUGAAAUAAAAUUCACAAAAAUUAUUAAUAGCAUUAUCUUUAUUUUUUCCUCCACAGUUAAUUAUAUAUUUUAUUAACAAGAAUUACAUUGCUAAAGAAGUUGGCGAUUUUUAUCAUUGAAAGAGAUAAAAAAGAACCCUUACAACUUACAUUGAAAUAUACUUUAUAGAAAAUUUCUAAAUAAAUAGUUUCAAUAAACUGCAAUAUUUAAUCAUAUUUCACCAAAAAAAUUAUAAAUAAUCAUAUUAUUUUUAACAUAUUUCUUCUACAUUCAGUUAAUAGUUUGGUACUUUAAGUAUAAUUAUUUGAAAUCUCCUUUUCUACUUCAGAAAUAGGUACUUUAGUUUUUUACCCAAAAAAUAUAUAUUAUUUUUAACAUAUUUAAAAGAGGUGAAAAAGAGUGAAUGAGUGGUGACCUUCUUGACCAACCACAGAAGCAAAGUGUCUUCUCUUUCUCUUUGCAUUGAAUUAAAAAAUGCCGAGCAGGGGAUCGAACAUUCUACUCUAUCAAUCUCAAAACAAGCACAAAAUAUUUUAUGAGCCAUCAUAAAAUACCUAUCCCCUGUACCUUAUGAACUUAUUGAACUAAAUUUAGGUAAAAAGCUAACUUGUGACAAGUGAAAGCAUGCUAACCUGUGACAAGUAUGAUACUGUGACUUAUCAUUGAAGUCCUCUUAGAAUAAAGCUAACCUGUGACAAGUGAAAGCAUGCUGCCUCAAUUGCAUUGGCUGACCAUGACCUCCCAAUAUUGUUCUUUGCUGUGGACAAGUUAUUGAUGUGAAAAAAAUUCAGAAUAACAUUGAAAGUGCUCAUUGCAACUUUUCCAAUCAUGUUCUUUGCUGUUACAAGACAAUAUUCUGUUUUUCUUUAAUCUUUUUAAUAUCCAGAAACUUGAAACAAUGACCAGUCCUGUUACUGCAGUAAGAAAUUAAGAGAGAGACAAAGUAGACCUGAUGGUAAUGGAAUUAUCAUAUCCAUUAAAAAAAGUUUGUGCUUUUCUCUGCCUAAUUGUUCUGGUGAUGAAACUUUAGAAGAUUUAAAUCCAUACGGAACGGAUUUAGAUUUUAGAACCCAUGAAAACUAUGGAGCAGCUGAUACAAUGGUGGUUAUGGACAUUAUCAUAUUCAUUACCAAUAAUAUUAGUCAUUUAAAUAGUAAUAAUUUGUUGAUUUUUUCAGAGAAAAUGGUUACUAGAGAUUCAAAGCAUAUAGACAGUAACUGACGAAUCUCUCAUUCCCCACCUUGCUUUAUUGCACUAAUAAGAAAAGUACACACUACACAGUCAAUUAGAGUGUAUGAAGUAGUGAAGUUACUGCCGAAUGUCUACUCUACCUUACCUGGUCCUUUCUCACCACUACUUCCAUUUUAACUUUGGCAACAAAAUUGUCUUCUGGAAAUUCGGAGCCUGUGAGGAAUACACGAUUAGUUAAAGACAAGGGUGUAAGUGAAAGUGAGCAUGUGACAUUUCUAAAAGAUCUAUAUGCAUAAAAGCAAGUAUAGAACUCAAAGCCAAAGGAAAAAAAUGUAUCUCUUGCACUACAGGUGAUUAAAAUGAGUUACGAACUUAAAACACAGCUAAAGUUGGUUGGCCACACAGGUAUGGAUGAAAACUAAUUACUAACGAUUAGUUUCAGAAUGAAAAAAAAAUGGAAUGAAGACAAUAGAAGAAAAAAAAACUACUUUAAAGUGAGUUUGUUUGUGAGGUAAACAAGGGUGUAUUUAGUAUUUGCCCUUAAAUUUUAGUGGGUUAAGAUUGCAAUGCAUUUUAAAUUAAACUAAGGAUGAAUGCACACUAUCACUUACUUUACAGAAUAGCUCAAUUUAGGAGUCUUCUUUAUGGAAGGACAUAUAUUCAGUAUUCAAGUACUUGUAGUCAGCUAUGACUUACUUCCCUGCCUCUCUUUUGAACCACCCUGAGCACCAAAGCCCCUGACAUCAGAUACAGUGACACCACGAAUUCCCAUUUUCAACAAAACCUUCGAAUCAAGAAAACUAAAAUUUAGUAUCAGCAUAAACUUGGUAAAUCUAAUGGCACAAGACAAAAAGUCUACCAGCUACAUUAGCCAGCCAAGCCAAAAUUGUUCGAGAGUGGAGAAGGUAGUUGCUUUUCUCUAACACUGUCAAUUAGGACAAAAACAACUUACCAACUUAUAGCAUGUUUGGCUAACAGUUGCAACUUUUCUAAAUGCUCAAAAUAAAAUAUACAAAGAGUAUUCUUCUCCAGGAGUACAUUCAAUUCAUUAUCCAAAAUCAAAAAGUACCUUUAGAACAGUUAUCCGAACAAGCACUCAAUUAACAAAAAGCCACAUCUCUCUUUCCAAAGAAGAUGCCCCUUUCCAUAGACAGUCAGUGAGAAAUCAAUGCAGUAUUUUCACUUCUUUCAGAACAAAUUAUUAGUAGUAACAACAACUAACAAGCACCUCUUAAUUUGCACGGAUUACCAACUGCUAGAAAUCUACUGCUUAGCUCCACUUCAAGAAAACACAAGUAUCAAAGUGAAGGGAUGUUGUGGCAAUGCAUUCAAUACAGUGAAAAUAACAAUACUACAUUUUGCUGUAGAUACCCCACGGUAUAUAUAAAUUAAACCCUAAAAAACAUCAGUCAAAAGGUAAUGUCGUACCAACGAAAGUUGACGUUCACCGUUGGAACAGCGAAUUUUGAUAUUCACCAUUUGCGGCGUUCCGCUCUGUGGUGGCACUCUCAGUGGCAGCGGCAUCACCUCCCAUGUUGUCCUUCAUCCAAAGCACGGCGGGAGGAGAUUGAUGUUCACCACUCCUUAAUAAUUGAAAUUGAGGGAGAAAGGGAUUGAAACCCUAACCCUAGAAAGAUUGAGGAAGAAUUGGAAGAAUUUGGGAGAAAGUGAAAACGGAGAGAAAUUGAGAGAUGACACACAGAAAUCCGGACGGAAAUUAAUUAAGAAAAUAAAAAAAUAUUGUGUUGCAAGAACUGGGUGCGGAUGAAAAAAAAUACUUACACAUACAAACUAUUUAUUAAAAUUUAAACCACGCUGAAAGAAUUUGGUACAGAAAGAGAACUGGACAUCAAAUUGAUAACGGCAAGAUCUAAGGGAACCUUGAAAUUUCAAACAAAGAGAUUACCUUACCAACUGUAGGCACGAGAUGUACCAAGCGAACUUAGGCUCAAGAAAAACCCAGCCAGUCAAGGACGAUGACGACGGAGGGACGACAGAGGCACGGCAGACGGAGACACGCACGCCGGACGAAACCAGGGAUGACAGAGGGCCACAGGCACGACGGAGGGCAAGAGAAAAUUGAAGUUUUUCGAUGGGGAGGCGGACAGAGCAUGCGCAUGACCAAAUUUUAAAUUAGUUACUCAGUGAACCAAGACGGUCAUAGACAACGACCGUCAUUGUGUUUAUUCGAUUUAUUUACAAAAUUGUCAUUACGUGUCAUUCUAAGACAGUUCCUUAUGACUGUCUUAGAACCUACGACGUAAAUAAUAAUUAUGAUGAUAUUAAUUAUAAAAAUGCCACCACGUUGUUUUUUAAGAAGGCGGUUAGUAGUGUCUGUAUCCCAAUGACAACCAAUUAUUAGAAGGUUUUUUUGCCGGAAUCUUUGUCCAAUUGCAUUUAUCUGCAGGUUUUAGAUCUUGGAAACAAUCAAAUAAAGGAUGUGUUUCCCCAUCGGCUUCAAACUCUACCAGAAUUGUAAGUAUUGGUUUUGCGAGCCAACAACAAGUUGUACGGUCGCAUUCGGUUUAAAGACCAAGCAUGUGGAUUCCCCAGUUUAGUCAUCUUUGAUGUCUCUUCCAACAACUUUAGUGGCCCAAUACCAAAAGCCCUCAUAAAAUUUGAAGCCAUGAAGAACGUUGUUCAAGAUGCCUAUAGCCAAUACAUGGUGGAAUAUGCUUUUAUUGAUGAUGGAAACAUGCAUUCUUCUUUGACUUUAGGACUUGUGAACAUGUACAGUUCUGUGACUAUAACAACAAAGGCAAUUACUAUGACAAUGCACAUAAUUCGAAAUGACUUUGUAAGCAUUGAUUUAUCGCAAAACAGAAUUCCAAACACAGAUUUAUUCUAUUAAUAUAAAAAACCAACAAUUUACCAAUAUAUUUAUCUAUUAUCUUUAUAAUAUAUAAAAUUUGAUCAAUUGCAGAUUAUGUCAAUGCCAGGUGACUUUUUCUUAGGUUAUUCCAUGCCAUGUAAGAAAAAUUUUAGCUAUUUCGUUUCUAACUCCCUCAGGCACAUGUUGUCUUACAUGGCAAUUAAUUCUAUGACCGGAUGACCAUAUAAAAAACCUUGACACAGAUAUGGAAAGAUUUUCAAGAGCUGUCCUAAGGAGGUUCAUUGUCUUGAUGACUAGGAGAGUGUAAGAUAUUAAUAGCCAGCAAUUUCUGGGCCACACCAGCUUGCUGCAAACUACUUGGGAGGCACACAAAAGGCUAAGAAUGCUGUUUUCUGAACCUUAAUCAAUUGAUGGUCUGAAAAAAUAUUUUCCAUUUCAUAAAUACUCGGGCAAUGGAUACAGUAGAUCAAUGGCUAGGAAGGAAAGUCCUGGUUCUUGAAGAGGCUUCUAAUUUGAGUUCCAAUAAGUUUUCAGACAAUAAAAAUUUCCAUAUUUGGUUAUUCAUCUUAUUUGAUAAUAAUCAGUAUUUGAAAUAUUAAAUAUAACAGUUUACUCUAAAAGUGAUUGAACACAUGAUCAUGAGUUUAGAGCCUUCUUUGGAGGAACAAGAAAAGUUUGGUCAAAGUUUAAGAUUAUUUCUUCCACAUUUGCUUCAUUGCCUUUUAAACUUUCAGAGACAUAAUUUUCAUCGCAGUAUCAAGGUAACAAAGCAAUACACGACUAACCACACAUGACACACCACUAAACAGGCUGGGUUCACUGAUUUAAUUAUGAGGAUCACUGAAUUCUCCUUUCCUCGGAUACAUAUGUUAUGCAUGUAUGCAUGCUCCGGGAUAUUAUGCACUACAUGUUGGAUUCUAUAAUGUUUCAAAGAGAAAAUUGCCAAGACAUUAAACAAGAUUUCUUAGAACCCUUAGAAUUAGAUAUGAAAAAUAGAAGAGAAGACGGAGAAGAAGAUACAAAAUUGAAGGACAAUAUAUUAACUCUGCUGGUUGCAGGCCAUGAUACCACAAUUAUUCUCAUACAUAGCUCAUCAAAUAUCUUGAUGAAAAUCCAACUGUUCUGGAACAACUGAGAGUAAAUAUUAAGAACCUAUAAUGUUUAUCCUUUAUGAAUGCUGAUGUUUUUGUAGGAGGUGCACAAACAAAUUGUUGCAAACAGAAGGAGUCGAACAAUCUUACAAUGUUUGAAGUUAAUAGCAUUUCCCUUUAUCUGCGGCGACGCUUCCUCGCCAGGUUUGUAGCUCUGUUCCUAACUGAAUAUUUGGGUGCUUUGGUUUGUCUCUGAAAUGAGCUCUAUGUUUGUUUCUGAGCAACGGCUUUCCUUUGUCUAUGAGCUUUUAGGUUCGAAGCAUAUUUCACUUUCAACCUUACCCUCGAGGCAUAUUUUUGCAGCGUAGUUGAGGUCAUGAGUGCAUUCACAUUUUAAAGUCCCCACAAGCUAAUAAUAGAAGCAGGUCCUUUGCUCAUAAGAAUAGGGUUCAUGACUUCAUGUAUGUGCACUGGACCAUCCUGUGCAGUAGGGUUGCAAACAAUUGAGUAGGGACUAGGGAUUGCUAGUGGGAAAUGUAUUAGCAUGGAUAUUCUUUUACUUGUUUUGGAACUGAUAUAACAGGCUUUGGUUCUUAAACGUGUAUUGUUCAUAAACAUCUUAAGUUAAGGUCUGAUUUGAGCAUUUGAGCUUGUAACAUGGAUGCUUUAAUGGAACAAGAUGUAAAAAAGUCGAAUUGAACCUUGCUGGUAAAAUCACAAUCACACCCCUCCUCCACCUACAGGUACAUCACUUAGCGUGCUAGCACUUCAUGUCUAGCAAGAGGAGUGAUAGCUUUGUAACUAACAAACUGCCAUAACAUUUUUUAGUUAAUUACUAGAUAUAUUCUUGACAAUAUUAAUAGCAUCAACGUACAAUGAUGGACUAUUGUUGAACAAUGAGUUGUCUCCCGCAAGGCUGCAACUUAUAAUUAAAUACUCAUUUUAAACUAUUUUUAUGAGAAUUUUAAGAUUGUUACGAGCUUGUCUGAGUUUAUGGAUCAAUGGCUGUUAUGGAGUUCAAUAAUUUUACAGCUCAUCAACCUCAUCUUACUUGAAAAUAAUUAAAUUACACAAUUAAACGAGCCACCCUAAAAAUUUAAAUUAUCUAGAGGGCUAAAAUAACGAACAUUGUCAAUACUGGGUGAAGAUAAUACACCCAUUCUGAUCGACUCUUCUCAUCAACCCAACGGAGACUGAAUUUGCAGUCAAUGUCAAGAAAACCUUAUUAAUUGCAGAUUUGCAGUACUCUCUCUGCGCAAUGAAGUAAAAAGUUACUAUUAAUUAUUUUAUAAUAAAUCACAAUUAGAGUAUUACAGUAAUUGUAGACUUGCAGUCAACAUUAACAACAAAUAUAUAAAGGUUGUCUAUAUUUACAUUAACAUAUCUUCUUAAUUAUGUUUGCGUUUUCUUACUUUUUGUUUUGGUUUUUAAUUUCAACUUGGUUUUCUCGUUUAAGGUGUUGUAAUUUGCACACUUAAGAAAAGGCGAUGUAAUUGAAACUCUAUUUUCUAUGCCCAUUCUUUCUUAAGCUACAUCACUCCAAAAAACAUGCUAGUUUCUAUGCCCAUUCUUUCUUAAGUCCUACCCUUUUGGCGUGUAAGCUACAACCUAGCAUGGCUUCAGCUCCGAGCCUCUUAGUCCCUGUCGCUUAAGCAAUAUUCCCCACUAUAACACCGUGAAACUCUAUUUUCUUGCAAACUGAACAACUCCUCAAGCCUCUCAGCCUUACCCCCAAGGAUUCCAAAUCAAAUAGUACUCUUUCCAAACAUAAACACCAACAUCAAAUACAAACUAAUUGCAGAUAAACACUCAUAAUUCAUAGAUUAAAUUUCCUUUGACACAUUCACAACCCGUCCAAGAUCAACAAACAUAAAACAUAUGAACAUUCAAGCUUACACAUGGACAUUGAAUCAUACAAAAGAAUGAGAGCUCACUCCCCCUACCUCACAAUAAGAGAAACGUAGAGAAGAGGCAUUCAGGCUUUUAAUAGUAAUAUAAUAUUAUUCUCUAUUUUUCUCUGUAUCGUGUUAUUCAUUAACUUGAUUAUUAUUUUUUCUUUUCUUUUUGCAUUGCUCAUACUUUUUAUUUUUUUCCACUUCAAGAGUUAAUAUAUGUAUUUUUUAUUUGUUGGUUCUUAUAAUUAAUGAACUCAAUGUAGCAAUAUAUUAUUUUUUUAUUCUUUAAUGUAAAGAGCGCAUAUAUAAAAUUAUUGCUUACUAAAAGAAAUAAAGGAUAAAUGUUUUAGCUAGUAAACAAAAAUCUAAUCAUAUUUAUAUAAAAUUUAUCAUUGUAAUAAUUCUGUCAUAUUGUCAAGUAUGAUUGAUUGUUACCGAUUGUAUAAAGUCACAAUUAGUAUUGAAUCACUAAUAAUUUGAAAUUCCUUUAGAAAGACUAGUAAUUUGAAAUUAUAUUUAACUAGCUAGUAGAUAUGUAUAUCAGUAUAUUAAUAAUAAAAUGUUGACAAAAAAAACCCCGUUAAUUCUCUUUCUUUUUUUCUUGCAGUGCAUGAUGAUAAUAAAAAUAACAUAUAAUAAUAAUUCAAGAGUUAGCUCGUGUAGUCAUGUAGUUAAACGUAAAAGUAGGGGUUGACUCAUAUUCACAAAUUAAAACAUGUAAACUGAUGAAAAAUAUUUACUCAAGAUUAGUUCAUCCAAUUAAGUAAGGGUGCAUUUAUUUUUAAAUAAUUUCAUGAGUUAUGAUUUUUGUAAACUUCAUUAAAUAGAAAAAAUAAUAUAAUUUCCAAACUAAUUUACUCAGAAAUUAAAAAGAAUAAUAAUUCUACUAUUUAAUCACUACACAUUAAAUAACUAAUUUAUUUUCCGCACAUCACGCAGCUGGUCCAUUUUUUUAUUAAAUGUAAUUUUUAUCUUUUUAUUUUCUAAAAUACGCACGUCACACAGCUGGUAAAGACUACUAAACCCAUCAUCUCCAAUAAACGAUGCUUGAUGAGUUUCUUAGGAUAAUAAAUGAAUUAUUAUUUUUUUGUUGUUUUUCUGUUGAUAUUGUAGGUUUCUUAAAUUUUAGCUUGAGUAUUUUAUAUAAGCAAUCAAUCUUCAAAGUUUUUUUUUUAAAAAAAAUUUAAUAUGCUCUAAAAGACUCAAAGUGAUUAUAUUAUAUUUUUAUCAUUAAAGAUGCAUGCCCUUAAAUAACUUAGUUAAUGCAUAGAAUAAAUAGAAGCAAUAAUUGUUUUUGUUAAAAAAAAUCAUUACUACUGUGGACUUGUUGUGUGCUACUGGGUCUCCUAAAGCGAUGGAAGGCAUCCCUGGCAGCCUUGGUUGGCCUAUUGUGGGAGAGAGUUUCUCAUUCCUCUCUGAUUUUUCAAGUCCCUCUGGAAUCUUUAGCUUCAUGAACAACAGGCAAUAUAUAUAUAAUAUCAAAACUUAGAAAUGAGUUACUUUUGAUACACAGUUUAAAAAUUUACACGGUUAUUAUCAACUAAUUAGAAAUCACUUUAAGUAUGUCUUAUGAUUUUAAUCUCUCAAAUUUAUACGGCUGUUGUUUUAGUCCCUCAAAUAAAAAUAUGUAUUUUUUAUUCUUAAAAUUCAAAAAAUAUUAGUCACUCUUCUCAAAUAAAAUUUGUAUCUUUUAGUCUCACAAACUUUGAGAGGGACUAAACGAGUAUUUUAUAAAUUUGAAAAACUAAAAAAUAAUUUUCUUUAGAGAAUUAGAAAAGAUAGGCACAUAGUUUGAUAAAAACAUAAUUAAACCUUUAAAGUAAUUAUUCACAAGAGAACAGAUUCCAAGUACAUGACUCCCCAUUAGAUGACAUGAUACUGCAAAAAAAACCCUUUAUACUUUUCUUUUUACAAUUACAUGCUAGGAGCAAAAGAAUUCCUAGGAUUUUCUUUUUCUUGGAUAACUUUUAUUUUCUCAUAGAUAUGGAAAGGUUUUCAAGAGCUUCGUCCGGGGGAGGUUCACUGUAUUCAUGACUGGGAGAGAAGCAAGUAAGAUUUUGUUAACCGGAAAAGAUGGGAUUGUGAGUUUGAAUCUGUUUUACACUGGCCAGCAAGUUCUGGGCCCCACCACUUUGCUGCAAACCACUGGAGAGGCACACAAAAGGCUAAGAAGGCUGAUCGGUGAACCUUUAUCAAUUGAUGGACUGAAAAAAUAUUUCCAUUUUAUCAAUACUCAGGCAAUGGAAACAUUAGGUCAAUGGCAAGGAAGGAAAGUCCUGGUUCUUGAGGAGGCUUCUACAGUUGAGUUUCAAUAAGUUGUCAAAGAAAAUUUCUUAUUUGGUUAUACAUUUCAUUCUAUACUAAGUAAUUGAAAUUUUGAAUAUUACAGUUUACUCUAAAAGUGAUUGGACAUAUGAUCAUGAGUUUAGAGCCUUCUGGGGAGGAACAGGAAAAGUUUAGGUCAAAUUUUAAGAUUAUCUCUUCCUCAUUUGCCUCUUUGCCAUUUAAACUUCCAGGGACAGCAUUCCAUCAUGGUAUCAAGGUAACAGAAUAUUGCAUAACUAACCUCACACUAAAUAUGUGCACUGAUUAAAUUUUGAAGAUCACUGAACUCUCAUUUCCUCUGAUGCAAUGCUAUAAAUCUGUGCAGGCUCGGGAUAGGAUGUAUGAGAUGUUGGAUUCUACAAUUUCGCGGAGGAGAAGUGGCCAAGAAUUUCAACAGGAUUUCUUAGGAUCCUUAGUUAUGAAACAUAGCAAAGAAGAUGGGGAAGAAGAUGAAAAUAAACUCAGAUAAACAAUUGAAGGAUAAUAUAUUAACUCUGCUGGUUGCGGGCCAUGAUACCACAACAGCUGCUCUUACAUGGCUCAUCAAAUUUCUUGGUGAAAAUCCAAUUGUUUUGGAACAAUUGAGAGUAAGUAUUGAAUCCCCUAUAGUCUUCUGCUUUAGAUGUUUGAAGAUUUUCAAAUGUAGCUUCAUGAAUGCGAUGUUUUGCAGGAGGAACACAGACAAAUUGUCAUCAACAGAAAGAGUGGAACAGAUCUUACUUGGGCUGAAGUUAAUAACAUGCCUUACACGGCUAAAGUGAGCAACAAUAACUUUAGCUUGCAAGUAACUUCAAGUUUUUAUGUCUCACCAAGAUUAUCGGUCAUUUAAAUUUCAGGUGAUCAGUGAAACACUUCGAAGAGCCACAAUACUACCUUGGUUUUCAAGAAAGGCAUCCCAGGAUUUUGAAAUUGAUGGUAUGGCAAUACAGAAUGGCCAAAUAUGACUAUAUAAUGUGUGUUUGUGUGUGUAUGUUGUAACCGUUGUUCUUUGAAUGAGACUCGAAGUUGAUGUUAAAUUUGGCAGGUUAUAAAAUUAAGAAAGGUUGGUCUGUCAACCUAAAUGUUGUUUCUAUACACCAUGACCCCGAAGUUUUCCCAGAUCCUGAAAAGUUUGAUCCCUCUAGAUUUGAUGUAAGUUGCUUCCUGAAAAGAGACUUUAAUAGCCAUUUCUAUUCUAAGGACCCCAAAAUUGAUAUUUUCAUUUAAUUGCAGGAAACCCUGAGGCCUUUCAGUUUUCUUGGAUUUGGUAGUGGACCACGCAUGUGUCCUGGAAUGAACCUUGCCAAGCUAGAAAUUUGUGUUUUCAUCCAUCAUCUUGUCAACAGAUACAAGUAAGAUUAGAACAGAUUUUGAAUAGUGAAGAUAAUCACAUUGCACCUAGAAAAUGGACAAUCACACUAGAUUUUCCAAAACAACAUCUAUUCCAUUCUUUUCUGUUUAUUUCAGCCUUGUCUCUUCCAUAUUCAUUUUCCUUGUUUAAACUAAAUAUUCCAUGAGUUUAAUUUCUGUGUUAGGAAACAUGAUUUCAGAGGAGAGGAAGAGAGAAAAACUGGGAGAAACUGAAAAUUUUCUGUUAGCUUAAUGAAGUGGUAUAAUUACAAGAUGAUUAUAUUAGUCUUUAUAUAGGCUCACUACCAAUCACAAACUACAUCUCUAAUACUAUGCACUUGUCAACCAAUUGGAAAUCAUAAUAAGUAUGACUUAAUUAUUGUAAAAGUCAACAAUUGCAUACAAUAAAAUUUGUGAUUGAAUAACAUUAUAAAACCCUUUCCACUAUCAGUACAUUAACUAUUUAUUAAAAAAAAAUUGCUACAGUUGGAGACCUCUGGAGAAAGACAAUUCUGUGCAACCAACGCUUGUAAGGAUGCCAAAGAACAAGUAUCCUAUUAUAGUUGAAGCACUAGGACACGAUUCCUCCAGAAACUACAAACAAACAACAGAAGAAAAGAUAGCACAGAAAAAUGUUGUAUAUGAACAGAAUCAUUGUAUCUUUAUUGUUGCUGCAUGGAGAGAAAUUAUGAACCAAAUCAUGCUUUAUUACUUGUGAGGAAAGAUACUAAUCCUCAAUGAAUAAUACACAUUUCCUUUUUCAGUAUGUAAGUGGUACGGUACUCGUGCUCGGGUUGCUGGCUUCGAGGGCCAGGGGCCUCCUAAGAAGAAGAAAAGGGAUAAAGGGAGUCACGAAGGUAAUGAAGAAGGAGCGUAAUUGUUCUUAUUCAUUUGCUAGUUAUUUACAUAUAUUUAUAAUGCCCAAUUGCUACAUGUAAUUAUCCAUAUUUGCAGGAAUAUCUGCAUAACAGAAUUUGAUUCUCGAUGCUUCCUAGCAAGAGACAUUUUGAUCUAGCAAAUCCUGUGCUGCCAGCUCAGCUCCUCAUCAUUUGCAAUUCCUUCUUCAAGCAUAAUCUCUGAGGUAUGCGGGCCUGGUAAUCUUCCUUUUCGGUUUUGCUGUUGGUACCCCUGUGUUUAUGUCUGUUGCUUCCUCUGUGUCUUCUUCUGGUGUUGCUCUGUUGCUAUCAUCUUCCCGUGGCCCUUGGAGAAUCACCUUGUCCUCAAGGUGAUAGGUCCGCUUCAGUUGAUCCCAAUCUUCCCAAGAGGUGUCAUCAGGAAGUAACCCCUUCCAUUGAACUAAAACCUCCCAUGGUCCCUCAGUGGUUGCAGCACGACGAGUAUCCAAAAUUGCCAAGGGAGAAAUAAUUGGCUGAUUAUUGAAGAAUUGGUCUGGAAGUGAGGGGGUCUGACUGAUGGCGGGAUCCCCAUGGAAAGGUUUUAAAAGUGAACAGUGGAAUAUGGGAUGAAUUCGCGUGCCCUCUGGUAAUUCCAAACAAUAAGCAACCUUACCAAUUCUCUCGAGAAUCUUGAAGGGACCGUAGAAGCGCUUAGCUAACUUGCCGGAGCUGUGCUGAGCAUCCUUGGCCGAACGCUGUCGGUAGGGCCGAAGCUUUAAAAGUACCCAAUUACCAACCUCAUAGUCAACUUCACGCCGUUUAGUAUCAGCAGUGCGUUUCAUCGUAGCUUGGGCUUUUAAUAGCUUCUGACGAAUGCAAAGAAAAACUUCCUCACGGUGCUUCAGAGUAUCAUCCACCGCAUCUAGUUUGGAGGAGCCAGUGAUAUAGUCUGGAAAAGAGAAAGGUUUCCGCCCAAACGUUAUCUCAUACGGCGUAGAGCCCGUGCCUGCAUUUCAGGAAGUGUUAUGCGAUAAUUCAACCCAGGGAAGGAAUCUGCCCCAAGUCCCCGGCCGGCGGUGCACGAAAGCCCGCAAAUAUUGCUCUAUUACUCUGUUCAUGACUUCAGUCUGACCAUCACUCUGUGGAUGGUAGGCUGAACUCAUUCGAAGCCUUGUACCACUCAAUUUAAAAAGCUCCUGCCAAAAGGUACUCAGGAAAAGUGGAUCGCGAUCUGAAACUAAACUCCGAGGUUGACCAUGGAGUUUGACCACGAUGUCAAUGAACAAAGAGGCGACCAUGUGUGCCGUAUGCGCGGUGGGUAAGGUGCCCAAGUGAAUACCCUUAGAAAAUCGGUCCACAACAACAAGUAACACCGUUUUGCCCUGAUAUGAAGGGAGCCCAGUGAUGAAAUCAAGGGAGAGGUCCUCCCAUGGCCGAAAGGGAACAGGUAAGGGACAAAGCAACCCGGCUGUGCGUUUCGUCUCAUAUUUGGUGAAUUGGCAGUCAGAGCAAUUGGCCACGAAGGUCGCAACAUCAGAACGGAGUCCCGGCCAUGUGAAAUUUUCCGAUAGCCUAGCUAUCGUCUUUGCGACGCCCAUAUGGCCCCCCAUCGGCGUCGCGUGGUACUCUAGCAUGAGUGUCUGAAUGAGAGGAAGCUCGCGGGGUAACCAAAUUUUGCCCUUGUAAAGGAUGAAAUUCUGACUAAGAGUGUAAUCGGGGUAGGUGGUGGGAGAAUUGAUGAUGUCCUGUCGGUGCUGACAAUACUGAGAAUUAUUGGUGAGCUGCUGACGUAAUUCAUCAAGAAAGCUCAAACAAGGAAUAGAUAAGAGCAACGAAAGUGAAGGAGUGAAUUCCGGUGACCGUGAGAGGGCAUCAGCUGCUUGGUUGUGCUUCCCGGAGCGGUACUGGAUUUGAUAAUCAAAUCCCAUUAAUCGGGCCAGGUACAUAUGUUGUUCGGGUGUUUGAAUAACUUGGGUGAGCAACUCUUUCAAGCUCCUAUGAUCGGUGACAAUGGUGAAUGAGUGGCCCAAGAGAUAUUGGCGCCACUUUUUCACUGCAGAGGUAAUAGCAAAUAAUUCACGAACAUAGGUGGAGGCCCUGAGGAGCUUCUUAGGGAAUGGCUUGCUGAAAUAAGCAAUGGGGUGUCCUCUCUGAGAUAGGACAGCGCCCAUGCCAUUGCCGGAAGCGUCAGUCUCCACUGUGAAAGGCUCCUGAAAGUCUGGAAGUGCAAGAACAGGAGUAGUUGACAAAGCCGAUUUGAGGUCUUCAAAGGCCUGUUGAGCUUGUGGGGUCCAACGAAAGGGGUCCGAGGUGGCCUUAACCAAAGGGUCAGCAAUCAUGGCAUAUCCCCGAAUAAAUCUACGAUAAAACCCGGCGAGCCCCAAAAAACUUCGAACAGCUCUGGUGGAGUGAGGUUGAGGCCAAUUAACAAUGGCAACAAUCUUAUCAGGCAUGGGCUCAACUCCGCGUUGGGAAACUAAAUGUCCCAAAUAUUCAACCUGUGAUUAACCAAAGGAACAUUUAGAUUUCUUAAGAACGAAGUGGUUGUCAAGCAGAACCUGGAAAGUUAAGUCCAGAUGGUGCAAGUGAUCAUCAAAAGAGCUGCUGUAGAUAAGUAUGUCAUCGAAGAAGACGAUGACGAAGCGACGAAGGAAGGGCCUGAAAAUGAGGUUCAUUGUAGCUUGAAAGGAAGAUGGAGCAUUACAGAGGCCAAAGGGCAUCACUCUGAACUCAUAAUGUCCAUGAUGAGUUCGAAAUGCAGUUUUAGGGAUAUCCUCUGAAUGCAUGCGUAUUUGAUGAUAACCUUGGAGAAGAUCGAGCUUGGAGAAGCAUUGAGCGCCCCCCAAUUCAUCAAGUAAUUCGUCUAUGGUGGGUAUCGGAAAUCUGUCCUUGACGGUGAGGGAAUUCAGUGCCCGGUAGUCGACACAAAAUCUCCAUGAUCCAUCAUGCUUCUUCACCAAUAAGACUGGGGAGGAAAAAGGGCUUGUACUGGGUUGGAUCAAACCCUUCUGAAGCAUUGAGUCGACUUGCAAUUCGAUUUCCUGUUUUUGGAAAUGGGGGUAACGAUAAGGUCUAACGUUGACCGGCGUUGAUAGGGGUAGUAAAUGAAUGUGGUGGUCAGUGGGACGUGGUGGUGGAAGUGUCGGAGAUGGUUGAAAGAGGACAUCGUACUUGGUGAGCAGAGCUUGAAGGGAAGGGGGUAAGGUGUCUGGGGAAGAAGGUGGGGUGUCAUCAGAAAGGACCGUGAUCUGAAAAUAAAGGCCCUGGGGCUGUGUCCGACAAAGACGGCAAAACUGGGAUGAAGUCAUGGAGCUCAGGCUAGCUUCGGGGUCUCCCUGUAAAGUAAUCAAUUGAUCAUUGUGAAUGAAUUGCAUGCUUAAGGUUGAGUAAUCAGUCAACACAGGGCCGAGGGAUUUGAGCCACUAGACCCCGAGGACCACGUUGGCACCCGAGAUUGGGAGGACAUGGAGGUCGACCGUGAAGCUGUGAUUCUGAAUCUGAACGGAAAUGGCGUCACAUAUGGAAUGACACUCCAAAUAUUGGCCAUUACCCACCAUUACACGCAAAGGAGAAGUGGUCCGGCAAGAGAGGCCCAAUUGGGUCACCAAUUGUUGCUGAACAAAGUUGUGGGUACUGCCCCCAUCAACCAGUAGCAACAAAGGGUGGCCGGAGAUGGCACCGAUGAAGCGUAUUGUCUCCGGAGCGACAUGGCCAGCAAGGGAAUUAAGUGAAAUUUGGGCUGAGUAUGAAAGUGGGCUUUCGGGUGGGUCUGUGGGUUGGAUAGGUACCGGGUCAUGAGUUAAAGUAAUGGGCGGGUCAAAAUUGGGUAUAUGAGAAAGGGGCGGGUCUUCCUCAUCAGUUAUGAGGAGAAAAAACCUAGAGGAGCAGCGGUGCCCUCGAUGGAAUUUCUCCUCACAAUUGAAACAGAGGCCACGUUCCCUUCGAGAGGCAAUUUCCUCUGGGGACAACCGUUUCCAGGUUUGGGGCGGUGGUCGCGGGGGCGGGGGUGGUAAGAGAGGUGGUAAGGUCGAAGAAAGUGGCGGUGAGGGUGUCUUGAGGAUAGGGGAAAGGGGUGGAGAGGAUACGGGGGCAGUAGGGUUGACUUGGGGAAAGGAGGGAAACACUGAGGGUGAUCUCUGGAAUUGGGGCAAAGGGGAAGGACGAGGACGAGGGUGUUGACGCAUCUCGGAGAACUUCUCCUCCUGCAAGCGCGCGAGACCCGCGGCUUGAACCAGGGUGGCCGGCUGGUGGGCUUGAACUUCUCUCCGUAUCUCCGGGAUGAGGCCGGAGAUAAAGCAACUAAGAAGGAAGGUGGAGGGCAACCCCGUCGUGCGAUUAGCAAGGUCCUCAAAGUCAGAGAGGUACUGGGUUACCGUCCCGGUCUGGGUAAGCUUGCUCAAAGCUCCGGAAGGGUCCUCGAAUUGUGAAGGGGCAAAGCGAGUGCGCAGUGCAUGCAAGAAGGCAGGCCAUGACGGAAAUUGCUCAGAGGUGUUCAUCCAUUGAAACCAGGCAAGCGCGCGACCUUCCAUAUAAAAGGAAGCAAUGGUGAGUUUGUCUGAGUCUGGGGUACCAUGGUACUCAAAGAAUUGAGUUAUUUUGUAAAUCCAGCCAAGUGGGUCUGACCCAUCAAAUCUUGGCACAUCUAAUUUCAAUCUGUGUAUGGGUGUAGGUGCCGGCGGUGGUAACGGCGGUGGAGUGGGUGGCGUGGUGGAGAACACUGGAGAAACUCGUUGAAUGAGUUCGUCAAUCUUGAGAGUCAUGGCAUUGACAGACUCUCCAAGAUAUAGCUGCUGUUUAGUGAGUCGGCUGAGGACAUCCUCCAGCUUGUCCGACGAAAAUGAGGCGGGUUCAGGGUCUACCAUGGUGAAGAGCAACGAGAGCACCAAAUUGGUACGGUACUCGUGCUCGGGUUGCUGGCUUCGAGGGCCAGGGGCCUCCUAAGAAGAAGAAAAGGGAUAAAGGGAGUCACGAAGGUAAUGAAGAAGGAGCGUAAUUGUUCUUAUUCAUUUGCUAGUUAUUUACAUAUAUUUAUAAUGCCCAACUGCUACAUGUAAUUAUCCAUAUUUGCAGGAAUAUCUGCAUAACAGAAUUUGAUUCUCGAUGCUUCCUAGCAAGAGACAUUUUGAUCUAGCAAAUCCUGUGCUGCCAGCUCAGCUCCUCAUCAUUUGCAAUUCCUUCUUCAAGCAUAAUCUCUGAGGUAUGCGGGCCUGGUAAUCUUCCUUUUCGGUUUUGCUGUUGGUACCCCUGUGUUUAUGUCUGUUGCUUCCUCUGUGUCUUCUUCUGGUGUUGCUCUGUUGCUAUCAGUAGGUAUAGUGCUAGUACGGAAAGCAACUACAAAUAAUUAAUAUCCUAUUGAUUCUGUUUCACCCCGUCGUUAUCCACUCAUCAGUAUUAGUCAUUGCAUUGCUUAACAGACUGUAAAAGCAUAAGAAUUCUUAAAAAAAUUGGUAUAUGAAACUGAAAAUUUUAUAGACAAUCUUCAUUUAGACAUAAAAUACACUUUUUCUUGCGACUGCAACGUCAAGGAUUCUGUUGUCUUGUUGAAUAUUGUUUAGCUAUUUGAAAAGUUAAAUCCUACAUUGUUUGACAAUUGAUAUUGAAACUUUUAAUGUCUGUAGUUUGUUAUUGAAGCUCAUAAAAAAGUAAGAAGAUUAGAUUCAUGCACACAAAAUUUGAUUAACUUGACACUAUUGAAGUUCAAAAUUUACAGAUUUGUUUAGAGGUGUUCAUCAUAUUAGAUUAACCAUAAAUGGAAUUAAGCCAAAAUAAAACCUAAGUCUCAUUUUUUAGAGUAUUGACCUAAAGUCAAUUCCAAUAGCAGUGUUGGGAAACACCUCAAUAACGUUAUGGUACAAAAUGAAUGCUUAUUUUGACUUAAUAAUUAAAAGAGCGAAUUGCAAUACCUCCUUAGGUUUCAUGAAAUUAUAUAAGUAUUUCUCUUUUUUUAACCAUUACAUUCACCUCUGUAUGUCUUAUCUUUGCAUAGAGUACUGACUUCCAAUUGAAUUAUAAGUAGCAUUAUGACAACGUUUUGGAUGGGAUAGAAAAUGAAAAAGGUGACUUUUAGUUGUCGAUAUUGACGAUGACAAAUCCAAAAUUUUUACUUGUGAAUAUUUUACGUUAAUAAAUAAAUAAAUGAUUUUAAACAUAUAAGUUAUCUGAAAUUUAUAGUGAAUAAUGUAAAUAUAUAAUUUCGUUAAAUUUAUAAUGAACAAUUUAAAUUGAAGGGGUUAGUUACUGAAAAAAAUUAUUCUGAAAUGUAAUAUUCUUUAAAUACUUGUAUUGAAUUUCGAUUCUUUUAUAUCCAUAAUUCAUCAAGUAUUUAUUAUUAUAUUAUUGCCCAGAAAAGAAAGUCCUUAAAAUUAAUAAUGCAUGUAUUUGUUAUGCACGCAUGAAUUGUACUCUAUCUUCUCCGUUGUUUACAAAAGAAUCCAACAAAUUAAAAUGGAAUAUCCUUUUCUCUAGGACCACAACACCAAUGCAAUUGAGAAAUUGGUUUUUCAGAGUUCGAGUAUUUCAACUAUAUAAAAUAUUUUUAUAACACAGCAUGAAUAUCUAAUAUUAUUGGAAACGAUAUUAAUGAAUGAAAAGAUAAACAUUUCUUUUUAAACUUUAUACAUCAUUCAAAUAAUUAUUUCAUGUAUCAUGUUUAACAUUUCCUAAUUUUUAAUUAUAUUCUCUUCUUCUAAAAUAUAAUGACAUGUACACCAAUUAACAAAGUUUAUGUUGUUUACAACUUUCUUUCGAAAAGAAAUGUUGUUUACAACUUAUUUAUCACGUUAAUUAUUAUCAUACUCUUUCUUUUUCAAACAAAAUUUAUAAUCAUAUUUUCUUAUAAAAUUUAAUUCUAACAUUUAAUUUUAUUCUCAUGUUCAACAACCACUACUAAAAACACUAUUAUUUACGCGUUGAUUUUAAAUUGGCGAUGACAUUUUUGUAAUAAACUCAAACGUAAGGCCGACUUUUGUAAAACCGCUUUGAAGAGUUACGGGGUGAACCACAUUAAUUACACUUACAGCUCAUCCACAAUAUCCUAACAAUGUGCAACUCCUAAAUUGUGACAAAUAUAAGAUUUCUAAUUUAUAAAUAUUUUAAUUUGUAAAUUAAAUUUAAAAUAAUUUUUUAAAUAAUAUAAUUUUGAAAAAAUAUGUUAAUUUUAUGCAUGAAAAAAGAAAGAUAUCCCGUGAAGUUGAAGACAAUACAAUUGAAAUGGCAAUACUGAAUAGUGAGCAGAAUCACGGUAGCGUUAUGAGAGGGUUAGUAAUUGAAUGAAAUGACAGUACUGAGGAUAACCUUGCUGCAGCGUUAUGAAAGGGUUUAGAAAAUGGAUGUUAUGAAACGUGUGUGCAGCAAGUCACUCUUGUAGCUUAUAAUUUUAUUUUCUUUGAUUAGCAUAUAAGUUUAUUUAAUCAUCAAAAUAAACUUAUUUUAAUACCUUCUAAUUUUAACUUAGAUUCUCUAUGCCCCAAUAACCCUGUACAGCACACAAUUUAUUCUCAGACGCUUUUUCAACUAGUAUUUUAGCUUAAUAUAAGUUACUAAUUUAUUUAUUUUAUUUUUAUCCUUAUUAUUUUACUUGAAAUUUUUUUAUCACUGCUUUUAAAAUAAAUUUAUUUAAUUAAAUUAUUUUUUUGGGAAAAGAAGGAGGCACGUCAUAAAAAAACAAAAUAAAAUAAAACUACAACACUCCAUUGUUUUCAAAAGUCAUAAAUUCAUUUACAUCAGGGUUAAACAAAUUCAUCAAACCUCUAUCAUUCUUUUAUUAUAUAAAAUUUAAAUUAUUACCUUAUUUUUAACAUAAUAAAUUAUAUAUACAUAUAUAUAACCAAAUAACUAAAAAUAUUUUUUAUUAAAAAAUCUUAUGAAAAAAAUUAAUUCAAUGAGCUAGUUUACAAGCUAGUUCCAUCAAGCACAUCCAAUUUCUUCCUUUGAAACAUUUUUUGUUUAAAUUAUUUAUAUUAAAAUAUGUUUUUAAUUUUAUGGUAAAUUUUUUAAUUUUAUUUUUCGUCCCAUUUAAAUUCUUGUUAACUUGUUGGUCUCUAAUAAUUUUAUUUUCUCAGACCUCAACAGCAAGCUCAGAAACAUCAAUCUCAUAACUAAUUCAAGUCAAACAUAUUUACUUAAUUAUGAAAUUCUUAAAUAAUAAAAAUACUAAAAAGUAGAUAUAUUUUAUUAGUAGAGAUAAUAUCGAUUAAUUUAUUUAAGUCAGUAUAGUUUCAUACUCUUGUAGUCUUUGGAUUCCUUGUUAGCUCGUUGGCAAGUGUACCAAAUCGUCACAAGUAGUAAAGUACUCGGAAGUCCGAGUGUCGAAUCCACAGGGACUUUGUUUGUACUUAGAUUAAUGCAAACCCAAUUUAAAAGCAAGAGAUAAGAAUUUAAAAUAAAAGAUAAAAAAAGAUAGAAGAUAAGGUAAAGAAAAGAUAAAAGAUUUAAAGAUAAAAUUAGAAGAUGAAAGAAUUAAAGAUAAAAUUAAAAGAUAAAGAAAAAGAUAAAAGAUAAAAAAGAUAAAAGAUUUAGAUAAAAGAUAAAUUCAAGAUAAAAUAAUAUUAGGAACUGACUUGCCUUGUCUGCCUAGAAUGUAUGAGUUUAUGAUUUUUUCUUUACCAAUUCAAGUGAUUCUAUCCUACCCACGUCUAUUCAUUUACGUGCCCCUGAUGCCUCACGAUGACAAACCUAUUUUACCUAUCUAUCUCCCAAAUGCCUUUGCAAAGACUCAAUAGAUAAAAUGCAUGAAGUUCUAAUUCUAGAUGUUUGCUUUGACGCAUGGGCAUAAUGCAAUCGCUCUAUGCCUAGCAACGAUUUUAUUAUGAUGUCUUUUCUUCUCGUUCUAUUAGACGUUAUCCUCUCCCGAGCGUCUAACCCCUAAAACUAAUGCAUGCAUAUCUUCUUUAAAUCUUAUUUAGAAGUUACCCUCUCCCGAGUGGACUAACCCCUAACGGAAUAUAAAGAUGAGUAUGCAAGAUAAAAAUAGAAAAGAAAAUAGGAAAGAAAAACCUGUAUUGCAUUGAUAAAUAAAUAGUGAAGAGUACAUCAUACAUCGCGUUGGCUUUUUAGGCCUGCCAGGUCCUAACUAAGGGAUUAGCCACUCAUGGUCAUUGAGGCUUUACAAUGAGAAGGGGUGAAAGAAAGUAAGGGAGUAAAUGAAACCCCUAGGAGAGGGGUUUUGUCGUGGUGUGUUGUUUCCCUUGGACUGACUCUCUAUUUAUAGCUGCUGAAGUGGGCUUUGGGCCUUCGUAGGCGCGCUCAGCACGACACCCCCUCGCUCAGCGCGUUCUUCUGUUGGAUCGCAAACUUAGCGCGCGUGUUGCAGGCUUAGCGCGCGCUUCUGUUGGAUCACGGGCUUAGCGCGUGACGCGCGCUCAGCGCGCGUAUUGGGCUGGGCCUGCUUCAGAUUUUAUUCUUUUCUGCAAUUUUUCUAGCCUUUUUGCUCGUUACACCUCCAGUUUUUAUAUUUGCAGCCAAAAUUCAACAAAACAUCAAUUCUUUAAUAUUUAAGCGUAAAUAACUGCUAAAUAAUUAUUUUUAAAGACAAUUUUGCCUUAUUUUCUAUCAUCAAAAUACUAUUAUUUAGCAGUUAUCAAAAUCCCCCAAAUUAAAACUUUGCUUGUCCCCAAGCAAAUCAAAUUAAAAGCAGGCUCUGAAUGCUUCAACACUUUCAAUGGCUGCAAUUUCUCAUAUUCCUCCAAUUGGUCCUUUCCGCAUUUGUCAUAAUCUCACAAUGGAAGCAUAAAUUACAUCAAGAUGAAAUUGGUUAGUAUCGGAAAUCAAUCAAGUUGGUUUGCCUCACUUUCCUCACAAGGUUAGUGUUUAUCUCUACGCACAAGUGUCUGAGGUGAGUAUUUAAAAUUUAUACGACCUGCAAUUAAGAUUCCCAAAUUUUGCACUUCAUCUCAAUUAAAGUUAUUCUUACUUACAUUUGGUGGAUCACUAAGGACUUUUAUUGGCUUGUAAUGGGGCCUGGCUAAACAAGAAAUCAUGGUUUUUCUGGGAUUUCAAACUUAAGGUUAUAAGAGAGCAUUCAUCCUAGAAAAACUUAUACUUAGCCUAGGCUUUAUUUGUUUUUCAGCCUUAACACAUAUGCAAUCUAUUUUUCUUAUUUCCAACCUUAGCACUUAUGGCACCUCUUUUUUUUUUUUUUUUUGCCCUUAUUUUCUUUUUCUUUUUUUUUUUUGGAAAGAGACUUUGGGCUUACAAGUUUUUUUUUUUUGGUGCCUUAUUAUGUGCUACUUUUACAUUCCCUAGACCAUCUUCAUUCUACCCAUCCCCCAAAUUAGGGGUUUAUUAUGACUAAAACCUUUAUGCUCUCUUAGAAUCCUAAAAUAAGGUUAGAGAUAUCAUAAUUAGGCUCAGGGGUUUUAUUAAAAAAAAAUAAUUACUAAUUUUGGCUCAACAAGGGUGCAAGGGAUAAAUUUCAUCACAGGUUGGCUUUUUGGCUAUGUGGCUAAAAUAAAGAAACAUGGCCUUGAUCAUAUCCACCUUAUGCAAAUAAUCUAACAGUCUAAGAAUGAUGCAAAAUUAGGAAUUUAAAAACAGACGUUCUCUCAUAAUUAAGUUCACACAGCUCACCGGGACAAGAUAAAGUUAUUGGCUUACCGGACCAUGAUCUCUUUCCAUCAAGCUAACCUUUUCUCUCUUUGUGAUUCAUGUCCCACUGUCUGACUGACUCUUGCUUCCAGGAACCUAGUAUUUUCACAAUUGUCAUGCAGCAUUUCAAGUGUUGAAUCCUUCAGAAAAAGCCUAAAUAAUGACUUCACAAAUAUCAUGUAAUUUUUAUUCAAUAACUGAAUUUAAACUACUAAAAAUUAAAUUGCUGAAAUUAAAAUGUGCAAAAUCAAAACAAAGAAAAGAAAUAACACAACUAUCCUAAAAAAAACAAAUUGCAAUUAACUGAAAGAGAUAAAGUUAGAAAUCCUGAGUUGCCUCCCAGUAAGCGCUUCUUUAACGUCAUUAGCUUGACUGGUCAAAUGCCUUCAAGGUGGCGUGAUGGAUGGGCUGUUGAAGUCUAGAAGCUGUGACCAUAAUCAGAGCUUAAUUUAGCCACAAAACAUUAAUAUCUAAUCUUAUUGGAAAUGAUAUUAAUGGAUUAAAAGAUAAGCAUUUCUUUUUAAACUUUAUACAUCAUUCACAUAAUUAUUUCAUCUAUCAUGUUUACCAUUUUCUAAUUUUAAUUUAUAUUUCCUUCUUCGUAAAUAUAAAGACAUGUACACCAAUUAACAAACUUGAUGUUGUUUACAACUUCUUUUAAAAAAAUGUUGUUUACAACUUAUAUUCCACAUUAAUUAAUUAUUAUCUUAAUCUUUCUUUUUCAAACGUAACUUAUAAUAAAUUUUUCAUAUAAAAAUUAAUUCUAACAUUAAAUUUUAUUCUGAAUGUUAAACAGCCACAUUAAUAACACUUACAAUGUCCAACUCCUAAAUUGUGACAAAUAUAAGUUUUCUGACUUAUAAAUAUUUUAAUUUGUAAAUUAAAUUUUUUACAAAUAUUAAUUUAAAAAUAUUUUGUUUAAAUAAUAUAAUUUUGAAAAGUAUGUUUAUUAUAUAUAUAUAUAUUUUUUUUAACAAAUAUUUUAUAAUUAUGUAUUCUUUUUAAUUUAAUAUAAUAUUUAUUUUUAAAUAUUUCUAACAUCUUGAAAUUAUAUCAUAUACAAUUACUAAUUUACAAAUAAUUCUAUAAAUGAUAUAAUUUUGACAAAUAUAUUUUUUACGUAUAAUUUCAAUAAAUAUUUUAUAAUUAAAAUUUUUAUAGUUUAAAGAAAUAUUUAUAUUUUAAAAGGAUGUCUCCACAUUAUAUGUUUCAUAAAAAUUAUUUCUAGCGUUAUUUCAAAAAAAAAUUUGGGGAGAAAUUGCAUAAAGUAAGGCAAAGGUUUUAGCUUGACAAUUAAAAAAAAAUGCAUAACAAAGGAUAACCAUUUUUGAAAUAAAAUAAAUUUAUUUAAUUAAAUUAAAAUAUAUUUUAUUUUGGAGAGUGAAGGAAACAUGUCAUAAAAAAAAAAACUACAAACCUCCAUUGUUUUUAAAAAUCAUAAAUCCAUAUACCUGAAUAGGGGUAAACAAAUUUUUCAAAAUCUCUAUCAUUCUUUUCCAGUAUCAAAUUUAAAUUAUUUUCCUAUUUUUAAGAUGACAAAUUGUUUCUGUAAAAAAGAUAAUAAAUUAUUAAGAACAAAUUCAAAUAUAUAUAUAUAUAUAUAUAUAUAUAUAUAUAUAUAUAUAUAUAUAUAAAAUUAUAACCAAAACUAAAAAUAUUUUUUAUAAACAAAUAAUAUGAAAAAAAAUUAAAUUCAAUGAGCUAGUUCACAAGCUAGUUCUGUCAAGCACACCAUAUCUCUUCCUUAAAACAUUUUUUUUGUUUAAAUCGUUAAGAUUUAAAUAGGUAAAUUUUUUAAUUUUGGUUUUUUCCCUUUCAAAUAAUUGUUAUAUUUUUGCUACCAAAUAAAUAAUUUUUGUAUUUUAUUUUUUUACUUUGGAUUUAUUUAGAUAGGGCUUUAGAAAAUGGAAUAAAAUUAUUUUGAUAGUUAUUUAGGAAAAAAAAAGAAAAAAUUAUUACAAACCAAAAAGUUAACAAAAAUUUAUUAGGAAUAAAAAAAUUAAUGAUUUAUCAAGAACUAAAAACAUAUUUAAAUCGUUUAUAACAUAAAAGAACAUGAAAAAUCAACCAUUAUGCAAUUCUCUUUGAACAAGACUUAUAAUUUCCGUCUAGUACUUCUUUACUUGUGGAUAUUAAAAUUAUAAGAUGUAACAUUUUUAAAUUAAAUUUCAGAGAGCAACUCAGUCCAUACACUAAGAUAGUGUUUUACCUUGACAGUUGAAAAAAUGCAUUAAAAAGAAGGAUUUGGCGUGAAGGUUUCAAGACAAUACAUGCAUGUCUAAUGUUAUUUCAUUUCUAGUUGGUAUAAGAGCACAAACAAUGCAUACUAAAGGAAAGGCUAUGGGUAUAGCCUAGGUCUCAUGGUCCGUAGGAUAUCACAUUCAUUUUUUAUUAAGUAAUUUUUCCCAAAUUAGAAUAAUUUGAAAUAAAAGUAGCAUUACUAAAAUCAGUUAUAAUUAAAUCUAAACUUUUUUCUUUUUCAAUUACUAUUACGAUAAAUUGGCAGUGGUACGUGCUGUAAAUAUUACAUCUACUUAUAAUGUCAGCACCCAAAAAUUAUUUUUAUAAUGUAAAAUUUACAUUGUCAUUAAUUUGCUUUAUUAAUUUUUAUUAUAACUAUUUAAAAUUUAUAUUAUUAUCAUAAAAUCCGUAUCUAUAAUUUUUAAUUAAGCACAAAUUUUUUUAAUUUUAGUAAAUAUUAAAAAAUAUAUAAUAUAAUGUUAGUAUUUUUCAAAAAAAAAAUCAACAUUAUCAUUAAAUAAAUCAGUGUGCGCGCUGUACAAUAAUUCACUUUUAUCAUUGAAAAUAAAAAUAAAAACUGUUAUUCAAAAUAAAAUUUGCAUUAGUGACUAUUAUAAUAAUUAUCUUAAUGAUUAAAUAUAUUUUUAUCUUUAAUAAAUAUUUUUUUCCCUAAUAAAUAUUUGUUUUUUUAGUAUCUUAUUAAAUAAUAAUUUUGUUUUUUGUCCUAGAUAUUUUGUUGUAAUCCCUAAUGAAUUAACAAUUUUUUUUUACUUCCUUUUAAAUUAACGAAUUUUUCUUUGUCCGACUAAUAAUAAAUAAAAAAUUAUCAAAAAAUAAGCACACAAUUUAUGAAUUUAUCAUGAACUAAAAAAAAGUAUCAAUGACUAAAAUAAAAUAAUUUUUUUAUUUGAAAUUCAACACAGAAUAAAAAUUUAUAAAAAAUUAAAUAUGGGGUACCAAAUUUCAAAUUUGGCAAUAACACAUUAUCUAAUAAUGACCUCCAAAUCAAUUUUGAUGGCAAUGUUGUAACAACCUUAAUAAUUUCUUUGACAUAUCUGCGUUCCUUCUCUUGCAUAAAUUGACUUCCAAGUCAAUGCAAAACAAAAGACACUAUAGCAACGUUUUGCAUGGGGUAGAAAAUUGGAAACCGUGUCAACUUUUUUGCUAAAGAAACCUCUACUCACCCUUAACACACUUUCUAUCCCUCUCAUUCUCUCCAUAAAUUAUAUUUGCUUUGUCUUUUACUAAUAAAUAAGCAAAUUAUAAUCACCCCAUUAACAAACUAAUUUUUUUAGUAAUCCAUUAACAGCCUCAUUUGCAGGAUUUCUUUGGCUAAUUUAUGCGAUGAUUUCUAAACAUUUUGGAAUACAAAUACCAAUUAUAUAUAUAAGUUCUAAAAGAUAGAAACUAUAUAACUCUAUUACUAUAAUAAAGAUGCAUUCUUUUUUAAUUGAUAAAUUGUUUAGUUUAUUAAUUUUAUUUAUUCAAAUUAAUUGUAUCCAGUGCUAUUUAAUUGAAAAAAAAUGUUGUUUACAACUUAUUUAUCACGUUAAUUAUUAUCAUACUCUUUUUUUUCAAACAAAAUUUAUAAUCAUAUUUUCUUAUAAAAUUUAAUUCUAAAACAUUUAAUUUUAUUCUCAUGUUAUGAAACGUGUGUGCAGCAAGUCACUCUUGUUUGCCUAAAAAGAGACUUCCAGGUCAAUUAAUUUCGUUUUGCGUGAUGGAUGGGCUGUUGAAGUCUAGAAGCUGGGACCAUAAUCAGAGCUUAAUUUAGCCUCAAAACAUGAAUAUCUAAUCCUAUUGGAAACGAUAUUAACGGAUGAAAAGAUAAGCAUUUCUUUUUUAAACUUUAUACAUCAUUCACAUAAUUAUUUCAUCUAUCAUGUUUACCAUUUUCUAAUUUUAAUUUAUAUUUCCUUCUUCGUAAAUAUAAAGACAUCUACACCAAUUAACAAACUUCAUGUUGUUUACAACUUCCUUUAAAAAAAUGUUGUUUACAACUUAUAUUCCACAUUAAUUAAUUAUUAUCUUACCCUUUUUUUCCAAACAUAACUUAUAAUCAAUUUUUCAUAUAAAAAUUAAUUCUAACAUUUAAUUUUAUUCUAAAUGUUAAACAGCCACAUUAAUAACACUUACAAUGUCCAACUCCUAAAUUGUGACAAAUAUAAGUUUUCUGACUUAUAAAUAUUUUAAUUUGUAAAUUAAAUUUUUUACAAAUAUUAAUUUAAAAAUAUUUUGUUUAAAUAAUAUAAUUUUGAAAAGUAUGUUAAUUUUAUACAUAUGCUUUCAACAAAUAUUUUAUAAUUAUGUAUUCUUUUUAAUUUAAUAUAAUAUUUAUUUUUAAAUAUUUCUAACACCUUGAAAUUAUAUCAUAUACAAUUACUAAUUUACAAAUAAUUCUAUAAAUGAUACAAUUUUGACAAAUAUAUUUCUUAUGUAUAAUUUCAAUAAAUAUUUUAUAAUUUAAAUUUUUAUAGUUUAAGGUAAUAUUUAUAUUUUAAAUAUUUUUCUCCAAAUUAUAUAUUUCAUAAAAAUUAUUUCUAGCGUUAUUUCAAAAUAAAUUUUGGGGAGAAAUUGCAUAAAGUAAGGCAAAGGUUUUAGCUUGACAAUUAAAAAAAAUGCAUAACAAAGGAUAACCAUUUUUGAAAUAAAAUAAAUUUAUUUAAUUAAAUUAAAAUAUAUUUUAUUUUGGAGAGUGAAGGAAACAAGUCAUAAAAAACUAAACAAAAUAAAAAUAAAACUACAAACCUCCAUUGUUUUGAAAAAUCAUAAAUCCAUAUACCUGAAUAGGGUUAAACAAAUUUUUCAAAAUCUCUAUCAUUCUUUUAUAGUAUCAAAUUUAAAUUAUUUUCCUAUUUUUAAGAUGACAAAUUGUUUCUGUAAAAAAGAUAAUAAAUUAUUAAGAACAAAUUCAAAUAUAUAUAUAUACAUAUAUAUAUAUAUAUAUAUAUAUAUAUAUAUAUAUAUAUAAUUAUAACCAAAACUAAAAAUAUUUUUUAUAAACAAAUAAUAUGAAAAAAAAUUCAAUUCAAUGAGCUAGUUCUGUCAAGCACACCCUAUUUAUUCCUUAAAACAUUUUUUUUUGUUUAAAUCGUUUAGAUUUAAAUAGGUAAAUUUUUUUAAUUUUGGUUUUUUCCCUUUUAAAUUAUUGUUAAAUUUUUGCUCCCAAAUAAAUAAUUUUUGUAUUUUAUUUUUUGACUUUGGAUUUAUUUAGAUAGGGCUUUAGAAAAUGGAAUAAAAUUAUUUUGAUAGUUAUUUAGGAAAAAAACAAAAGAAAAAAUUAUUACAAACCAAAAAGUUAACAAAAAUUUAUUAGGAAUAAAAAAAAUUAAUGAUUUAUGAUGAACUAAAAACAUAUUUAAAUCGUUUAUAACAUAAAAGAACAUGAAAAAUCAACCAUUAUGCAAUUCUCUUUGAACAAGACUUAUAAUUUCCGUCUAGUACUUCUUGACUUGUGGAUAUUAAAAUUAUAAGAUGUAACAUUUUUAAAUUAAAUUUCAGAGAGCAACUCAGUCCAUACACUAAGAUAGUGUUUUACCUUGACAGUUGAAAAAAUGCAUUAAAAAGAAGGAUUUGCCGUGAAGGUUUCAAGACAAUACAUGCAUGUGUAAUGUUAUUUCAUUUCUAUGUGUAAUUUAAACAAAGAUAUGAAGUAGAAAAAUAAAAUAAAUCAUGUUUGCAGAAAAAAUGAGUUCCAAGUCAAGUCAAUUUAAAUUGCAAUUGCUGGGACAACUUUGAUAGCGUGUAAAAGGAUCAUAAGAUUUAUGGUCAAUUUGCGUGAGGUUUGGGCUGUUGAAGUCUUGAAGCUUAAUUUAGCCACAAAUUUUGCAUAUCAUCUUUUUAAUUUGACUAUAAAUAUUAAUGUUUGGUUGCUCAGUAUUAAUUUCAUGUAUAUUUUCCAUCCCUUAUAGUAAAGAGUAUUUGAGUAGAAAAUGGAAUCAUGGAUGUGGUGUUUCCUUCUCUGUUCCCAUUUGCUCAUCCUUUAUUUUUCACCCUCUCAUUCCUUAUGCCACCCCCAUGACACCUCUGCCUUGCUCCACUUCAAAAACUCCUUCAUUAUUUAUGAAGAUCCUUAUUAUGAUGCAUGUGAUACUGCUGGUUAUUUUUCAAAGACGAGAACAUGGGAAAAUGGGACAGAUUGUUGCUCUUGGGCUGGAGUCACCUGCCACCCCAUCUCUGGUCACGUCACUGACCUCGACCUCAGCUGCAGUGGUCUUGUCGGCAAUAUCCAUCCGAACAGUACGCUUUUCCAUCUUUCUCAUCUUCACUCACUCAACCUUGCUUUAAAUGAUUUUGAUGAAUCUCAUUUGUCAUCUCUCUUUGGUGGGUUUGUGAGCCUCACUCAUCUCAACUUGUCUGGUACGUACUCUGAAGGGGAUAUUCCUUCCCAAAUUUCUCACCUUUCCAAAUUAGUCUCACUUGAUCUCUCAUAUAAUGGGUUAAAGUGGAAGGAACACACUUGGAAGAGAUUGCUCCAAAAUGCAACAGUUUUAAGGGUGCUUCUUUUGGAUGAAAAUGAUAUGUCUUCCAUUUCAAUCAGGACACUCAAUAUGUCUUCCUCUUUGGUUACUCUUAGUCUUCGAGAGAAUGGGCUAAGAGGAAACUUGACAGAUGGCAGUCUCUGUUUACCAAAUCUUCAGCACUUGGAUCUUUCAUAUAAUCGGGCCCUUAAAGGUCAGCUUCCAGAAGUGAGUUGCAGAACAACUUCUCUUGAUUUCUUAGAUAUUUCAAAUUGUGGUUUCCAAGGGUCAAUCCCUCCCUCUUUCUCCAACCUCAUACAUCUCACUUCCCUGGACCUUUCAGAUAACAACCUCAACGGUUCAAUCCCUCCCUCUUUCUUUAACCUCACACAUCUUACUUCCUUGGAUCUCUCAGAUAACAACCUCAACCUCAACGGUUCAAUCCCUCCCUCUUUCUCCAACCUCAUACAUCUCACUUCCCUGGACCUUUCAGGUAACAAUCUCGGUUCAAUCCCUCCCUCUUUCUUUAACCUCACACAUCUCACUUCCCUGGAUCUCUCAUUUAACAACCUCAACGGUUCAAUCCCUCCCUCUUUCUCCAACCUCAUACAUCUCACUUCCCUGGACCUCUCAGGUAACCACCUCAACGGUUCAAUCCCUCCCUCUUUCUCCAACCUCAUACAUCUUACUUCCUUGGAUCUCUCAUAUAACAACCUCAACGGUUCAAUCCCAUCCUCACUCUUGACCCUUCCACGGCUAAACUUUCUGUAUCUAUACGAUAAUCAACUCAGUGGUCAAAUCCCAGAUGCGUUUCCUCAGUCAAACAGCUUUCACGAAUUGCAUUUGAGUGAUAACAAAAUAGAGGGUGAGCUGCCUUCAACACUUUCAAAUCUUCAACAUCUCAUUCACUUGGAUCUUUCAUAUAAUAAAUUGGAGGGCCCUCUGCCUAACAAUAUAACAGGGUUUUCAAACCUAACAUCGUUAUGGUUAAAUGGAAACUUACUGAAUGGGACAAUUCCUUCUUGGUGUUUAUCUUUGCCAUCUUUGAAGCAGUUAGAUCUAUCAGGAAACCAACUCUCUGGGCAUAUUAGUGCAAUCUCAUCAUAUUCCUUGGAGACAUUGUUUUUAUCCCACAACAAGUUACAAGGCAAUAUUCCAGAAUCAAUUUUUAGCCUUGUAAACCUUAUUUUCUUAGGUCUAUCAUCAAACAAUUUAAGUGGAUCUGUCAAAUUUCAUCGUUUCUCCAAGCUUCAAUAUUUGGAAGAACUUCACCUUUCAUGGAAUGAUCAGUUAUCACUAAAUUUCGAAUCCAAUGUCAAUUAUAAUUUCUCUAAUUUAAUGUUGUUGAACUUAUCUUCUAUGGUUUUAACUGAAUUUCCAAAAUUAUCGGGAAAAGUCCCAAUUUUAGAAUCACUCUAUUUGUCCAAUAACAAACUUAAAGGUAGAGUGCCACAUUGGUUGCAUGAAAUAUCGUUAUCUGAAUUGGACCUCUCUCAUAACCUAUUGACACAAUCAUUGCACCAAUUCUCGUGGAACCAACAACUCGGUUACCUUGAUCUUAGUUUUAACUCAAUCACUGGUGACUUCUCUUCCUCAAUUUGCAAUGCAAGUGCAAUUCAAAUUCUCAACUUGUCUCACAACAAGUUGACAGGAACCAUUCCACAAUGCCUUGCAAACUCAUUAUCCCUUCAAGUUUUGGAUCUACAACUGAACAAGCUUCAUGGCACUUUGCCAAGUAUCUUUUCAAAGGACUGUCGGCUCAGAACUCUGGAUCUCAAUGGCAACCAACUAUUAGAAGGUCUUUUGCCAGAAUCUUUGUCCAAUUGCAUUCAUCUGGAGGUUUUAGAUCUUGGAAACAAUCAAAUAAAGGAUGUGUUUCCCCAUUGGCUUCAAACUCUACCAGAAUUGAAAGUAUUGGUUUUGCGAGCCAACAAGUUGUACGGUCCCAUUGUCGGUUUAAAGAUCAAGCAUGGAUUCCCCCGUUUAGUCAUCUUUGAUGUCUCUUUCAACAACUUCAGCGGCCCAAUACCAAAAGCCUACAUACAAAAAUUUGAAGCGAUGAAGAACGUUGUUAUAGAUACCGAUCUGCAGUACAUGGAAAUUUCUAUUGGAGCUAAGAUGUACAGUGAUUCUGUGACUAUAACAACAAAAGCAAUUACUAUGACAAUGGACAAAAUUCCAAAAGGCUUUGUCAGCAUUGAUUUAUCAAAAAACGGAUUUGAAGGAGAGAUUCCAAAUGCCAUUGGAGAGCUUCAUGCCCUCAGAGGGCUCAACCUUUCCCAUAACAGAAUUAUUGGUCCUAUUCCCCAAUCCAUGGGAAAUUUGACAAACUUAGAAUCAUUGGAUCUCUCCUCAAAUAUGCUCACUGGUGGGAUACCUACGGAAUUAAGCAACUUGAACUUCCUUGAAGUCCUAAAUCUUUCCAAUAACCAUCUUGCUGGAGAAAUACCUCGAGGACAACAGUUCAGUACUUUUACCAAUGAUUCCUAUGAGGGAAACUCUGGGUUAUGUGGACUCCCACUGACAAUCAAAUGCAGCAAGGACCCUGAACAACAUUCUCCACCUUCAACUACCUUGAGGAGAGAAGGAGGAUUUGGAUUUGGUUGGAAACCAGUGGCUAUAGGAUAUGGAUGUGGAAUGGUCUUUGGAGUGGGAAUGGGAUGUUGUGUAUUGUUAAUAGGAAAGCCUCAAUGGCUUGUGAGAAUGGUCGGAGGUAAACCCAAUAAAAAGGUGAAAAGGAAGACAAGGAUGAGAUCUAAUGAAAAUGGUAGCAGAAUGAAUUAGUUGAUAUAUGGCAUGACUGGAGAAUGUCUUGUUACAUACCUGCCAUCUUUGAAAACAAAACUUAAGGGCAAGAACUUUAUCACACUGCAUUGCAUGGGAGAUCUGGUUCAAAGUUUUGCUGUAAUAUGAAUGUGUUAUACUCUUGCUUUUGUCGUAUAACUGUGGCAUUAAUUGGUUGUAUAAUAAUAGAUGUUGUAUAUUUUUAAAAAUGGUAUGUAUUGGCCAAUGCUAAAAUAUUUUGUAUCUUAAUUCAAGGAGCUGAAUUCACGGUUUUAGCUUCCAUUGUAGUCUAUUUAAUUAAUUUUCUAACUAUUUAACCACCGUGACAUGGCUUUAGAAGCUGAGGGGUCCAGGGACUUAACUAUAAGAGCACAAACAAUGCAUACUAAAAAGUUGCAUAUUUAUUUUUAUAGCCUAGGCCUCAUGGUCCGUAGGAUAUCACAUAUUUAUUUUUUAUUAAGUAAUUUUUCCCAAAUUAGAACAAUUGUCUGGUGAAAAUUUUCAAACUUUGAAAUAAAAGUUGCAGUACUAAAAUCAGUUAUAAUUAAACCUAAACUUUUUCUUUUUCAAUUACUAUUACGAUAAAUUGGUAGUGGUACGUGCUGUAAAUAUUACAUCUACUUAUAAUGUCAGCACCCAAAAAUUAUUUUUAUAAUGUAAAAUUUACAUUGUCAUUAAUUUGCUUUAUUAAUUUUUAUUAUAACUAUUUUAAAUUUAUAUUAUUAUCAUAAAAUCUGAAAAAUCGUAUCUAUAAUUUUUAAUUAAGCGUAAAAUUUUGUAACUUUUAUAAAUUUUAGUAAAUAUUAAAAAAAUAUAUAAUAUAAUGCUAGUAUUUUUCAAAAAAAUCAACAUUAUCAUUAAAUAAACCUGUGUGUUGUACAAUAAUUCCCUUUUAUCAUUCAAAAGAAAAAUUGAAACUGUUAUUCAAAAUAAAAUAACCAUUAGUGAAUUUUAUGAUAAUUACCUUAAUGAUUAAAUAUAUUUAGUUAAUUUUUUUUGCUCCCUAAUAAAUUUUUGUUUUGUUUUGAGUACUAUAUAAAACAAUAAUUUUAUUUUUGGUCCUAGAUAUUUUGUUGUAUAUAAUCCCUAAUAAGUUAGCAAAUUUUUGUUUACUUCCUUUUAAAUUAACAAAUUUUGUUUUAGUCCCAACUAAUAACAAAUGAAAAAAAUUAUCAAGAAAUAAACACACAAUUUGUGAAUCUAUCAGGGACUAAGAAAAGUAUCAAGAACCAAAAUAAAAUGAUUUUUUUAUUAGAAACUCAACGAAAAGUAAAAAUUUAUUAAAAAUUAAAUACAAAAAAUAAAUAUUUAUUAGGGAUUAAAAUUAUAAUUAAAACUUGUCUUAAAUAUUAAAUCUAUUAUAAUUAUUAAUUGGUUCACAACAUAUAAAUAUUUACACUUGUUAAAAUAUACUAUAAUUUCUCUUAAAUUAUUAGGUAAAAUUGGUAAGAGUGUGAGAAACUUAAUUAUUUAUCAAUACCAGCUAUGUGAAUGAACUAAUGUGGGUUUUUGAGCUAGAGACUCUUGGGAAAAAAAUAUUGUCUCAUAAUGAGAAGAAUACAUCAUAAAAAAAUAGAAAAUAUAAAAAUUUGUUUAAUAUGUUUCAACCCUCAUCCUUGCAUUGACAAUAUUAUACAUUUUAAGGAUAACAUAGAAAAAUUUACAAACAUUUUCUCCUUACGAUUUCCCCUCUGUUUGUUAGGGUAGUGACAGUUUCUUCGCACUAGAUGUGGUGAUUCUUCUCAUCUCAAAAAAUCUCUAUUUAUAAACCUAACAUUCUAAUAUUAACUGAAUUCAAAUCCUUAAUUUAUAAAUAAUAUAUUUAAUUCUAAAUGAUAUCCUAAAAAUAAGAUAAUAUCUUUUUUAAAAGCUAAACAAUAUCCUAUAGAUUUGUUAUUCAUUGAUUGAACCAUCAUUAAUUCCUACAUCCACAACUUUUAUAUAAGAUUUUAUGACAAGCAAGACAAACUUGCAAACCUUCCCUUGAUAUGACUCAUCUCUCUUAGGGUAUUGACCUAGGUUGAGUGAUUAUUCUUAUCUCAUAAAUCUUAUUUUAUAGACAUAACAUUCUAAUCUUAAAUGAGGAAACAAAUACCUAAUUUAUUAAUAAUAUAUUUAAUUUUAUCAACAUUCUAAAAAUAAGAUAAUAUCUUUUUUUAAGAAAAUAAAUAUCUUAUAGAUUUGAGAAUACAAAUAAGAUAUAUCUAACAAGAAGCAAAGUUGGACUUAUGUAGAUCAACCAACUAAUCCCUAUACCCACUCAUCACCUAAGCUCAGCCAAAACUCGCUUAGGCCUCAACCCUGCAUCGCUUAAGCUCUUAGCCAACACCACUUAAGCUACAUAAAAAAACAUGCUAAUUUUUGUGCCCAUUCUAGCUUAAGCGCUACCCAACACCAUUUAAGCUACUUCAAACUAAUUUACUCAAAUUAAAAAGAAUAAUGAUUCAACUAUUUAAUCACUACACAUUAAAUACCUAAUUUAUUUUCCGCACAUCACGCAACUGGUCCAUUUAUCUUUUUUAUUUAUUUCUUACAUGUAAUUUUCUUUUUAUUUUUUAAAAUCCAAAAUUUUCAUCUCUAUUUUAAAAUAAAGAUAUUUAAUCGAUUGUUUUUUACGAUCUAUAAUUUUAAUUUUCUAUUUUAAAAUAGAAAUAUUAGUCAUUUAUAUUUAUAAAAUAUGGAAUUUUAGUUAUCCCCAACUAAAAGCUUUGAUUGUUAAGAGCUUAAUCUUUAUUAUGAUAUAGAUUAACUAAAUUAUCUUGUGUCACAUUAUUAGAUUUGAAUCACAUCAAGUUAGCUUCUUACUAAUCAACGCUAAAUGAUUAUGUGGAUAUAAUCACAAAUGAUCAAAAUUAUAAAUUUUAUAACCUUAAGUAAUUAAUUGUUUUUAUUUUAAAAUAGAAGUAUUAAAAUUGUAAAAUAUAAAAAUUAAGACGGUCAAAUAUUUUUUAAAAUAUAGAAAUCAAAAUUAGAUAUUUUGAAAAUAGGAAAAAAUUACAUUUAAGUUUUUAUUUUUAUUUUUUACCGGAGGUCCAUAUGUCUAGUACUUAGAAAUCACGUCAUUAUAAAAAUGCGCCACUAGAGCAUAAUAUAAUAGCAUGAAGGACGUCAUUAUAAUUACAUUUAAGCCAUGAAGAACGUUGUUAUAUAUGCCAAUCCGCAAUACAUGGAAACUUCUGUUAUGGUUAGUGACACCAACAACACUGAUCAUGAAACCAACUACGCUGAUUCUGUGACUGUAACAAAAAAAAACAAUUACUAUGAAAAUGGACAAAAUUCGAAAUGACUUUGUAAGCAUUGCACAACAGAUUUGUAGGAGAGAUAUUCCAAAUGCCAUUGGAGAGCUUCACUCACUCAGAGGGCUAAACCUUUCCCAUAACAGAUUUAUUGGUCCUAUUCUACAAUCCAUUGGAAAUUUGACAAAGUUAGAAUCAUUGGAUCUCUCCUCAAAUAUGCUCACUGGCGGGAUACCUAGAGAAUUAAGCAAUUUGAACUUUCUUGAAGUCCAAAAUCUUUCCAAUAACCAUCUUGCAUUUGUGGGAGAAAUACCUCAAGGAAAACAGUUCAGUACUUUUUCCAAUGACUCCUAUGGUAGAAACUUGGGGUUGUGUGGACUCCCAUUGACAGCAGAAUGCAGCAAGGACCUUGAACAACAUUCUCCACCUUCACUAACCGUUGGGGGAGAACAGGGAGUUGGAUUUGGUUGGAAACCAGUGGCUAUGUGAUAUGGAUGCGGAAUGGUCUUUGGAGUGGGAAUGGGAUGUUGUGUAUUGUUAAUAGGAAAGCCUCAAUGGCUAGUGAGAAUGGUUGGAGGUCAACUCAAUAAAAAGGUGAAAUGGAAGACAAGGAUGAGAGCUAAUGAGAAUGGUAGCAGACUGAAUUAGUUGAUAUGUGGCAUGACUGUAGAAUGUCUUCUUGCACACCUUCCUGUUGAAAUUCAAUUCUGCCUUGUUGGAAAACAAAACUUAAGGGCAAGAACCUUAUCACACUGCAUUGCAUAUGCAUGCGAGAUCUGAUUCAAAGUUUAGUUGUAAUUGUAAUAUGGUGUUGUACUUUUUUUUCUUUGUGUUCAAUAAAUGAGUGUGAUAUACUUUUUUUUUUCUUCCAUUGCCCCAGAAACUCGGGUCUGAAUCAUCCAAAAGUUUGAUAAUUUUUCUGUUCAUUAAUACGCUUAGAUUGUUUUAUUUUUUUAAACUUUUUUAUAUUGGUGAAUAGUAUCAAGUUAAGUAGUGAAUAAUGUGUUGACAAUCAACAAUCAUUUCGCUAAUAUGCUGCAUAUUAGAAAAUUGUAGCAGUCAUUAAUACCAAUUUGCAUUAUGCACGCUAUUUUGAUCCCAUUGCUGUUGUGGAAGUAGUUUUGCUCCAGACAAGGAAUGGAAAUUGACCAGGAAUUUUGUUUUUUUGUGCCAUCGAUUGAGUUUGUAUAAGUGAAGAUAUGUUGAUCUUCUGACAACCUUUUUUUUUUCGAAAUUAUAAUAAUUACUAGUUCGCUAUCUAAAUUCAUGGGAAAUUGAAAAUUGAUUCCCACGAAACUGUAUUCUUCUUCUACAUUACACUUCUCAGGUGUUCAUAGAAGUCCUCUUCCUACUGGUAAGCCGUAUCAUAUUCACUCUCCCUUGCAUUCUGAUUUUUACUUAUAAAUAAGUUAAUGUCUAAGAGCAGGGUUGAAUGAGCGUAAAAAAAGAGAUAUUUUCUAUGAAGUUUUAAAACAAAUUUUACCGAAUUACAUUGUAAUUGAUCAAAUUCCAGAACCAGCCAUUUUGUAUUCUGUUCUGUUAGGCUCUAGCGUAGCUAACCCUAUACGAACUGGCUUAGCACACUUUACAUUAGUGGUUGGGUCUUGAACAUAUAUAGUUUCUUAUGCUUUAAAUUAAUAUUAAGCAUUGUGUUACUUCUAUGAUUGAGACAGCUAAUAGAGGAUGGGGUUGGAUUUUGGAAAUAAGGGGCUCAGAUACAAGUCUAGAUCCUCUUUAGUUUGUGAACUAAAAUUUUUGUUUUGGUUUUGCCUAUCUCUUAAUCUCUUAAGCUAUUAAAAUUAUUCUAGAAUCCACCUAAAGUUUUUUAUUCAAAAAUAAGUGUUGGAGUCUUAAGAUAAUGGUAUCAAGUUUAUUUAUGUAAUUUGUUUUUGGUGACCUAUUGCGGAAAAUCUUUUUAGUAUUUACUUUCUUGGAUUUUUCAAAAAAUUGAUAUUAGAGUCAAUCUUCGAUUUAGUGACCGGUUUAGACGAGGAAGAUGACGUUGAUGAAUUUAUGGAUAUAGAAUUUAUUGUAUCAAAAGUCUUUCUAUCAGCUGAAUUCAUGCAUAAAUGUCACGUAGCAAAGUUGUAGGUGUUACAAUAGUGCAAGCUACUAGAACAUGUUAUGACAAUGGCUAGACAAGCUAGAGACAAUAAAAAUUAAGUUUUAUGGGUCACCAUUAAAUAUUCUUAGAUUGAAAAUGACUUUCGGUCUUGACUUGAGAGCCUUUUUCUUAGUUUACACCUCGGCUGUGCCAUUAACAAUUGAUAAUGCUGUCUAGCAAGCUAUAUUGUGAAGAUAAAUACUUCUCUCCAUAUUUGUCCAUUUUACAUAUUUCCUGGUGUCAAAAUAUUAUUUUUAUUGUAUUUUUAUAUUUCCUGGUGUCAAGUAUCAAUGAUAAGUUUUACCAAAAAAUAAUAAUCAAUAACUAUAGUUAUGUAUAUAAGGAUAAUAAUUAUUUGACCUCUACAACAGGAUCCUAGUAUGAAGUAGUUCUGUAUGUAAAUCUUGCACAGACAAGCCAAAAUAAUAUAGCAUUGAUCAACCUGUUAAUUAGAAGAAUCAAGUUAAAAGCAGCUUGAAAAAGAGCAGGUAUAUGUAAAUAAUAGAAUACGGGGCCAUCUUGCAGUUGAGAGCGUCAUCUUUCUCCUCAUUUUGGAAUCACUCAAAUCCAAAUUUUGUAGAUUGAGAUAAUAUCAAAAUUUAAAACUUGUUCUAGGUCGUGUUUGGUGUGCAAAUUCUAUCUUAGAAGAUCCAAUUUGAACCAAGCACGUGGUUUCCCAUCACUUCUAUACUUGAAAAUAUAAAUAUGCUACAUUAAAGAGUUUUAUUCCAUUGAAUAUUCUUUCAGAAAAUGAUUUCGCAUUGGAUGUUCCUUCUUUCUAAAUGUGAUCUUUAAAACAAUGUAGAAUUUAUAAAAAAAAAUUGCGUGUAAUGUUCCUUCUUUAACAAAGGGGUCUUUGAACAAUUUUAAAUUUUAUAAACAUUUACUAAUUCUUUUUCUGUCGAUCACCAGAGGCUUAGUAUUAGAAUUUCAAAAUUUAGAUGUGAAAGGACGAAAACUGCAAUGUGAAAAGUGAAAGUUGUUACGUGGAAGUAUAUAUGGCAAAACGAAAAGAAAAAUUGGAAAGAACAAACUCCGUGUGAGCAUCACUAAUUAAAGUUAAAGUUGGACUAAAUUAAAAGAACCAAUAAAAACAAAAGUAAGAUCACUAAUUAAAGUUAAAGUUAGACUAAAAAAAAGAACCAAUACAAACAAAAGUAAGAGAAAUAAAAGGCAACAACUUACAGGUACCUCUCCAAAUACUUGCAAGCUUAAUAAAAUAAUUAAUGAAAAUCUAAUAAUAAAAAAUGGAGGAAAUAGCCAACAUACCUGCAAUAUAUUACCAUGCAUUGUUACAUCUCUACCACAAAACAUGAAUAUCUAAUCUUAUUGGAAACGAUAUUAAUGGAUGAAAUGAUAAACAUCUCUUUUUAAACCUUAUACAUCAUUCACAUAAUUAUUUCAUGUAUCUUGUUUAACAUUUUCUAAUUUUAAUUUAUAUUUUCUUCUUCGUAAAUAUAAAGAUAUGUACACCAAUUAACAAAGUUCAUGUUGUUUACAACUUCCUUUAAAAACAAUGUUGUUUACAACUUAUUUUCUACAUUAAUUAUUAUCUUAAUCUUUUUUUUUCAAACAAAACUCAUACUCAAUUUUUCAUAUAAAAAUUAGUUCUAACAUUUAAUUUUAUUCUCAAUGUUAAGCAACCACAUUAAUAACACUUUCAAAUCAUCCACCGUAUUCUAACAAUGUCCAACUCCUAAAUUGUGACAGAUAUAAGUUUUCUAACUUAUAAAUAUUUUAAUUACUAAAUUAAAUUUUUGACAAAUAUUAAUUUUAAAAAUAUGUUAAUUUUAUACAUAUGCUUUCAACGAAUAUUUUAGAAUUAUGUAUUUUUUAAUUUAAUAUAAUAUUUUUUUAAAUAUUUCUAACAUCUUGAAAUUAUAUCAUAUACAAUUAUUAAUUUACAAAUAACUUUAUAAAUGAUAUAAUUUUGACAAAUAAAUUUUUUAUGUAUAAUUUCAAAAAAUAUUUUAUAAUUUAAUUUUUUUAUAGUUUAAGGUAAUAUUUAUAUUUUAAAUAUUUUUUCUCCGAAUUAUAGUUUAAGGUAAUUUAUUUUUCAAGGGUUAAUAUUAUUGUUAGAGUCUGUUUAGCAAGCACUAUGAGUCUGUUUCACAAGUCACUCCAGUAGCUUAUAAUUUUGUUUGACUAGCAUAUAAGUUGAUUUUAUCAAAAUAAGUUUGGGUAUCAAAACAAACUUAAUUUAAUAACUUUUAGCUUAUUUUCAGACGCUAUUUCAACUAGUAUUUUAGCUUAUAAGUUAUUAAUUUAUUUUUAUAUUUAUAUUUUAUUAUUUUACUUUGAAUUAUUUUUUAUCCUUUUUUAAAUAAAACAAAUUUAUUUAAUUAAAAUAUAAUUUUUUAGAAAAAGAAGGACACAAGUCAUAAAAAAUAAAAAAAACUACAACACUCCAUUGUUUUCAAAAGUCAUAAAUCCAUAUACAUGAAGAGGGUUAAACAAAUUCAUCAAGUCUCUAUCAUUCUUUUAUAGUAUCAAACUAAAAUUAUUUUCCUAUUUUUAUAGGAUAAUAAAUUAUUACUAUAAAAAAGAUUAUAAAUUAUUAAAAAUAAAUUCAUAUAUAUAUAAUUAUAACCAAAUAACUAAAAUAGUUUUCUUAUUAACAAAUCUUAUGGGAAAAAAAUUAAUUCAAUGAGCUACCUCACAAGCUAGUUCUGUCUGGCACACCCUAGCUAUUUCUUCCUUUGAAAUAUUUUUUGUUUGAAUUGUUUAGAUUUAAAUAUAUUUUUAAUUCUUACUAAAAAAAUUUAAUUUUGUCUUUUGUCCCUGUUAAAUUAUUGUUAACUUUUUGGUCCUUAAUAAAAAAAUUUAUUUUAUUUUUUGACUUUGGAUUUAUUUAGAUAGGGCUUUAAAAAUGAAAUAAAAUUAUUUUCAAAGUUAUUUAAGAAAAAACAAAACAAAAAUAUUAUUACAAACCAAAAAGUUAAUGGAAAUUUAUCAGGAAUUAAAGAACAAAAUUUUAAGAUUUAUGAACAACCAAAAAUAUAUUUAAACAGUUUAUAAAACAAAGAGAACAUGAAAAAUCAAUCAUUAUGCUAUUCUCCUUGAACAAGAGUUAUAAUUUCCAUCUAGUACUUCUUUAUUUGUGGAUAUUGAAAUUAUUCGAUGUAACGCCUUUAAAAUAAAUUUCAGAGAGCAACUCAGCCCAUACACUAGAUUGUGUUCUACCUUGACAGUUGAAAAAAAUGCAUUAAAAAGAAGGAUUUGCCGUGAAGGUUCAAGACAAUACAUGCAUGUUUAAUUUUAAAUGAUGAUGAUAUAAACACUAUAAGGUUAUUUGUUAUUUAUUUGAUAAGUUAACUGACUGAAUAUUUAAUUCCACUCCACUACUUGCUAAAACUGACCACCCUCAUCCGAUUCACCGAAGGUUUACAAAAUUCGCUCCGUCAUGUUAUUCCAUUUCUAGUUGGUAUUUUAAAGGGAAAAAAAUGGUUAAAUAAAGAUAUGAAGCAGAAAAAUCAAAUAAAUCAUGUUUGCAGAAAAAUGAGUUCCAAGUCAUGCGUGAGGGAUGGGCUGUUGAAGUCUUGAAGCUUAAUUUAGCCACAAACUUUGCAUAGUGUUUUUAAUUUGGGUAUAAAUAUUAGUGUUUGGUUCCUCAGUAUUUCAUGUAUAUUUUCCCUUAUAGUAAACAGUUUUGAGUAGAAUAUGGAAUCAUGGAUGUGGUGUUUCCUUCUCUGUUCCCAUUUGCUCAUCCUUUAUUUUUCACCCUCUCAUUCCUUAUGCCACCCCCAUGACAACUCUGCCUUGCUCCACUUCAAAAACUCCUUCACUAUUUAUGAAGAUCCUUAUUAUUCUUAUUAUUGUGAUCAUGGUUAUUCAAAGACGACAACAUGGGAAAAUGGGAGAGAUUGUUGCUCUUGGGCUGGAGUCACCUGCCACCCCAUCUCAGGUCACGUCACUGAGCUCGACCUCAGCUGCAGUGGCCUUCACGGCAAUAUCCAUCCAAACAGUACGCUUUUCCAUCUUUCUCAUCUUCACUCACUCAACCUUGCUUUCAAUCAUUUGUAUACAUCUCAUUUGUCAUCUCUCUUUGGUGGGUUUGUGAGCCUCACACAUCUCAACUUGUCUCAUUCUGAAUUUGAAGGGGAUAUUCCUUCCCAAAUCUCUCACCUUUCCAAAUUAGUCUCACUUGAUCUCUCGUACAAUUUGUUAAAGUGAAAGGAAGACACUUGGAAGAGUUUGCUAAAAAAAUGCAACAGUUUUAAAGGUGCUUCUUUUGGAUUUUACAGAUAUGUCUUCCAUUUCAAUCAGGACACUCAAUAUGUCUUCUUCUUUGGUAACUCUUGGUCUUCUAGCAAAUGGGCUAAGCGGAAAGUUGACAGAUGGCAUUCUUUGUUUACCAAAUCUUCAGUACCUAUAUCUUUCAUUUAAUGAGGACCUUCAUGGUCAGCAGCUUCCAGAAAUGAGUUGCAGCACAACUUCUCUUGGUUUCUUAGAUCUUUCAGGUUGUGGUUUCCAAGGGUCAAUCCCUCCCUCUUUCUCUAACCUCACACAUCUUACUUCCCUGGAUCUCUCAGCUAACAACCUCAAUGGUUCAGUCCCAUCCUCACUCUUAACCCUUCCACGGCUAACCUUUCUGAAUCUAAACAAUAACCAACUCAGUGGUCAAAUCCCAAAUAUUUUUCCUAAGUCAAACAACUUUCACGAAUUGCAUUUGAGUUAUAACAACAUAGAGGGUGAGAUCCCAUCAACACUUUCAAAUCUUCAACAUCUCAUUAUCUUGGAUCUGUCACUUUGUGAUUUCCAAGGUUCAAUCCCUCCCUCUUUCUCUAACCUCAUACUUCUUACUUCCCUGGAUCUCUCAUAUAACCACCUCAACGGUUCAGUCCCAUCCUCGCUCUUAACCCUUCCACGGCUAACUUUUCUAAAUCUCAAUGCUAAUUGUCUCAGUGGUCAAAUCCCAAAUGUCUUUCUUCAGUCAAACAACAUUCACGAAUUGGAUUUGAGUAAUAACAAAAUAGAGGGUGAGCUGCCAUCAACACUUUCAAAUCUUCAACGUCUCAUUCUCUUGGAUCUUUCACAUAAUAAAUUUAUUGGUCAAAUCCCAGAUGUGUUUGUCGGGCUAACCAAAUUGAAUAGUCUCAAUCUUUCGGAUAACAAUUUAGGAGGCCCAAUCCCAUCUUCAUUAUUUGGCUUAACACAAUUUUCUUACUUGGAUUGUUCUAAUAAUAAAUUGGAGGGCCCCCUGCCGAACAAAAUAAGAGGGUUUUCAAAUCUAACAUCGUUAAGGUUAUAUGGCAACUUCCUGAAUGGAACAAUUCCUUCUUGGUGUUUAUCUUUGCCAUCUUUGGUGGAUUUAUAUCUAUCAGAAAACCAAUUCUCAGGGCAUAUUAGUGUAAUCUCAUCAUAUUCAUUGGUGAGAUUAUCUUUAUCCCACAACAAGUUACAAGGCAAUAUUCCAGAUACAAUUUUCAGCCUUGUAAACCUUACUGACUUAGAUCUAUCAUCAAACAAUUUAAGCGGAUCUGUCAACUUUCCACUUUUCUCAAAGCUUCAAAAUUUGGAAAGACUUAAUCUUUCACAUAAUAAUCAGUUAUCACUAAAUUUCAAAUCCAAUGUCAAUUAUAGUUUUUCCAGUUUAUGGAGUUUGGACUUAUCUUCUACGGGUUUAACUGAAUUUCCAAAAUUAUCAGGAAAAGUCCCAAUUUUGAAAUUACUCCAUUUGUCCAAUAAUACACUUAAAGGUAGAGUACCAAAUUGGUUGCACGACACGAACUCAUCGUUAUAUUUAUUGGACCUCUCUCAUAACCUAUUGACGCAAUCAUUGGACCAAUUCUCAUGGAACCAACACCUCGUUUACCUUGAUCUUAGUUUUAACUCAAUCACUGCUGGCUCUUCCUCAAUUUGCAAUGCAACUGCAAUUGAGGUUCUCAACUUAUCUCACAACAAGUUGACAGGAACCAUUCCACAAUGCCUUAUUAACUCAUCAACCCUGGAAGUUUUGGAUCUGCAACUGAACAAGCUUCAUGGCCCUUUGCCAAGUACCUUUGCAAAGAACUGUCAGCUCAGAACUCUAGAUCUCAAUGGCAACCAAUUAUUAGAAGGUUUUCUGCCAGAAUCUUUGUCCAAUUGCAUUAAUCUGGAGGUUUUAAAUCUUGGAAACAAUCAAAUAAAGGAUGUGUUUCCCCAUUGGCUUCAAACUCUACCAGAAUUGAAAGUAUUGGUUUUGAGAGCCAACAAGUUGUACGGUCCCAUUGAGGGUUCAAAGACCAAGCAUGGAUUCCCCAGUUUAGUUAUUUUUGAUGUCUCUUCCAACAACUUCAGCGGCUCAAUACCAAAUGCCUACAUAAAAAAAUUUGAAGCCAUGAAGAACGUUGUUCUAUAUCCCGAUUGGCAAUACAUGGAAAUUUCUAUUUCUUUUGCAGAAACCAACUACCAUGAUUCUGUGACUAUAACAACAAAAGCAAUUACUAUGACAAUGGACAGAAUUCGAAAUGACUUUGUAAGCAUUGAUUUAUCCAAAAACAGAUUUGAAGGAGGGAUUCCAAAUGCCAUUGGAGAGCUUCAUUCACUCAGAGGACUCAACCUUUCCCAUAACAGGCUUAUUGGUCCUAUUCCCCAGUCCAUGGGAAAUUUGAGAUACUUAGAAUCAUUGGAUCUCUCCUCAAAUAUGCUCAUUGGUGGGAUACCUACAGAAUUAAGCAAUUUGAACUUUCUUGAAGUCCUAAAUCUUUCCAAUAACCAUCUUGUGGGAGAAAUACCUCGAGGACAACAGUUCAAUACUUUUCCCAAUGAUUCCUACAAGGGAAACUCUGGGUUAUGUGGACUCCCACUGACAAUCAAAUGCAGCAAGGACCCUGAACAACAUUCUCCACCUUCAACUACCUUCAGGAGAGAACCAGGAUUUGGAUUUGGUUGGAAACCAGUGGCUAUAGGAUAUGGAUGUGGAGUGGUCUUUGGAGUGGGAAUGGGAUGUUGUGUAUUGUUAAUAGGAAAGCCUCAAUGGCUUGUGAGAAUGGUCGGAGGUAAACUCAAUAAAAAGGUGAAAAGGAAGACAAGGAUGAGAUCUAAUGAAAAUGGUAGCAGAAUGAAUUAGUUGAUAUAUGGCAUGACUGGAGAAUGUCUUGUUCCAUACCUGCCAUCUUUGAAAACAAAACUUAAGGGCAAGAACUUUAUCACACUGCAUUGCAUGGGAGAUCUGGUUCAAAGUUUUGCUGUAAUAUGAAUGUGUUAUACUUUUGCUUUUUGUGUUCUUUUUUUGUUUGUUAUGUGUAGAAGAGUGCAUGUACUUCAUUUGCCUUGAGCUUGCAGUUUUGAUUUAUUUAAUACGUAUAACUGUAGCAUUAAUUGGUUGUAUAAUAAUAGAUGUUGUAUAUUUUUAAAAAUGAUAUGUAUUGGCCAAUGCUAAAAUAUUUUGUAUCUUAACAGUAUGCAGUUGUCUCAUUUCAUUGAAGGAGCUCAAUUCACGGUUUUAGCUUGUAUUGUAGUCUAUUUACUUAAUUUGCUAAAUUAUCAAACUGUUAUUCAAAAUAAAAUAAGCAUUAGUGACUUUUAUAAUAAUUACCUUAAUGAUUAAAUAUAUUUUUAUUUUCAAUAAAUAGUUGAUUUUUUUGUUUAUUUCCCAAUAAAAAAAAUUAUUUUGAGUACCUUAUAAAAUAAUAAAUUUUUUUGUUUCCCAGAUAUUUUUUUUGUAAUCCCUAAUAAAUUAGCACAUUUUUGUUUACUCCCUCUUAAAUUAACGAAUUUUGUUUUAAUCCUGAUUAAUAAUAAAUAAAAAAAAUUAUUAAGAAAUAAAUAAAUACACAAUUUGUGAAUUUAUCAUGGACUAAGAAAAGUAUCAAGGAUCAAAAUAAAAUGAUUUUUUUAUUUGAAACUCAACGGAAAGUAAAAUUUUAUUAAAAAUUAAAUAUUUAUUAGUUAUUAAAAUUAUAGUUAAAACUUAUCUUAAAGAUUAAAUAUAUUAUAAUUUUUAUUUGGUUCACAACAUAUAAAUAUUUACCAUUGUUAAAAUAUACUAUAAUUUCUCUUAAAUUAUUUUAAUGAAAAUAAAUAGUAAAAUAGUAGGAACUUAAUCUAAGUUACGUUUAGUAAAUAUUGGGUAAAAUUGGUAAGAGUGUGAGAAACUUAAUUAUUUAUCACUACCAAAUAUGUGGAUCAACUAAUGUGGGUUGUUGAGCCAGAGACUCAUGAGAAAAAAUAUUGUCUCAUAGUGAGAAGAAUAAAUCAUAAAAAAUAGAAAAGAUAAUAAAUUUGUUCAAUAUGAUUUAGACCUUCAUCCUUGUAUUAACAAUCUGAUACAUUUUAAGGACAAUUUAGACAAACUUACAAACAUUCUCUUCUAACGAUUCCCCUAUCUUAGUUAGGGUAGUGAUAUUUUCUUCACACUAGAUGUGGUGAUUCUUUUUAUCUCAAAAAAUUUCUAUUUACAGAUCUAACUAAUCUUAAAUGAAUUCAAAUCCAUAAUUUACAAAUAAUAUAUUUAAUUCUAAAUGGUAUCCUAAAAAUAAGAUAAUAUGUUUUUAAAAAUCUAAACAAUAUCCUAUAAAUUUGAUAUUCAUUGAUUGGACCAUCAUUAAUUCCUACAUACCCAACCUCUAUAUAAGUUUUUAUGACAAGUUAGACAAACUUACAAAUAUUUCCUCUACAUGACUCAAUCUCUCUUAGGGUGUUGACCUAGGCUGAGUGAUUAUUCUCAUCUCAUAAAUCUUAUUUUAUAGACAUAACAUCCUAAUCUUAAAUAAGAAAACAAAUAUCUAAGGGUGUGUUAGGUUUGCAUUUUUAUUUUUUAUUUUCAUUUCCUGUUUUUAUUUUCUGAAAACUGUUUUCAUUUUUCAAAUAUUAGAAUUCUAAAAACAUGUUUGGUUUGAUUUUUUGUUUUAUGUUCUCAGGAAAUAAAAACACUGAAAAUUUAUGAUAUAUUAACUUCUUGUUUUUUUUUGUAUUUUUAGAUUUGCUUAAAAUUACAUUCUUUGCCAUUACGUUUUUAUUUUAUCCAAAAUAAGGGUCCUGUUUUAACUGAAAACGAGAUGUUAUUGUUUUCAUUUUCUGGUUGUUUCCUAUUUUCAUUUUCACUCAAAAUGUUUUUAAAAAUCGAAUCAAACACAUCUUCAUCAUUAUUUUCUGUUUUCAGUGAAAAUGAAAACAAAAAACAACCAAAUCAAACACCUCCUAAUUUAUUAAUAAUAUAUUUAAUUUUAACAACAUUCUAAAAAUAAGAUAAUAUUUUGGUUAAGAAAACAAUAUCUGACAAAUUUGAGAAUACAAAUUUAAAUUAUUUCCUAAUAAAGUCAUCGAUAUGUAGUUAAAUACUUAGAAAAAGAGUUUCAUCAUCCAUAAUAAUCAUAUUGACUCAAACAAGAUUAUCUUCAAUCAAAUAUACCUAUCUACGGAAGAAAGACCUAUGUAAGAUAAAUCUAACAUGAAGCCAAGUUGGACUUAUGUAGAUCAAUUAACCAACUAAUCCCUAUGCCCACUCAUCACCUAAGCUCAACCAAACUCGCUUAAGCCCCAACCCUGCAUCGCUUAAGCUCUUAGCCAACACCACUUAAGCUACAUCAAAAAACAUGUUAGUUUUUGUGCCCAUUCUAGCUUAAGCGCUACCCAACACCACUUAAGCUACUUCAAACUAAUUUACUCAAAUUAAAAAAAUAAUAAUGAUUCUACUAUUUAAUCACUACACAUUAAAUACCUAAUUUAUUAUCCGCUUAUCAAGCAACUGGUCCAUUUAUCUUUUUUAUUUGUUUAUUACAUGUAAUUUUUAUUUCUUUUAUUUUUUAAAAUCUAAAAUUUUGAUCUCUAUUUUAAAAUAAAGAUAUUUAGUCUAUUAUUUUUUACAAUCUAAAAUUUUAGUUUUCUAAUUUAAAAUAGAAAUAUUAGUCUUUUAUAUUUAUAAAAUAUGUAAUUUUAGUUAUCCCAACUAAAAGCAUUGUCUGCUAAGAGCUUAAUUUUAAUUAUGAUACAGAUUAAAUAAAUUAUCUUGUAUCACAUUAUUAAAUUUGAAUCACAUUAAGUUAGCUUCUUAUUAAUUAACGCUAAAUGAUUAUGUGGAUAUAGGCAUACGGAUGAUUAAAAUGAUGAAUUUUAUAAAAUUAAGUAAUUAUAUGUUUUUAUUUUAAAAUAGAAGUAUUACAAUUGUAAAAUAUAAAAAUUAAGAAGAUUAAAUAUUUUUUAAAAUAUAGAUAUUAAAAUUAAAUAUUUUGAAAAUAGGAAAAAAAAUAUAUUUAAGUUUUCUUUUACCGGAGGUCCAUAUGUCCAGUACUUAGAAAUCUCGUCAUGAUAAAAAUGCGUCACUAGAGCAUAAUAUAAUAGCAUGAAGAACGUCAUUAUAAUUACAUUUAAGCCAUGAAGAACGUUGUUAUAUAUGCCAAUCCGCAAUACAUGGAAACUUCUGUUAUUGUUAGUGACACCAACAACAUUGAUCAUGAAACCAACUACGCUGAUUCUGUGACUGUAACAACAAAAGCAAUUACUAUAUGAAAAUGGAUAAAAUUUGAGAUGACUUUGUAAGCAUUGAUUUAUCGCACAACAAAUUUGAAGGAGAGAUUCCAAAUGCCAUUGGAGAGCUUCAUUCACUCAGAGGGCUAAACCUUUCCCAUAGCAGGCUUAUUGGUCCUAUUCCCCCAUCCAUGUGAAAUUUGACAAAUUUAGAAUCAUUGGAUCUCUCCUCAAGUAUGCUCACUGGCGGGAUACCUAGAGAAUUAAGCAAUUUGGACUUUCUUGAAGUCCUAAAUCUUUCCAAUAACCAUCAUGUGGGAGAAAUACCUCAAGGAAAACAGUUCAGCAGUACUUUUUCCAAUGACUCCUAUGAUAGAAACUUGGGGUUAUGUGGACUCCCAUUGACAGCAGAAUGAAGCAAGGACCUUGAACAACAUUCUCCACCUUCACUAACCUUUGGGGGAGAACAGGGAUUUGGAUUUGGUAGAAAGCAGUGGCUAUAAUGCGGAAUGGUCUUUGGAAGGGGAAUGGGAUGUUGUGUAUUGUUAAUGGGAAAGCCUCAAUGGCUUGUGAGAAUGGUUGGAGGUCAACUCAAUAAAAAGGUGAAAUGGAAGACAAGGAUGAGAUCUAAUGAAAAUGGUAGCAGAACGAAUUAGUUGACAUGUGGCAUGACUGUAGAAUGUCUUCUUGCUCACCUUCCCGUUGAAAUUCAAUUCUGUCUUGUUGGAAAACAAAACUUAAGGGCAAGAACCUUAUCACACUGCAUUGCAUAUGCAUGGGACAUCUGAUUCAAAGUUUAGUUGUAAUUGUAAUAUGGUGUUGUACUUUUUUUUCUUUGUGUUCGAUAGAUGAGUGUGAUAUACUUUUUUUUUUACUUCCAUUGCCCCAGAAACUCGGGUCUGAAUCAUCCAUAAGUUUGAUAAUUUUUCUGUUCAUUAAUACGCUUAGAUUGUUUUAUUUUUUUUAACUUUUUUAUAUUGGUGAAUAGUAUCAAGUUAAGUAGUGAAUAAUGUGUUGACAAUCAACAAUCAUUUCACUAAUAUGCUGCAUAUUACAAAAUUGUAGCAGUCAUUAAUACCAAUUUGCAUUAUCGACGCUAUUUUGUUCCCAUUGCUGUUGUGGAAGUACUUUUGCUCCAGACAAGGAAUGGAAAUUGACCAGGAAUUUUGUUUUUUUGUGCCAUCGAUUGAGUUUGUAUAAGUGAAGAUAUGUUGAUCUUCUGACCACCUUUUUUUUCGAAAUUAUAAUAAUUACUAGUUCGCUAUCUAAAUUCAUGGGAAAUUGAAAAUUGAUUCCCACGAAACUGUAUUCUUGUUCUACAUUACACUUCUCAGGUGUUCUUAGAAGUCCUCUUCCUACUGGUAAGCCAUAUCAUAUUCACUCUCCCUUGAAUUCUGAUUUUUACUUAUAAAUAAGUUAAUGUCUAAGAGCAGGGUUGAAUGAGCGUAAAAAUUAGUUUGUAUGCUUUAAAUUAAUAUUAAGCAUUGUGUUACUUCUAUGAUUGAGACAGCUAAUAGAGGAUGGGGUUGGAUUUUUGAAAUAAGGGGCGCAGAUACAAGUCUAGAUCCUCUUUAGUUUGUGAACUAAAAUUUUUGUUUUGGUUUUGCCUAUCUCUUAAGCUAUUAAAAUUAUUCUAGAAUCCACCUAAAGUUUUUUAUUCAAAAAUAAGUGUUGGAGUCUUAAGAUAAUGAUAUCAUUAAGAUAAUGAUAUCAAGUUUAUUUAUGUAAUUUGUUUUUGGUGACUUAUUGCAGAAAAUCUUCUUGAUAUUUACUUUCUUGGAUUUUUCAAAAAAUUGAUAUUAGAGUCAAUCUUCGACAUAGUGACCGGUUUAGACAAGGAAGAUGACGUCGAUGAAUUUAUGGAUAUAAAGUUUAUUGUAUCAAAAGUCUUUCUGUCACCUGAAUUCAUGCAUAAAUGUCACGUAACAGAGUUGUAGGUGUUAUGUACAAUAAUGCAAGAUACUAAAACAUGUUAUGACAAUGGCUAGAAGAGCUAGAGACACUAAAAAUUAAGUUUCAUGAGUCACUAUUAAAUAUUCUUAGAUUGAAAAUGACUUUCGGUCUUGACUUGAGAGCCUUUUUCUUAGUUUACACCUGGCUGUGCCAUUAACAAUUGAUAAUGCUGUCUAGCAAGCUAUAUUGUGAAGAUAAAUACUUCUCUUCAUAUUUGUCCAUUUUACAUAUUUCCUGGUGUCAAAAUAUUAUUUUUAUUGUAUUUUUAUAUCCUUUAAAAUAAAUUUGCUUUUGGAGUUUUCUCUUGGACGAGAUACCAUUCAAAGAAUUUCACAUAAUGUAAAUGCACGGGGUUCUUUUUUAAUUUUGAUUUUGUGGCAUUUAUCUCUAUAUUUGGUUGAUAUAUUUGAAACUUGAUAGCGCGAUUAGCUGAUGUAUCAGUCAACGGACCCUAGUAUGGAAAAAGAAUACGGUGAAGACAGAAUUUUUCCACAAACUAAUGUAUCAGCGUGAGUUUCCUUUAAUUUUCUUUUGAUUUAAAUAUUUUUGUGGACGUGUUUUAAUUUUCAUUUUUUGAUGUGAUUGGCGAGCUUAAUUUUCUAACCCAUAUUUUAAGGGUUGGCAGACUUGGAAAUCAACGCUUGGAUUUAAUUGAACUGGCUGUUUAUACAUGUUUUGUUUUUAGAAUCAUAUCACAUAUAUGUAGUCUGUUGGUGAAAGUAUAUAGUGGCAGCUUAUGUUUUGGGCAGAAAUUGUUUCCUCAAACUUUCAUGUGAUAAGACAAAUUAACUUCUGAAUUUUCACAAUAAUAUUCUUCUAUGCUAUCAUAAGAAGAAGAAAAAACCACCAAUAACUUGUAGAUGCAUGUUCUCUUAAACAGGUGGUAUUCUUCUAGACCCAAAAAAAAAGGUGGUAUUCUCUGUGUUCAAUUAUAUCUUUUGGCUGGGAUCUUCCUUUUUCAUAUGUUGGGGUUUAAAAUAUUUAAUAGGGAUUAAUUAACAGGAACAUAUCCAGAAAAUAAUAACAAGCUUAAACAUACAAAAUUAUGUUAAUUAAUAAAUUUCAUCACUAUAUAUUUUAUAUAAAAAAAUUAAUUAACCUGUAUAUAUAAUUUUUUAAAGAAAAAUAUGAGAGGGAAACCAUUCUUGUUUCAUUUGAUACUGCCAUGUUAAUCAAUCAUGUCUAAUAAAUAUUUUCUCCGAUUUCUAUUAUAAAAAAAUUAUUUCAUAUUUAUUAAAAAAUUAAUUACUUUUAUUAAAUUGUAUUAAUAUUAAAAUAUUUUUUUUCUAAAUUAUUCUUCACUAAAAGUUGAUAUGAAGCAUAAAAAUAUCCAGCCUUAUAUAUAUUGUAGGCCAACACACAUUUCAUUUGCUUUUCUUUAUGAAAAAAGUUAAAUUAAUAGAGGAUGGGAUUGCAUUUUGGAAAUAAAGGGCUCACAUACAAGUACCUAGGUACAGUUUAGUUUGUGGCCUUAAACUCUGUUUUGGUUUUACCUUUCCUCUUGUGCUAUUAAAAUUCUUCUAGCAUCCGUUCACAAGUUUUUUAUUCAAAAGUAUUUGACGUACUGUUAGUUUAGUUGUUGAGAGUCUUUUUGUACUCCAGAAUUAACUAUGCCAUUGACAAUGGAUAAUUCUGUCAAGCAUGCUAUAUUGUUAAGAAAAAUACUUCUCUCCUAGUUUGUUCAAUUUUACAAAUAUACGUAUAUCAAAUUUUGAUGGUGGUCUCAUUUUUUUGCCUCUAUUCCUUAUCUGCUUCCCUCACUUGGAAAAGUAAAAUGGUAUCAACAUAUUUUUUUUAUUGUAUUUUUAUAUUCUUUUGAAAUAAAUUUACUUUAGAGGAGUGUUUGGACCAGAUACCAUACAAACCAAUUAAAAAAUUUAAAUGCACGGUGUCUUUUUUAAUUUUUAUUUUGUGGCAUUUUUCCUCUAUAUUUGAUUGGUAUUUUUGAAACAUGAUUGCGAUUAGCUGAUGUAUAAAGUCAACGAACCCUAGUGUGGAAAAAUAAUACGGUGAAGACAGUUUUUCAACAACUAAUUUUAUCAGCCAGAGUUUCCUUUAAUCUUCUUUUGAUGUGAUUAGAGUGUCUAAUUUUCUAACCCAUAUUUUAAAGGUUGGAAGACUCGGAAAACAACUGUUUGGUUCAACUAGGAUUGAUUAUAUAUAUAAAACUCUGUGAAUUGAAUAAUAGUUGGGGGCGGGACCUAGGAUUUAUCUAGACAUAGCUUUCCAACUCUUAACAGCUAAAACUUCUAGACACAACCCCAAUUAGAAGAUCAACAGUACAUACACCUCAACUCAUGAAAAAAACCUCUAUAUUCCAUAGAUAAACUUAAAUUUCUCAAUUUAGGAUAUCUACAGUCCUAUACAACUGAUCAAGCGUACUCUCUAUCAAUUAAUGGAAUGUUGAGUAAUUUGAUCAAAUGAAGUUUCCAAUACAGGGUACCUCUUGCCCUUCAGUUUAGAGGUCUAAGCCAAUCACUUUAGGUAGGAUUUAAUCAAACCAUGACUUAAUUCAAUUAUAUUUUAAUGGAUUAAUUUGGGUCAACGGACGUAAUAAUUUAAUUUUUUUUUCUUUUUUAAAACCUAAUAUUUUGUAGAAAUUAAAUUUUUUAUUAAAUAAAUUAAAUAUAAUUAUUUCUUAUUAUAUUUUAUUAAAAAGAAAUUUUUGUGAUGUGACCGCAUCUUACUCCGCUAACUCCUAUUUAUCCAAAGGAAUUGGGAAAUUAAGUGUAUCAUAUCACAAGCUCUUUUUAAGGUUUAGCUUUAUUGGAAGAUCUUAUAAAUAGGAGAAAAAGUAAACUAUGCUGGAAAAAAAUGUUAAGCAAUGAAGUAGACAUUAAAGAAAAACAAAAAGAAAUAUUGAAUAGAAUUGUAUUGUUUAUAAUUUUUUACGUUAUCUUACUGUUUCUACUUUCUGCAAUACUUUUAUUUUAAUUUUUUAUUUAAUGUCUAAGAGUACCCGUAGUUGACAAGACACUUCUUGUAAACAAGAAGUCAUAUAAUAGAUAACUAGAAUAAGUUGAAUUUGGAUAAUAAUUUGAGUAUUCUCUGUCAUUGUGAGAGUUGUUCUUCUUUAAUAACUUUGAUUUUAUUAACAUAUUGCGAUUAUGAUCAAAUUCUACUUGUUCACUUUGCAUGAAUUUAACAUGAUCCUAUAAAUCGAUUCGUAUUAUUGUUUAUCAGACAAUAUAAUUAAUUGUUAGUACAGUGACCUGUGAGCACAUCUAUUUGUAUACAUAUGGUAUAGAUAAACUAUUGGUUUUUUCAAUUUGAGAACAAAUCUCCUAAUAUAAUUUUUGUUCAUUUCUAAUAUUUUACAAAAAUAUUGAUGUAACCGUAUUGUCAUCUCUAUUUUAAAUUUGGCAAUAACACAUCAAACUAAAUUAAAUAAAAUCGAAUUUCAAAUUUGGGAAUAACACAUUAUCUAAUAAUGACCUCCAAAUCAAUUUCGAUGACAAUGGUGUAACAACCUUAAUUAAUAACUUCUUUGACAUAUCUGCGUUCCUUCUUUGCAUAAAUUAACUUCCAAGUCAAUGCAAAACGUUUUGCAUGGGGUAGAAAAUGGGAAACUUUUUGGGAUACAAAUACCAAUUAUAUAUGUAAGUUCUAAAAGAUAGAAACUAUAUAACUCUAUUACUAUAAUAAAGAUCCAUUCUUUUUUAAUUGACAAAUUAUUUAGUUUAUUAAUUUUAUUUAUUCAAAUUAAUUUAUUCAAUGCUAUUUAAUUUCAGUCAACAAAUUGCUAUUUAAUUUAUUCAUCAAUACUCACUCACUUGCUAAAACUUAUUAUCCGUCUUCACUGAAGUCUAAAGGUUUACAAAUUAGAAAAUGCAUUUUAAAGAGAAAAAUUAAAACGAUAAAAUAGAUAUAUGAAGUAGAAAAAUCAAAUAAAUCAUGUUUGCAAAGAGUUCCUAGAGAUAAUAUAAUGAAAGGGUUGAGAAAUGAAUGUUGAUUUGCAUGAGGGAUGGGUUGUUGUAGUGUAUACUCCUUGCGUGUUAACAAAAUUAAUUUUAAAUGUAAUUGAUUUUGUAAAAUUGAUUUUGAAGUAAUUAAUGUUUGUAUGUUUUAUUAUAAAAUUAAAUUAACAAUAAAAUUUGUUAUAAAAUUUUAGAUUCAAUACAGAAAUUGUUUAAAACAUAUAAAAAUAUAUUUAAAAUUAAUUAUAGAUUCAAAAUCAAUUUUUCAUCGUGAAUCAAACAAUAAAAAGUCUCAAAAUGGUUGAUGAAGGAUAAUUUUUUUAAAAAAUUUAUCAUUUGGAGAUAAAAUUUAAGUUGAUAUUCCAAAAGGAAUAAGUCUUAAUAAAUAAUGCAACUUCUAAAUUAAAAAUAGUGAAAUUUGUUAUAACUUUUUUUUAUUUUUUACAUUAAAGUCAUAAGAAAUUUUAUGGACUUCAUUUUUAUUUUUUAAAUACGUCUAAAAUUUAAUUCUCAUAGACAUUAAAGUCAUAAUUUUUUUUAUUGAAUUCGUAAAUUAUUUUAUGACUUUAAUUUAUUUUGCAUCUGAUAUAUUUUUUAAAAUUAUAAAUAAUUUUUAUUUUGGUUAUUUAAUAAAUUAAUGAUUUUAGUUUUAUUUAAUAUUUUGGUUAUUUUGCUAAAACCACCCUCAUCCGAUUCACCAAAGGUUUACAAAAUUCGCUCCGUCAUGUUGUUUCAUUGCUAGUUGGUAUUUUAAAGGGAAAACAUGGUUAAACAAAGAUAUGAAGUAGAAAAAUAAAAUAAAUCAUGUUUGCAGAAAAAAUGAGUUCCAAGUCAAGUCAAUUUAAAUAGCAAUUGCUGGGACAACUUUGAUAGCGUGUAAAAGGAUCAUAAGAUUUAUGGUCAAUUUGCGUGAGGUUUGGGCUGUUGAAGACUUGAAGCUUAAUUUAGCCACAAAUUUUGCAUAUCAUCUUUUAAAUUUGGCUAUAAAUAUUAAUGUUUGGUUGCUCAGUAUUAAUUUCAUGUAUAUUUGAGUAGAAAAUGGAAUCAUGGAUGUGGUGUUUCCUUCUCUGUUCCCAUUUGCUCAUCCUUUAUUUUUCACCCUCUCAUUCCUUAUGCCACCCCCAUGACACCUCUGCCUUGCUCCACUUCAAAAACUCCUUCACUAUUUAUGAAGAUCCUUAUUAUUCUUAUUAUUGUGAUCAUGGUUAUUCAAAGACGACAACAUGGGAAAAUGGGACAGAUUGUUGCUCUUGGGCUGGAGUCAGCUGCAACCCCAUCUCAGGUCACGUCACUGAGCUCGACCUCAGCUGCAGUCGCCUUUACGGCAAUAUCCAUCCAAACAGUACGCUUUUCCAUCUUUCUCAUCUUCACUCACUCAACCUUGCUUUCAAUGAUUUUAAUUAUUCUCAUUUGUCAUCUCUCUUUGGUGGGUUUGUGAGCCUCACUCAUCUCAACUUGUCUAAUUCUCACUUUGAAGGGGAUAUUCCUUCCCAAAUCUCUCACCUUUCCAAAUUAGUCUCACUUGAUCUCUCUGGUAAUAAUUUGUUAAAGUGGAAGGAAGACACUUGGAAGAGAUUGCUCCAAAAUGCAACAGUUUUAAGGGUGCUUGUUUUGGAUCAAACAGAUAUGUCUUCCAUUUCAAUCAGGACACUCAAUAUGUCUUCCUCUUUGGUUACUCUUAGUCUAGGACUGACUUGGCUAAGAGGAAACUUGACAGAUGGCAUUCUCUGUUUACCAAAUCUUCAGCACUUGGAUCUUUCACUUAAUCGGGCCCUUGAAGGUAAGCUUCCAGAAGUGAGUUGCAGAACAACUUCUCUUGAUUUCUUAGAUCUUUCACUUUGUGGUUUCCAAGGGUCAAUCCCUCCCUCUUUCUCCAACCUCAUACAUCUCACUUCCCUGGACCUCUCAGGUAACAACCUCAACGGUUCAAUCCCUCCCUCUUUCUCCAACCUCAUACAUCUUACUUCCUUGGAUCUCUCAUAUAACAACCUCAACGGUUCAAUCCCAUCCUCACUCUUAACCCUUCCAUGGCUAAACUUUCUGUAUCUAAACUAUAACCAACUCAGUGGUCAAAUCCCAGAUGCCUUUCCUCAGUCAAACAGCUUUCACGAAUUGCAUUUGAGUGAUAACAAAAUAGAGGGUGAGCUGCCUUCAACACUUUCAAAUCUUCAACAUCUCAUUCACUUGGAUCUUUCACAUAAUAAAUUGGAGGGCCCUCUGCCUAACAAUAUAACAGGGUUUUCAAACCUAACAUCGUUAUGGUUAUCUGGAAACUUACUGAAUGGGACAAUUCCUUCUUGGUGUUUAUCUUUGCCAUCUUUGGUGGAUUUAGAUCUAUCAGGCAACCAACUCUCUGGGCAUAUUAGUGCAAUCUCAUCAUAUUCCUUGGAGACAUUGUUUUUAUCCCACAACAAGUUACAAGGCAAUAUUCCAGAAUCAAUUUUUAGCCUUCUAAACCUUACUCACUUAGAUCUAUCAUCAAACAAUUUAAGUGGAUCUGUCAAAUUUCAUCGUUUCUCCAAGCUUCAAAAUUUGGAAAAACUUCACCUUUCAUGGAAUGAUCAGUUAUCACUAAAUUUCGAAUCCAAUGUCAAUUAUAGUUUCUCUAAUUUAAAGUUGUUGAACUUAUCUUCUAUGGUUUUAACUGAAUUUCCAAAAUUAUCGGGAAAAGUCCCAAUUUUAGAAUCACUCUAUUUGUCCAAUAACAAACUUAAAGGUAGAGUGCCACAUUGGUUGCAUGAAGUAUCGUUAUCUGAAUUGAACCUUUCUCAUAACCUAUUGACGCAAUCAUUGGACCAAUUCUCAUGGAACCAACAACUCGGUUACCUUGAUCUUAGUUUUAACUCAAUCACUGGUGACUUCUCUUCCUCAAUUUGCAAUGCAAGUGCAAUUGAGAUUCUCAACUUGUCUCACAACAAGUUGACAGGAACCAUUCCACAAUGCCUUGCAAACUCAUCAUCCCUUCUAGUUUUGGAUCUACAACUGAACAAGCUUCAUGGCACUUUGCCAAGUAUCUUUUCAAAGGACUGUCGGCUCAGAACUCUGGAUCUCAAUGGCAACCAACUAUUAGAAGGUCUUUUGCCAGAAUCUUUGUCCAAUUGCAUUGAUCUGGAGGUUUUAGAUCUUGGAAACAAUCAAAUAAAGGAUGUGUUUCCCCAUUGGCUUCAAACUCUACCAGAAUUGAAAGUAUUGGUUUUGCGAGCCAACAAGUUGUACGGUCCCAUUGUCGGUUUAAAGAUCAAGCAUGGAUUCCCCCGUUUAGUCAUCUUUGAUGUCUCUUUCAACAACUUCAGCGGCCCAAUACCAAAAGCCUACAUACAAAAAUUUGAAGCGAUGAAGAACGUUGUUAUAGAUACCGAUCUGCAGUACAUGGAAAUUUCUAUUGGAGCUAAAAAGAUGUACAGUGAUUCUGUGACUAUAACAACAAAAGCAAUUACUAUGACAAUGGACAAAAUUCCAAAAGGCUUUGUCAGCAUUGAUUUAUCAAAAAACGGAUUUGAAGGAGAGAUUCCAAAUGCCAUUGGAGAGCUUCAUGCCCUCAGAGGGCUCAACCUUUCCCAUAACAGAAUUAUUGGUCCUAUUCCCCAAUCCAUGGGAAAUUUGACAAACUUAGAAUCAUUGGAUCUCUCCUCAAAUAUGCUCACUGGUGGGAUACCUACGGAAUUAAGCAAUUUGAACUUCCUUGAAGUCCUAAAUCUUUCCAAUAACCAUCUUGCGGGAGAAAUACCUCGAGGACAACAGUUCAGUACUUUUACCAAUGAUUCCUAUGAGGGAAACUCAGGGUUAUGUGGACUCCCACUGACAAUCAAAUGCAGCAAGGACCCUGAACAACAUUCUCCAACUUCAACUACCUUGAGGAGAGAAGGAGGAUUUGGAUUUGGUUGGAAACCAGUGGCUAUAGGAUAUGGAUGUGGAAUGGUCUUUGGAGUGGGAAUGGGAUGUUGUGUAUUGUUAAUAGGAAAGCCUCAAUGGCUUGUGAGAAUGGUCGGAGGUAAACCCAAUAAAAAGGUGAAAAGGAAGACAAGGAUGAGAUCUAAUGAAAAUGGUAGCAGAAUGAAUUAGUUGAUAUAUGGCAUGACUGGAGAAUGUCUUGUUACAUACCUGCCAUCUUUGAAAACAAAACUUAAGGGCAAGAACUUUAUCACACUGCAUUGCAUGGGAGAUCUGGUUCAAAGUUUUGCUGUAAUAUGAAUGUGUUAUACUCUUGCUUUUGUCGUAUAACUGUGGCAUUAAUUGGUUGUAUAAUAAUAGAUGUUGUAUAUUUUUAAAAAUGGUAUGUAUUGGCCAAUGCUAAAAUAUUUUGUAUCUUAAUUCAAGGAGCUGAAUUCACGGUUUUAGCUUCCAUUGUAGUCUAUUUAAUUAAUUUUCUAAGUAUUUAACCACCGUGAAAUGGCUUUAGAAGCUGAGGUUGAGGUCCAGGUAUAAGAGCACAAACAAUGCAUACUAAAGGAUGGCUAUGGGUAUAGCCUAGGCCUUAUGGUCCGUAGGAUAUCACAUAUUUAUUUUUUAUUAAGUAAUUUUUCCCAAAUUAGAACAAUUGUCUGGUGAAAAUUUUCAAACUUUGAAAUAAAAGUUGCAGUACUAAAAUCAGUUAUAAUUAAACCUAAACUUUUUCUUUUUCAAUUACUAUUACGAUAAAUUGGUAGUGGUACGUGCUGUAAAUAUUACAUCUACUUAUAAUGUCAGCACCCAAAAAUUAUUUUUAUAAUGUAAAAUUUACAUUGUCAUUAAUUUGCUUUAUUAAUUUUUAUUAUAACUAUUUUAAAUUUAUAUUAUUAUCAUAAAAUCUGAAAAAUCGUAUCUAUAAUUUUUAAUUAAGCGUAAAAUUUUGUAACUUUUAUAAAUUUUAGUAAAUAUUAAAAAAAUAUAUAAUAUAAUGCUAGUAUUUUUCAAAAAAAUCAACAUUAUCAUUAAAUAAACCUGUGUGUUGUACAAUAAUUCCCUUUUAUCAUUCAAAAGAAAAAUUGAAACUGUUAUUCAAAAUAAAAUAACCAUUAGUGAAUUUUAUGAUAAUUACCUUAAUGAUUAAAUAUAUUUAGUUAAUUUUUUUUGCUCCCUAAUAAAUUUUUGUUUUGUUUUGAGUAUUAUAUAAAACAAUAAUUUUAUUUUUGGUCCUAGAUAUUUUGUUGUAUAUAAUCCCUAAUAAGUUAGCAAAUUUUUGUUUACUUCCUUUUAAAUUAACAAAUUUUGUUUUAGUCCCAACUAAUAACAAAUGAAAAAAAUUAUCAAGAAAUAAACACACAAUUUGUGAAUCUAUCAGGGACUAAGAAAAGUAUCAAGAACCAAAAUAAAAUGAUUUUUUUAUUAGAAACUCAACGAAAAGUAAAAAUUUAUUAAAAAUUAAAUACAAAAAAUAAAUAUUUAUUAGGGAUUAAAAUUAUAAUUAAAACUUGUCUUAAAUAUUAAAUCUAUUAUAAUUAUUAAUUGGUUCACAACAUAUAAAUAUUUACACUUGUUAAAAUAUACUAUAAUUUCUCUUAAAUUAUUAGGUAAAAUUGGUAAGAGUGUGAGAAACUUAAUUAUUUAUCAAUACCAGCUAUGUGAAUGAACUAAUGUGAGUUUUUGAGCUAGAGACUCUUGGGAAAAAAAUAUUGUCUCAUAAUGAGAAGAAUACAUCAUAAAAAAAUAGAAAAUAUAAAAAUUUGUUUAAUAUGUUUCAACCCUCAUCCUUGCAUUGACAAUAUUAUACAUUUUAAGGAUAACAUAGAAAAAUUUACAAACAUUUUCUCCUUACGAUUUCCCCUCUGUUUGUUAGGGUAGUGACAGUUUCUUCGCACUAGAUGUGGUGAUUCUUCUCAUCUCAAAAAAUCUCUAUUUAUAAACCUAACAUUCUAAUAUUAACUGAAUUCAAAUCCUUAAUUUAUAAAUAAUAUAUUUAAUUCUAAAUGAUAUCCUAAAAAUAAGAUAAUAUCUUUUUUAAAAGCUAAACAAUAUCCUAUAGAUUUGUUAUUCAUUGAUUGAACCAUCAUUAAUUCCUACAUCCACAACUUUUAUAUAAGAUUUUAUGACAAGCAAGACAAACUUGCAAACCUUCCCUUGAUAUGACUCAUCUCUCUUAGGGUAUUGACCUAGGUUGAGUGAUUAUUCUUAUCUCAUAAAUCUUAUUUUAUAGACAUAACAUUCUAAUCUUAAAUGAGGAAACAAAUACCUAAUUUAUUAAUAAUAUAUUUAAUUUUAUCAACAUUCUAAAAAUAAGAUAAUAUCUUUUUUUAAGAAAAUAAAUAUCUUAUAGAUUUGAGAAUACAAAUAAGAUAUAUCUAACAAGAAGCAAAGUUGGACUUAUGUAGAUCAACCAACUAAUCCCUAUACCCACUCAUCACCUAAGCUCAGCCAAAACUCGCUUAGGCCUCAACCCUGCAUCGCUUAAGCUCUUAGCCAACACCACUUAAGCUACAUAAAAAAACAUGCUAAUUUUUGUGCCCAUUCUAGCUUAAGCGCUACCCAACACCAUUUAAGCUACUUCAAACUAAUUUACUCAAAUUAAAAAGAAUAAUGAUUCAACUAUUUAAUCACUACACAUUAAAUACCUAAUUUAUUUUCCGCACAUCACGCAACUGGUCCAUUUAUCUUUUUUAUUUAUUUCUUACAUGUAAUUUUCUUUUUAUUUUUUAAAAUCCAAAAUUUUCAUCUCUAUUUUAAAAUAAAGAUAUUUAAUCGAUUGUUUUUUACGAUCUAUAAUUUUAAUUUUCUAUUUUAAAAUAGAAAUAUUAGUCAUUUAUAUUUAUAAAAUAUGGAAUUUUAGUUAUCCCCAACUAAAAGCUUUGAUUGUUAAGAGCUUAAUCUUUAUUAUGAUAUAGAUUAACUAAAUUAUCUUGUGUCACAUUAUUAGAUUUGAAUCACAUCAAGUUAGCUUCUUACUAAUCAACGCUAAAUGAUUAUGUGGAUAUAAUCACAAAUGAUCAAAAUUAUAAAUUUUAUAACCUUAAGUAAUUAAUUGUUUUUAUUUUAAAAUAGAAGUAUUAAAAUUGUAAAAUAUAAAAAUUAAGACGGUCAAAUAUUUUUUAAAAUAUAGAAAUCAAAAUUAGAUAUUUUGAAAAUAGGAAAAAAUUACAUUUAAGUUUUUAUUUUUAUUUUUUACCGGAGGUCCAUAUGUCUAGUACUUAGAAAUCACGUCAUUAUAAAAAUGCGCCACUAGAGCAUAAUAUAAUAGCAUGAAGGACGUCAUUAUAAUUACAUUUAAGCCAUGAAGAACGUUGUUAUAUAUGCCAAUCCGCAAUACAUGGAAACUUCUGUUAUGGUUAGUGACACCAACAACACUGAUCAUGAAACCAACUACGCUGAUUCUGUGACUGUAACAAAAAAAAACAAUUACUAUGAAAAUGGACAAAAUUCGAAAUGACUUUGUAAGCAUUGCACAACAGAUUUGUAGGAGAGAUAUUCCAAAUGCCAUUGGAGAGCUUCACUCACUCAGAGGGCUAAACCUUUCCCAUAACAGAUUUAUUGGUCCUAUUCUACAAUCCAUUGGAAAUUUGACAAAGUUAGAAUCAUUGGAUCUCUCCUCAAAUAUGCUCACUGGCGGGAUACCUAGAGAAUUAAGCAAUUUGAACUUUCUUGAAGUCCAAAAUCUUUCCAAUAACCAUCUUGCAUUUGUGGGAGAAAUACCUCAAGGAAAACAGUUCAGUACUUUUUCCAAUGACUCCUAUGGUAGAAACUUGGGGUUGUGUGGACUCCCAUUGACAGCAGAAUGCAGCAAGGACCUUGAACAACAUUCUCCACCUUCACUAACCGUUGGGGGAGAACAGGGAGUUGGAUUUGGUUGGAAACCAGUGGCUAUGUGAUAUGGAUGCGGAAUGGUCUUUGGAGUGGGAAUGGGAUGUUGUGUAUUGUUAAUAGGAAAGCCUCAAUGGCUUGUGAGAAUGGUUGGAGGUCAACUCAAUAAAAAGGUGAAAAGGAAGACAAGGAUGAGAUCUAAUGAAAAUGGUAGCAGAAUGAAUUAGUUGAUAUGUGGCAUGACUGUAGAAUGUUUUCUUGCUCACCUUCCUGUUGAAAUUCAAUUCUGCCUUGUUGGAAAACAAAACUUAAGGGCAAGAACUUUAUCACACUGCAUUGCAUAUGCAUGGGAGAUCUGAUUCAAAGUUUAGUUGUAAUUGUAAUAUGGUGUUGUACUUUUUUUUCUUUGUGUUCAAUAAAUGAGUGUGAUAUACUUUUUUUUUUCUUCCAUUGCCCCAGAAACUCGGGUCUGAAUCAUCCAAAAGUUUGAUAAUUUUUCUGUUCAUUAAUACGCUUAGAUUGUUUUAUUUUUUUUAACAUUUUUAUAUCGGUGAAUUGUAUCAAGUUAAGUAGUGAAUAAUGUGUUGACAAUCAACAAUCAUUUCGUUAAUAUGCUGCAGAUUACAAAAUUGUAGCAGUCAUUAAUAGGCAAAUAUUGACCUGGGGGGAUUUCUUUUAGAAACUAAUUUCCAACCAUUUUGAAACAUCUACAGUUUUUUUAUUAUAAAAUAAGUGUUGGAUUCUUAAAAUAUGAUGUCAAGUUUCCUUAUAUAAUUUAUUUGGUGACCUAUUGCGGAUAAUCUCCCUGGCAUUUACUACUCUCUUGGAUUUUUCAAAAAAUUGAUAUUAGAACCAAUGGUUCGAUUUGAUGACUAGCUUAGACAAGUAAGAUGACAUCGAUGAAUUCAUGGAUAUAGAGUCCUUUGUAUCAAAAGUCUUUUUGACAGGUGAAUUCAUGCAUGAAUGUCAGGUAGCAGAGUUGCAUGUGUUGCAAUAGUGCAAGAUACUAGAACAUGUUAUGACAAUGGCUAGACAAGCUAGGGUAAUAAAGAUUAAGUUUUAAGAGUCACCAUUGAAUAUUCCUGAAUUGAAAAUGAUUUCCAUCCAAUGGAAAGGUUAACAUGUGGAAGAGACACAAACUUGAGAAAAAGAUUGUUAAAAUAUAAGUGUGAGAAAAAAUCUCAUAUUAGAUCGAAAUGACAGUUGAGUAUCAUAUAACAAGUGAGAAGAAAAUCAUAAACAUGAGUGAUAUGAUUUUAAUUUAAAAUAUGAUGUAAAAAUCACUUACAUAAUUACUCGGGAUAAAAUAUUUGAAGGAAAAAGAAUUGACUUGAGAGCCUUUUUCUUAGUUUACAUCUCGUUGUGCCAUUAACAAUUGAUAAUUCUGUCGAGCAUGCUAUAUUGUAAAGAAAAAUACUUCUCUCUUUAUUUGUUCAUUUUACAUAUUUCCUGGUGUCAAAAAAUUCUUUUUAUUGUAUUUUUAUAUCCUUUAAAAUAAAUUUGCUUUUGAAGUUUUCUCUUGGACCAGAUACCAUACAAAGAAUUUCACAUAAUGUAAAUGCACGGGGUUCUUUUUUAAUUUUGAUUUUGUGGCAUUUAUCUCUAUAUUUGGUUGAUAUAUUUGAAACUUGAUAGCGAUUAGCUGAUGUAUCAGUCAACGGACCCUAGUAUGGAAAAAGAAUAUGGUGAAGACAGAAUUUUUCCACAAACUAAUGUAUCAGCGUGAGUUUCCUUUAAUUUUCUUUUGAUUUAAACAUUUUUGUGGACGUAUUUUAAUUUUCCUUUUUGAUGUGAUUGGCGAGCUUAAUUUUCUAACCCAUAUUUUAAGGGUUGGCAGACUUGGAAAACAAUUGCUUGGAUUUAACUGAAGUGGCUGUUUAUACAUGUUUUCUUUUUAGAAUCAUAUCACAUAUAUGUAGUCGAUCUGUUGGUGAGGUAGACAGUGGGAGCUUAUGUUUUGUGCAGAGAUUGUGUCCUCAAACUUUCAUGUGAUAAGACAAAUUAACUUCUGAAUUUUCACAAUAAUACAGUUCUAUUCUAUCAUAAGAAAAAAAAAAAUACCACCAAUAACUUGUAGAUGCAUUUUCUCUUAAACAGGUGGUAUUCUAUCUCUGUGUUCAAUUAUAUCUUUUGGCUGGAAUCUUCCGUGUUCAUAUGUUGGGGAUUAAAAUAUUUAAUAGGGAUUAAUUAACAGGAAUAUAUCCAGAAAACAAGUAGUGUUCAAUUUUCCUUUUUGAUGUGAUUAGAGUGUCUAAUUUUCUAACCCAUAUUUUUAAGGUUGUAAGACUCGGAAAACAAUUGUUUGGUUUAACUAAAUUGGUUUAUACAUGUUUUGUUUUCUGAAUGAUAUGUAGCAUGCUUUCUGCGGUAGAAAACUAAGUCAGUCGAUCACAUGAGACAAAAAUUAAAUAUUUUCAUCGUCACCGUUGUAAUAGCUUGCUACAUUAAACAUAAUUAGUAAUAUAUUUUUUUUAAUUAUUAUCAAAACAAGGAUAAAAUUUUCAUGAUUAAACAAAAUAUCUAUUAAACUUAUUUAAAAAUGAUGGAUUAGUAAAAGCGAUGUAAAGGCAUAAAUUAUUAUAUGAAGAAUUAUCUUCCAAAAAUAAAAUCAACUCAUGAUACAAAAAUAAACAGAGUUUGAAGUAUAUAUAUAUAUAUAUAUAUAUAUAUAUAUAACUCUGUCAAUUGAAUAAUAGUUGGGGGGCGGGACCUAGGAUUUAUCUAGACAUAGCUUUCUAACUCUUAACAACUAAAAUUUCUAGACACAAGCCCGAUUAGAAGAUCAACAGUACAUACACCUCAACUCAUGACAAAAACCUUUAUAUUCCAUAGAUAAACUUAAAUUUCUCAAUUUAGGAGUACGAUUUGUCAAAUCUUAGACUUAAUCUAAUUAUAUUUGAACGGGUUAAUUUGAGUUGAUUUUCUAAAAAAUAUAUGAAAUUUAACCAAAACCAACUUAUUUAUAAAUUGUUUGAGUUUGAUUGGAUCAACCAAGGUAACAAUUUAAUAAUAUUUACAACAAUUUAAUAACACUUAAAACUCAUCCACCAUGUCUUAACAAUGUCCAACUCCUAAAUUGUGACAAAUAUAAGUUUUCUAACUUAUAAAUAAUUUAAUAUAUAAAUUUAAAUUUUCACAAAUAUUAAUUUUAAAAGAAUUUGUUUAAAUGAUAUAAUUUUGAAAAGUAUGUUAAUUUUAUACAUAUUCUUUCAACAAAUAUUUUAGAAUUAUGUAUUCUUUUUAAUUAAAUGUAAUAUUUAUUUUUAAAUAUUUCUAACAUCUUGAAAUUAUAUCAUAUACAAUUAUCCAUUUACAAAUAAUUUUAUAAAUGAUAUACUUUUGACAAAUUUAUUUUUUAUGUAUAAUUUCAAAAAAUAUUUUAUAAUUUAAAUUUUUAUAGUUUAAGGUAAUAUUUAUAUUUUAGAUGUUUUUCUCCGAAUUAUAUAUAUCAUAAACAAUUAUUUCUAGCGUUAUUUCAAAAUAAAUUUUGGGGAGCAAUUGCAUAAAUUAGUAAGGCAAAGGUUUUAGCUUGACAAUUGAAAAAAAAAUGCAUAAAAAAGGAUAUCCAUUAUUGAAAUAAAAUAAAUUUCUUUAAUUAAAUUAUAAUAUAUUUUAUUUUGGAAAGUGAAGGAAACACGUCAUAAAAAAACAAAAAAAAAAAAACUAAAAAGCUCCAUUGUUUUUAAAACUCAUAAAUCCAUAUACCUGAAUAGGGUUAAAAAAAUUCUUCAAAAUCUCUAUCACUCUUUUAUAGUAUCAAAUUUAAAUUAUUUUCCUAUUUUUAAGAUGACAAAUUGUUUCUGUAAAAAGACAAUAAAUUAUUAAAAAUAAAUUCAAAUAUAUAUAUAAUUAUAAACAAAACUAAAAAUAUUUUUUAUAAACAAAUCAUAUGAAAAAAAAUUCAAUUCAAUGAGCUAGUUCACAAGCUAGUUCUGUCAAGCACACCCUAUCUCUUCCUUAAAACAUUUUUUUGUUUAAAUCGUUUAGAUUUAAAUAGGUAAAUUUUUUAUUUUUUGGUUUUUUCCCUUUUAAAUUAUUGUUAAAUUUUUGCUCCCAAAAAAAUAAUUUUUGUAUUUUAUUUUUUGACUUUGGAUUUAUUUAGAUAGGGCUUUAGAAAAUGGAAUAAAAUUAUUUUGAUAGUUAUUUAGCAAAAAAACAAAAGAAAAAAUUAUUACAAACCAAAAAGUUAACAAAAAUUUAUUAGGAAUAAAAAAAAUUAAUGAUUUAUCAAGAACUAAAAAUAUAUUUAAAUUGUUUAUAACAUAAAAGAACAUGAAAAAUCAACCAUUAUGCAAUUCUCUUUGAACAAAAUUGUAAGAUGUAACAUUUUUAAAAUAAAUUUCAGAGAGCAACUCAGUCCAUACACUAAGAUAGUGUUUUACCUUGACAGUUGAAAAAAUGCAUUAAAAAGAAGGAUUUGCCGUGAAGGUUUCAAGAAAAUACAUGCAUGUGUAAUGUUAUUUCAUUUCUAGUUGGUAUUUUAAAGGGAAAACAUGGUUAAACAAAGAUAUGAAGUAGAAAAAUAAAAUAAAUCAUGUUUACAGAAAAAAUGAGUUCCAAGUCAAGUCAAUUUAAAUUGCAAUUGCUGGGACAACUUUGAUAGCGUGUAAAAGGAUCAUAAAAUUUAUGUGUCAAUUUGCGUGAGGUUUGGGCUGUUGAAGUCUUGAAGCUUAAUUUAGCCACAAAUUUUGCAUAUCAUCUUUUUAAUUUGACUAUAAAUAUUAAUGUUUGGUUGCUCAGUAUUAAUUUCAUGUAUAUUUUCCAUCCCUUAUAGUAAAGAGUAUUUGAGUAGAAAAUGGAAUCAUGGAUGUGGUGUUUCCUUCUCUGUUCCCAUUUGCUCAUCCUUUAUUUUUCACCCUCUCAUUCCUUAUGCCACCCCCAUGACACCUCUGCCUUGCUCCACUUCAAAAACUCCUUCACUAUUAAUACUAGUUAUGGCCAUAAUGAAUAUCCUUAUUAUUAUCAUAAAUGUGAUACUGGUUAUUCAAAGACGAGAACAUGGGAAAAUGGGACAGAUUGUUGCUCUUGGGCUGGAGUCACCUGCCACCCCAUCUCAGGUCAUGUCACUGACCUCGACCUCAGCUGCAGUGGCCUUCACGGCAAUAUCCAUCCAAACAGUACGCUUUUCCAUCUUUCUCAUCUUCACUCACUCAACCUUGCUUUCAAUCAUUUGUAUCAAUCUCAUUGGUCAUCUCUCUUUGGUGGGUUUGUGAGCCUCACUCAUCUCAACUUGUCUUAUUCUGAAUUUGAAGGGGAUAUUCAUUCCCAAAUCUCUCACCUUUCCAAAUUAGUCUCGCUUGAUCUCUCAGGUAAUGAUUUGUUAGAGUGGAAGGAAGACACUUGGAAGAGAUUGCUCCAAAAUGCAACAGUUUUAAGGGUGCUUGUUUUGGAUGGAGCAGAUAUGUCUUCCAUUUCAAUCAGGACACUCAAUAUGUCUUCCUCUUUGGUUACUCUUAGUCUUCGAUACAGUGGGCUAAGAGGAAACUUGACAGAUGGCAUUCUCUGUUUACCAAAUCUUCAGCACUUGGAUCUUUCAGGAAACUGGGUCCGUGGAGGCCAGCUUGCAGAAGUGAGUUGCAGCACAACUUCUCUUGAUUUCUUAGCUCUUUCAGAUUGUGUUUUCCAAGGGUCAAUCCCUCCCUUCUUCUCUAACCUCACACAUCUUACUUCCCUGGAUCUCUCAUAUAACAACCUCAACGGUCCAAUCCCUCCCUCUUUCUUCAACCUCACACAUCUCACUUCCCUAGACCUCUCAGGUAUCAACCUCAACGGUUCAAUCCCAUCCUCACUCUUAACCCUUCCACGGCUAAACUUUCUGAAACUACAGAAUAACCAACUCAGUGGUCAAAUCCCAGAUGUCUUUCCUCAGUCAAACAGCUUUCACGAAUUGGAUUUGAGUGAUAACAAAAUAGAGGGUGAGCUGCCAUCAACACUUUCAAAUCUUCAACAUCUCAUUUUCUUGGAUCUUUCAUAUAAUAAAUUGGAUUUGAGUGGUAACAAAAUAGAGGGUGAGCUGCCAUCAACACUUUCAAAUCUUCAACAUCUCCUUCACUUGGAUCUUUCAUAUAAUAAAUUGGAGGGCCCUCUGCCUAACAAUAUAACAGGGUUUUCAAACCUAACAUCGUUAAGGUUAAAUGGAAACUUACUGAAUGGGACAAUUCCUUCUUGGUGUUUAUCUUUGCCAUCUUUGAAGCAGUUAGAUCUAUCAGGAAACCAACUCUCUGGGCAUAUUAGUGCAAUCUCAUCAUAUUCCUUGGAGACAUUGUCUUUAUCCCACAACAAGUUACAAGGCAAUAUUCCAGAAUCAAUUUUUAGCCUUCUAAACCUUACACUCUUAGAUCUAUCAUCAAACAAUUUAAGUGGAUCUGUCAAAUUUCAUCAUUUCUCCAAGCUUCAAAAUUUGAAAGAACUUCAACUUUCACGGAAUGAUCAGUUAUCACUAAAUUUCAAAUCCAAUGUCAAGUAUAAUUUCUCCCGUUUAUGGAGAUUGGACUUAUCUUCUAUGGAUUUAACUGAAUUUCCAAAAUUAUCGGGAAAAGUCCCAUUUUUGGAAUCACUCCAUUUGUCCAAUAACAAACUUAAAGGUAGAGUGCCAAAUUGGUUGCAUGAAACGAACUCAUUGUUAUUGGAAUUGGACCUCUCUCAUAACCUAUUGACGCAAUCAUUGGACCAAUUCUCGUGGAAGAAACCACUCGCUUACCUUGAUCUUAGUUUUAACUCAAUCACUGGUGGCUUCUCUUCCUCAAUUUGCAAUGCAAGUGCAAUUGAGAUUCUCAACUUAUCUCACAACAUGUUGACAGGAACCAUUCCACAAUGCCUUGUUAACUCAUCAACCCUUGAAGUUUUGGAUCUGCAACUGAACAAGCUUCAUGGCCCUUUGCCAAGUACCUUUGCACAGGACUGUUGGCUCAGAACUCUGGAUCUCAAUGGCAACCAAUUAUUAGAAGGCUUUUUGCCAGAAUCUUUGUCCAAUUGCAUUUAUCUGGAGGUUUUAAAUCUUGGAAACAAUCAAAUAAAGGAUGUGUUUCCCCAUUGGCUUCAAACUCUACCAGAAUUGAAAGUAUUGGUUUUGAGAGCCAACAAGUUGUACGGUCCCAUUGAGGGUUCAAAGACCAAGCAUGGAUUCCCCAGUUUAGUCAUUUUUGAUGUCUCUUCCAACAACUUCAGCGGCCCAAUUCCAAAAGCCUACAUUAAAAAAUUUGAAGCCAUGAAGAACGUUGUUCUAGAUGCCUAUAGCCAAUACAUAGAAGUUCCUUUUAAUUUAUUUUAUGGACCCAACGACAGACCCAACGACAGACCCAACUACGCUGAUUCUGUGACUAUAACAACAAAAGCAAUUACUAUGACAAUGGUCAGAAUUCGAAAUGACUUUGUAAGCAUUGAUUUAUCGCAAAACAGAUUUGAAGGAGAGAUUCCAGGUGUCAUUGGGGAGCUUCAUUCACUCAGAGGACUCAACCUUUCCCAUAACAGACUUAUUGGUCCUAUUCCCCAAUCCAUGGGAAAUUUGAGAAACUUAGAAUCAUUGGAUCUCUCCUCAAAUAUGCUCACUGGUCGGAUACCUACAGAAUUAAGCAAUUUGAACUUUCUUGAAGUCCUAAAUCUUUCCAAUAACCAUCUUGUGGGAGAAAUACCUCAAGGAAAACAGUUCGGUACUUUUUCCAAUGAUUCCUAUGAGGGAAACUCUGGGUUAUGUGGACUCCCACUGACAAUCAAAUGCAGCAAGGACCCUGAACAACAUUCUCCACCUUCAACUACCUUCAGGAAAGAAGGAGGAUUUGGAUUUGGUUGGAAAGCAGUGGCUAUAGGAUAUGGAUGUGGAAUGGUCUUUGGAGUGGGAAUGGGAUGUUGUGUAUUGUUAAUAGGAAAGCCUCAAUGGCUUGUGAGAAUGGUUGGAGGUAAACUCAAUAAAAAGGUGAAAAGGAAGACAAGAAUGAGAUCUAAUGAAAAUGGUAGCAGAAUGAAUUAGUUGAUAUAUGGCAUGACUGGAGAAUGUCUUGUUACAUACCUGCCACCUUUGAAAACAAAACUUAAGGGCAAGAACUUGAUCACACUGCAUUGCAUGGGAGAUCUGGUUCAAAGUUUUGCUGUAAUAUGAAUGUGUUGUACUUUUGCUUUUUUGUGUGUUCUUUUUCGUUUGUUGUGUAGAAGAGUGCGAUGUAUUGAGUUGCAGUUUUCAUUUAUUUAAUACGUAUAACUGUGGCAUUAAUUGGUUGUAUAAUAAUAGAUGUUGUAUAUUUUUAAAAAUGCUAUGUAUUGGCCAAUGCUAAAAUAUUUUGUAUCUGAAUUCACGGUUUUAGCUUCUAUUGUAGUCUAUUUAAUUAAUUUUCUAACUAUUUAACCAGCGUGACAUGGCUUUAGAAGCUGAGGUCCAAGGGGCGUAAGUAUAAGAGCACAAACAAUGCAUACUAAAGGAAGGCUAUGGGUAUAGCCUAGGCCUCAUGGUCCGUAGGAUAUCACAGAUUCAUUUUUUAUUAAGUAAUUUUUCCCAAAUUAGAAUAAUUUGAAAUAAAAGUAGCAUUACUAAAAUCAGUUAUAAUUAAAUCUAAACUUUUUCUUUUUCAAUUACUAUUACGAUAAAUUGGCAGUGGUACGUGCUGUAAAUAUUACAUCUACUUAUAAUGUCAGCACCCAAAAAUUAUUUUUAUAAUGUAAAAUUUACAUUGUCAUUAAUUUGCUUUAUUAAUUUUUAUUAUAACUAUUUAAAAUUUAUAUUAUUAUCAUAAAAUCCGUAUCGAUAAUUUUUAAUUAAGCACAAAUUUUUUUAAUUUUAGUAAAUAUUAAAAAAUAUAUAAUAUAAUGUUAGUUUUUUUCAAAAAAAAAAACAACAUUAUCAUUAAAUAAAUCAGUGUGCGCGCUGUACAAUAAUUCACUUUUAUCAUUGAAAAUAAAAAUAAAAACUGUUAUUCAAAAUAAAAUAUGCAUUAGUGACUAUUAUAAUAAUUAUCUUAAUGAUUAAAUAUAUUUUUAUCUUUAAUAAAUAAUUUUUUUUCUCCCUAAUAAAUAUUUGUUUUUUUACUAUCUUAUUAAAUAAUAAUUUUGUUUUUUGUCCUAGAUAUUUUGUUGUAAUCCCUAAUGAAUUAACAAAUUUUUGUUUACUUCCUUUUAAAUUAACGAAUUUUUCUUUGUCCGACUAAUAAUAAAUAAAAAAUUAUCAAAAAAUAAGCACACAAUUUAUGCCAUGAAAUAAUUAUAUCAUGCAUGAAAUAAUUAUUAAUCAUGCAUGAAAUAUUAUCAAAUAAUAAAUUAUAUCAUGCAUGAAAUAAUUAUUAAUCUAUAUCAUUUGGGUGAAAAAUUUCCCAAGUAGUCCAAUACAAAUAAUAAAUAAACUAAACCAACACUUUCCUAAAUUGAAAUAAGAUCAAUAUCCAAUCCAAACAAUAAUCAAACUAAAGUACCUAUUUCUGACGUAGAAAAGGAGAUUUCAAAUAAUUAUAAAAUCCUAAAUUUGGCAAUAAAAAUUAAACUAAAAUAAAAUAAAAUUUCAAAUUUGGCAAUAACACAUUAUCUAAUAAUGACCUCCAAACUAUUAACUCAAUCACCGGUGGCUUCUCUUCCUCAAUUUGCAAUGCAAGUGCAAUUUCUGGGCCACACCAGCUUGCUGCAAACUACUUGGGAGGCACACAAAAGGCUAAGAAUGCUGUUUUCUGAACCUUUAUCAAUUGAUGGUCUGAACAAAUAUUUUCCAUUUCAUAAAUACUCGGGCAAUGGAUACAGUAGAUCAAUGGCUAGGAAGGAAAGUCCUGGUUCUUGAAGAGGCUUCUAAUUUGAGUUCCAAUAAGUUUUCAGACAAUAAAAUUUUCCAUAUUUAGUUAUGCAUCUUAUUUGAUAAUAAUCAGUAUUUGAAAUAUUAAAUAUAACAGUUUACUCUAAAAGUGAUUGAACACAUGAUCAUGAGUUUAGAGCCUUCUUUGGAAGAACAAGAAAAGUUUGGUCAAAGUUUAAGAUUAUUUCUUCCACAUUUGCUUCAUUGCCUUUUAAACUUUCAGAGACAUAAUUUUCAUCGCAGUAUCAAGGUAACAAAGCAAUACACGACUAACCACACAUGACACACCACUAAACAGGCUGGGUUCACUGAUUUAAUUAUGAGGAUCACUGAAUUCUCCUUUCCUCGGAUACAUAUGUUAUGCAUGUAUGCAUGCUCCGGGAUAUUAUGCACUACACGUUGGAUUCUAUAAUGUUUUAAAGAGAAAACUGCCAAGACAUUAAACAAGAUUUCUUAGAACCCUUAGAAUUAGAUAUGAAAAAUAGAAGAGAAGACGGAGAAGAAGAUACAUAAUUGAAGGACAAUAUAUUAACUCUGCUGGUUGCAGGCCAUGAUACCACAAUUAUUCUCAUACAUAGCUCAUCAAAUUUCUUGAUGAAAAUCCAACUGUUCUGGAACAAUUGAGAGUAAAUAUUAAGAACCUAUAAUGUUUAUCCUUUACAUGGUUGAAGAUUGUAAAAACAAGCUUCAUGAAUGCUGAUGUUUUUGUAGGAGGUGCACAAACAAAUUGUUGCAAACAGAAGGAGUCGAAAAAUAUUACAGUGUUUGAAGUUAAUAGCAUUUCCCUUUAUCUGCGGCGACGCUUGUUCCUAACUGAAUAUUUGGGUGCUUUGGUUUGUCUCUGAAACGAGCUCUAUGUUUGUUUCUGAGCAACGGCUUUCCUUUGUCUCUGAGCUUUUAGGUUCGAAGCAUAUUUCACUUUCAGCCUUACCCUCGAGGCGUAUUUUUGCAGCGUAGUUGAGGUCACGAGUGCAUUCGAAUUUUAAGAAUAGGGUUCAUGACUUCAUGUAUGUGCACUGGACCAUCCUGUACACUAGGGAUUGCUAGUGGGAAAUGUAUUAGCAUGGAUAUUCUUUUACUUGUUUUGGAACUGAUAUAACAGGCUUUGGUUCUUGAACGUGUAAUGUUCAUAAACAUCUUAAGUUAAGGUCUGAUUUGAGCAUUUGAGGUUGUAACAUGUAUGCUUUAAUGGAACAAGAUGUAAAAAAGUCGAAUUGAACCUUGGUGGUAAAAUCAAAAUCACACCUCCUCCACCUAGAGGUACAUCACUUAGCAAUACAACACUUAGCGUGCUAGCACUUCAUGUCUAGCAAGAGGAGUGAUAGCUUUGUAACUAAUAACAUUUUUUAGUUAAUUACUAGAUAUAUUCCUGACAAUAUUAAUGGCAUCAACGUCCAAUGAUGGACUAUUGUUGAACAAUGGGUUUUCUCCCGCAAGGCUGCAACUUAUAAUUAAAUACUCAUUUUAAACUAUUUUUCUGAGAAUUUUAAGAUUGUUACGAGCUUGUCUGAGUUUAGGGAUCAAUGGCUGUUAUGGAGUUCAAUAAUUUUAGGGCUCAUCAACCUCAUCUUACUUGAAAAUAAAUUACGUAAUUAAACGAGCCACCCUAAGAAUUUAAAUUAUCUGGAGGGCUAAAAUAAGGAACAUUGUCAAUACUGGGUGAAGAUAAUACACCCAUUCUGAUCGACUCUUCUCAUCAACCCAACGGAGACUGAGUUUGCAGUCAGUGUCAAGAAAACCUCAUUGCUGAUUUGCAGUAUUUUAUAAUAAAUCACAAUUAGAGUAUCACAGUUGUAGACUUGCAGUCAACAUUAAAAACAAAUAUAUAAAGGUUGUCUAUCUUAACAUUAACAUAUCUUCUUAAUUAUGUUUGCGUUUGCUUACUUUUUGUUUUGGUUUUUAAUUUCAACUUGGUUUUCUCGUUUAAGGUGUUCUAAUUUGCAUACUUAGUUAAGAAAAGGCGAUGUAAUUGAAGGAGUAUAGUAAUUUUCUAUUUUUUUCCGUAGGAUAUCGCAUUUGUUUUUUUCAAAGUUCGAGUAAUUCAACUAUAUAAAAUAUUUUUAUAACACAUCAUGAACAUCUAAUCUUAUUGGAAACGAUAUUAAUGAAUGAAAAGAUAAACAUUUAUUUUAAACCUUAUACAUCAUUCAAAUAAUUAUUUCAUGUAUCAUGUUUAAAAGUUCCUAAUUUUUAAUUAUAGUCUCUUCUUCUAAAAUAUAAAGACAUGUACACCAAUUAACAAAGUUUAUGUUGUUUACAUCUUUCUUUUAAAAAAAUGUUGUUUACGACUUAUUUUUCACGUUAAUUAUUAUCAUACUCUCUUUUUUCGAAACAAAAUUGAUAAUCAUAUUUUCUUAUAAAAUUUAAUUAUAACAUUUAAUUUUAUUCUCGUGUUCAACAACCACGUUAGUUACACUUACAACUCAUCCACAAUAUCCUAACAAUGUCCAACUCCUAAAUUGUGACAAAUAUAAGAUUUCUAAUUUAUAAAUAUUUUAAUUUGUAAAUUAAAAUUUUGACAAAUUUUAAUUUAAAAAUAUUUUUUAAAACAAUAUAAUUUUGAAAAAAUAUGUUAAUUAAUUUUAUGGAUGAAAAAAAGAGGAUAUCCCGUGAAGUUGAAGACAAUACAAUUGAAAUGGCAAUACUGAAUAGUGAGCACAAUCUGGGUAGCGUUAUGAUAGGGUUAGAAAUGAAAUGAAAUGACAGCACUGAGGAUGACCUAGCUGUAGCGUUAUGAAAGGGUUUAGAAAAUGGAUGUUUGCGUGAAGCAUGGAAGGAAGCACAUCAUAAAAAUCAAAAUAAAAUAAAACUGCAACACUCCAUUGUUUUCAAAAGUCAUAUUUCAUUUACAUGAGAGUUAAAGAAAUUCAUCAAAUCUCUACCAUUCUUUUAUUAUAUAAAAUUUAAAUUAUUGUCAUAUUUUUACUUAAUAUUUAAUUCCAUCCACUCCACUACUUGCUAAAACUGACCAUAUCCUCAUCCGAUUCACUCAAGGUUUACAAAAUUGGCUCCAUCAUGUUAUUUCAUUUCUAGUUGGUAUUUUAAAGGGGAAAAAUGUUAAAUAAAGAUAUGAACUACAAAAAUCAAAUAAAUCAUGUUUUCCUGAAAAGAGACUUCCAGGUCAAUUAACAAAAUGGCGUGAUGAGAGGAUUGGAAAAUAAAUCAUAUCUAAUUGGAAACGAUAUUAAUGGAUCAAAAGAUAAACAUUUCUUUUUAAACUUUAUACAUCAUUCACAUACUUAUUUCAUCUAUCAUGUCUACCAUUUUCUAAUUUUAAUUUAUAUUUCCUUCUUCGUAAAUAUAAAGACAUGUACACCAAUUAACAAACUUCAAAUUGUUUACAACUUCCUUUAAAAAAAUGUUGAUUACAACUUAUUUUCCACAUUAAUCAAUUAUUGCCUUAAUCUUUUUUUUCAAACAUAACUUAUAAUCAAUUUUUCAUAUAAAAAUUAAUUCUAACAUUUAAUUUUAUUCUGAAGGUUAAUUAAACAACCACAUUAAAAACACUUACAACUCAUGCGCCAUAUCGUAACAAUGUCCAACUCCUAAAUUGUGACAAAUAUAAGUUUUCUAACUUAUAAAUAUUUUAAUAUGUAAAUUAAAAUUUUGAUAAAUAUUAAUUUAAAAAUAAUUUGUUUAAAUAAUAUAAUUUUGAAAAGGAUGUUAAUUUUAUACAUAUGCUUUCAACAAAUAUUUUAUAAUUACGUAUUCUUUUUAAUUUAAUAUAAUAUUUAUUUUUAAAUAUUUCUAACAUCUUGAAAUUAUAUCAUAUAGAAUUAUUAAUUUACAAAUAAUUCUAUAAAUGAUAUAAUUUUGACAAAUGCAUUUUUUUAUGUAUAAUUUCAAAAAAUAUUUUAUAAUUUAAAUUUUUAUAGUUUAAGGUAAUAUUUAUAUUUUAAAUAUUUUUCUCCGAAUUAUAUCUAUCAUAAACAAUUAUUUCUAGCGUUAUUUCAAAAUAAAUUUUGGGGAGCAAUUGCAUAAAGUAAGGCAAAUGUUUUAGCUUGACAAUUGAAAAAAAAUGCAUAAAAAAAGGAUAUCCAUUUUUGAAAUAAAAUAAAUUUAUUUAAUUAAAUUAUAAUAUAUUUUAUUUUUGAAAGUGAAGGAAACACGUCAUAAAAAACAAAACAAAAUAAAGCUACAAACCUCCAUUGUUUUUAAAACUCAUAAAUCCAUAUACCUGAAUAGGGUUAAACAAAUUCUUCAAAAUCUCUAUCAUUCUUUUAUAGUAUCAAAUUUAAAUUAUUUUCCUAUUUUUAAGAUGACAAAUUGUUUCUGUAAAAAAGUUAAUAAAUUAUUAAGAAUAAAUUCAAAUAUAUAUAUAUAUAUAUAUAUAUAAUUAUAACCAAAAACUUAAAAUAUUUGUUAUUAACAAAUCAUAUGAAAGAAAAUUAAUUCAAUGAGCUAGUUCACACGCUAGUUCUGACAAGCACACCCUAUCUCUUCCUUAAAAAAAAAUUUUGUUUAAAUCGUUUAGAUUUAAAUAGGUACGUUUUUUAAUUUUGGUUUUUGCCCCUUUUAAAUUAUUGUUAACUUUUUGCUCCCAAAUAAAUAAAUUUUGUAUUUUAUUUUUUGACUUUGGAUUUAUUUAGAUAGGGCUUUAGAAAAUGGAAUAAAAUUAUUUUGAUAGUUAUUUAGGAAAAGAACAAAAGAAAAAUUUAUUACAAACCAAAAAGUUAACAAAAAUUUAUUAGGAAUAAAAAAAAAACAAAAUUUGAUGAUUUAUCAACAACUAAAUACAUAUUUAAAUAGUUUAUAACACAAAAGAACAUGAAAAAUCAACCAUUAUGCAAUUCUCUUUGAAUAAGAGUUAUAAUUUCCAUCUAGUACUUCUUUACUUGUGAAUAUUAAAAUUAUUAGAUGUAACAUUUUUAAAUUAAAUUUCAGAGAACAACUCAGUCCAUACACUAAGAUAUAUAGUGUUUUACCUUAACAGUUGAAAAAAUUCAUUAAGAAUUAACUAAGGAUUUGCCGUGAAGGUUUCAAUACAAUACAUGCAUGUGUAAUGUUAUUUCAUUUCUAGUUGGUAUUUUAAAGGGAAAACAUGGUUAAACAAAGAUAUGAAGUAGAAAAAUAAAAUAAAUCAUGUUUGCAGAAAAAAUGAGUUCCAAGUCAAGUCAAUUUAAAUUGCAAUUGCUGGGACAACUUUGAUAGCGUGUAAAAAGAUCAUAAGAUUUAUGGUCAAUUUGCGUGAGGUUUGGGCUGUUGAAGUCUUGAAGCUUAAUUUAGCCACAAAUUUUGCAUAUCAUCUUUUUAAUUUGACUAUAAAUAUUAAUGUUUGGUUGCUCAGUAUUAAUUUCAUGUAUAUUUUCCUUCCCUUAUAGUAAAGAGUAUUUGAGUAGAAAAUGGAAUCAUGGAUGUGGUGUUUCCUUCUCUGUUCCCAUUUGCUCAUCCUUUAUUUUUCACCCUCUCAUUCCUUAUGCCACCCCAUGACACCUCUGCCUUGCUCCACUUCAAAAACUCCUUCACUAUUUAUGAAGAUCCUUAUUAUUCUUAUUUUUGUGAUCAUGGUUAUUCAAAGACGACAACAUGGGAAAAUGGGAGAGAUUGUUGCUCUUGGGCUGGAGUCACCUGCCACCCCAUCUCAGGUCACGUCACUCAGCUCGACCUCAGCUGCAAUGGCCUUUACGGCAAUAUCCAUCCAAACAGUACGCUUUUCCAUCUUUCUCAUCUUCACUCACUCAACCUUGCUUUCAAUGAUUUUGAUGAAUCUAAUUUGUCAUCUCUCUUUGGUGGGUUUGAGAGCCUCACGCAUCUCAACUUGUCUUCUUCUGACUUUGAAGGGGAUAUUCCUUCCCAAAUCUCUCACCUUUCCAAAUUAGUCUCGCUUGAUCUCUCAUAUAAUAUAUUAAAGUGGAAGGAAGACACUUGGAAGAGAUUGCUCCAAAAUGCAACAGUUUUAAGGGUGAUUGUUUUGGAUGGAAAUGAUAUGUCUUCCAUUUCAAUCAGGACACUCGAUAUGUCUUCCUCUUUGGUUACUCUUAGUCUAAGACAGACUGGGCUAAGAGGAAACUUGACAGAUGGCAUUCUCUGUUUACCAAAUCUUCAACACUUGGAUCUUUCACUUAAUUGGGACCUUAAAGGUCAGCUUCCAGAAGUGAGUUGUAGAACAACUUCUCUUGAUUUCUUACAUCUUUCAUGUUGUGAUUUCCAAGGGUCAAUCCCUCCUUCUUUCUCCAACCUCAUACAUCUCACUUCCCUAUAUCUCUCACUUAACAACCUCAACGGUUCAAUCCCUCCCUUUUUCUCUAACUUUACACAUCUUACUUCCUUAGAUCUCUCAGAAAACAACCUCAACGGUUCAAUCCCUCCCUCUUUCUCCAACCUCAUACAUCUCACUUUCCUGGACCUCUCACAUAACAACCUCAACGGUUCAAUCCCUCCCUCUUUCUCCAACCUCAUACAUCUCACUUCCCUGGACCUUUCAGGUAACAACCUCAACGGUUCAAUCCCUCCCUUUUUCUCUAACUUCACACAUCUUACUUCCUUGGAUCUCUCAGAAAACAACCUCAACGGUUCAAUCCCUCCCUCUUUCUCCAACCUCAUACAUCUCACUUCCCUGGCCCUUUCACGUAACAACCUCAGUGGUCAAAUCCCAGAUGUCUUUCCUCAGUCAAACAGCUUUCACGAAUUGGAUUUGAGCGAUAACAAAAUAGAGGGUGAGCUGCCUUCAACACUUUCAAAUCUUCAACAUCUCAUUCACUUGGAUCUUUCAUAUAAUAAAUUGGAGGGCCCUCUGCCUAACAAUAUAACAGGGUUUUCAAACCUAACAUUCUUAUGGUUAUAUGAAAACUUACUGAAUGGGACAAUUCCUUCUUGGUGUUUAUCUUUGCCAUCUUUGGUGGGUUUAGAUCUAUCAGGAAACCAAUUCUCAGGGCAUAUUAGUGCAAUCUCAUCAUAUUCCUUGGAGAGAUUGAUUUUAUCCCACAACAAGUUACAAGGCAAUAUUCCAGAAUCAAUUUUUAGCCUUCUAAACCUUACUGACUUAGAUCUAUCAUCAAACAAUUUAAGUGGAUCUGUCAAAUUUCAUCAUUUCUCCAAGCUUCAAAAUUUGAAAGAACUUCAACUUUCACAGAAUGAUCAGUUAUCACUAAAUUUCAAAUCAAAUGUCAGUUAUAGUUUCUCCAAUUUAUUGAGUUUGGACUUAUCUUCUAUGGGUUUAACUGAAUUUCCAAAAUUAUCGGGAAAAGUCCCAAUCUUGGAAUCACUCUAUUUGUCCAAUAACAAACUUAAAGGUAGAGUGCCAAAUUGGUUCCAUGAAAUAUCGUUAUAUGAAUUGGACCUCUCUCAUAACCUAUUGACACAAUCAUUGGACCAAUUCUCGUGGAACCAACAACUCGGUUACCUUGAUCUUAGUUUUAACUCAAUCACUGGUGACUUCUCUUCCUCAAUUUGCAAUGCAAGUGCAAUUGAGAUUCUCAACUUGUCUCACAACAAGUUGACAGGAACCAUUCCACAAUGCCUUGCUAACUCAUCAUCCCUUCAAGUUUUGGAUCUACAACUGAACAAGCUUCAUGGCACUUUGCCAAGUACCUUUGCAAAGGACUGUUGGCUCAGAACUCUGGAUCUCAAUGGCAACCAAUUAUUAGAAGGUUUUUUGCCAGAAUCUUUGUCCAAUUGCAUUAAUCUGGAGGUUUUAGAUCUUGGAAACAAUCAAAUAAAGGAUGUGUUUCCCCAUUGGCUUCAAAUUCUACCAGAAUUGAAAGUAUUGGUUUUGCGAGCCAACAAGUUGUACGGUCCCAUUGCCGGUUUAAAGACCAAACACGGAUUCCCCAGUUUAGUCAUUUUUGAUGUCUCUUCCAACAACUUCAGCGGCCCAAUACCAAAAGCCUACAUUAAAACAUUUGAAGCGAUGAAGAACGUUGCUCUACAUGCCUAUAGCCAAUACAUGGAAGUUUCUGUAAAUGCUUCUUCUGGACCCAACUACACUGAUUCUGUGACUAUAACAACAAAAGCAAUUACUAUGACAAUGGACAGAAUUCGAAAUGACUUUGUAAGCAUUGAUUUAUCCCAAAACAGAUUUGAAGGAGAGAUUCCAAGUGUCAUUGGGGAACUUCAUUCACUCAGAGGGCUAAACCUUUCCCAUAACAGACUUAUUGGUCCUAUUCCCCAAUCCGUGGGAAAUUUGAGAAACUUAGAAUCGUUGGAUCUCUCCUCAAAUAUGCUUACUGGUGGGAUACCUACAGAAUUAAUCAAUUUGAACUUUCUUGAAGUCCUAAAUCUUUCCAAUAACAAUCUUGUGGGAGAAAUACCUCAAGGAAAACAGUUCGGUACUUUUUCCAAUGAUUCCUAUGAGGGAAACUCAGGGUUAUGUGGACUCCCACUGACAAUCAAAUGCAGCAAGGACCCUGAACAACAUUCUCCACCUUCAACUACCUUCAGGAGAGAAGGAGGAUUUGGAUUUGGUUGGAAACCAGUGGCUAUAGGAUAUGGAUGUGGAAUGGUCUUUGGAGUUGGAAUGGGAUGUUGUGUACUGUUAAUGGGAAAGCCUCAAUGGCUUGUGAGAAUGGUUGGAGGUCAACUAAAUAAAAAGGUGAAAAGGAAGACAAGGAUGAAAUCUAAUGAAAAUGGUAGCAUAAUGAAUUAGAUGAUAUGUGGCAUGACUGUAGAAUGUCUUCUUGCACACCUUCCUGUUGAAAUUCAAUUCUGCCUUGUUGAAAAUAAAACAUAAGGGCCAAAACCUUAUCACACUGCAUUGCAUAUGCAUGGGAGAUCUGUUUCAAAGUUUAGUUGUAAUUGUAAUAUGAUGUGUUGUACUUUUUUUUUUCUCUGUUGGAUAGAUGAGUGUGAUGUACUUUUUUCCCCUUCCUUUGCUACUGAAACUCGGGUCUAAAUCAUCAUAAGUUUGAUGUUCUUCAUUUUCCUUGAGCGGGCUAUUUUGUUUUAUUUAAUACAUAUAAUUGUAGUAUUGGUUAUAUAAUAAUAGUUGUUGUUGUAUACUCUUAAAAAUGUUCUGCAUUCGUCGUUGCUAGAAACAAAAUAUUUUGUGUUAACAGUAUGUAGUUAUAUUUCAUUCGAGGAGCUUAGUUCACGUACAGUAGUUUUCCUAUUUCGUUUCUAACUCCCUCAUGCACAUAUUGUCUUACAUGGCAAUUCUAUGACUGGAUGACCAUAUAAAAAAACUUGACACAGAUAUGGAAAGAUUUUCAAGAGCUGUCCUGAGGAGGUUCAUUGUCUUGAUGACUAGGAUGGGAUUGAGUUUGAAUCUGUUUUAUACUAGCCAGCAAUUUCUAGGCCACACCAACCUGCUGCAAAGUACUUGGGAGGCACACAAAAGACUAAGAAUGCUGUUUUCUGAACCUUUAUCAAUUGAUGGCCUGAAAAAAUAUUUUUCAUUUCAUAAAUACUCAGGCAAUGGAAACAUUAGAUAAAUGCCUAGGAAGGAAAGUGUUAGAAUUAAUGUCUCAUGUGAGAGGUAUAUGACUUAGUAGGGACUAAUAAAUAAAUAAUUAACGAUUAAAGGCUAAAUUGUAAUUGGGCUUAAUAGGAGAAGUUUCUAGGUUAACUGCUACUUGAUGGGAGUAGUGGUUAUAAAAGGGGCUUAAUACCCACUAACGUGAAAUAAGGUCCCCUUCCUGACCAAAAAGUGCUCUUUUCUCACCCAUAGCCAUCACGAACGGAGAGAGACAGAAAAGAAAGGUCAAAGGAAGUGAAAUCCUAUUUCUCUCAUCUUCAAAGAAAUCAAAGUGCACCAGAGAGAAGUUCCUAUGGAGAAAGGUACACAUCAUUAUCUAUUAUUCUUUAUUGAUUGUUUGUGAGAAUCAUAGGUUUCAAGAUCCUGUUGGUUUUCUAUAAUUGAUAGUCUAGGAAACCCCUUAAGAAUUUUUACAUGUGGUAUCAGAGCAUGUGUUAUGAAAUUUAUGAUUCUCCAAGAAUGAUUUAAUUUCUCCCAAUUAUGUAUGAACCCUAAUUAUGAAAUUUAGGGAUAAUUUAAUUUCUCUCAAUUAUGUAUGAACCCUAAUUAUGAAAUUUAGGGAUAAUUUAAUUUCUCCCAAUUAUGCAUAAAUCCUAAUUAUGAAAUUUAGGAAUUUUAUUUUCCGCUGCAUUUAUUGUUUUAUUGGUAAUAUUUUAUUAUUGUUGAAUACCAAUUUUUGGAGAAAGUAUAAAUAUUAUGUAAAUUUGGAGAAAACGAUUGUGGCUGCCACUAUCUAUUUAUAAUGGAAAAAGAAAGCGUGAGUUGCAAUUCCAAUUCAUGGAAAAGCUAUGGCUGCUACACGUAGGUUAGUAAGUGAAGGAAUUUUGAAAAGCUGCGCACUGCGCAGGUAUGUUUGUUCCUAUAAGAAAUUUUGGAAAUUGCUAUUUCCAACCUUAUGUUUGCUAUUUCCAAUCCCAUUUAAUUUUUUUUUUCUCCGAAAAAUUAUUGUUGAACGUGAUUAAAGGAUUGAAAAUUUAUGUUCUGUAAUUAAAUUAAUGUGAAUGUUUUGCAAUUAUUGAUAGUAGUAAAUAUAUGUAUAUGCUACAUAUUUGCUUGAACGUGUUGGAAUGUAAAAACACAAAUAAAUGCAAAUCUUAUUUUAUGGUCUGGAAUGAAAUUAAUAGAAUGACUAUGAAUUGUUAAUAGCAAUAAGUAUGUGCAGGCCAUACAUAUUUGGUUGGAAUUAAAUGUAUGUUGAAUUUGUUAGUCACCAAAGUGACCAAAUUUGUAAGAUUAUUUAAUUCCAAAUCAAUGAUUAUUUCAAUUAUACUUGGUUGGAAUUAAAUGUAUGUUGAAUUUGUUAGUCACCAAAGUGGCCAAAUUUGUAAGGUUAUUUAAUUCCAAAAUUAAUGAUUAUUUUGAUUACUCAUAGAAUAAUGGAUGCUAAAUUAUAUGGUUAUUGGUUUAUGGGUAAUUGAAAUUCAUUGUUAUAAGGCAUUUAUGGAUCGCUCAAAGGUUGAUUAGUUGUUCUUAUAAUUAAUGAAUAUAAUUGUAGACGAUUUGUGUGUAUCAUUAGUUUUAUUUAUAUGCCCAAAGGAAAUAGAUACUACUAAUUGGUGCAUAUUUAAUUGCCAAAUAAUGUUAAAAUUUUAUUAGUAUCAUUAUGUUUGUAUGUUGUGUGUUGAUGUAUCACCCAAAGGAGAACAUCAAUAUACAUUGACUGUUAUCUGAAUGAAUCAUAUGUGAUUGAGAGAUGGAAAUACCAUUGUUUCCACGUUUGAUCUUUAUUCCUAAGAUCACAUCCGCCUCCCCCAUAUCUUUCAUAUCAAACUUAGAAGACAAAAAUGCCUUAGUUUCAUCAACUUGAUCUUGGUCGGUACCAAAGAUCAACAUGUCGUCUACAUACAGACAAAUGAUAACUCCUUUGCCAUGAGUAUCAAACUUGCUGUAUAGACAUUUAUCUGCUUGGUUUAUAACAAAACCACUAGACAACACAACCUCAUCAAAUUUUUGAUGCCAUUGCUUAGGCGCUUGUUUCAAGCCAUAAAGAGAUUUCAUCAGUUUACACACCUUAUUUUCAUUUCCUGGCAUAACAAACCCUUCAGGUUGUUUCAUGUAUAUCUCUUCAUCCAAUUCACCAUUUAAGAAUGCAGUUUUCACAUCCAUUUGGUGAAUCAUCAGAUUGUGGAUAGCAGCAAGUGCUAACAACAGUCUAAUAGUGGAUAUCCUAGCUACAGGAGCAUAUGUAUCGAAAAAAUCAAUACCCUUCUUUUGCCUAAAGCCUUGGAUAACCAAUCUGGCUUUGUACUUGUCAACAGUACCAUCCACUUUCAUCUUUCUCCUAAAGAUCAUCUUACAUCCUAAUGGCUUACAUCCAGGAGGUAAGUCAACCAAUUUCCAUGUAUUAUUUUGCAUGAUGGAAUCCAUCUCACUUUGGAUUACUUCUUUCCAGAAUACAGCAUCCCUUGAAGCCAUUGCUUCACUAAAAGUCUUUGGGUCUUCCUCAACAUUAAGGCAAUAUUGAUAUUGAAAUUCAAUAUCAUUCCUUGACCCUUCAACCAAAUAGAGUUGAAAGUCAUCACCAAAUGACUUAGCUUUUCUUACUCUCGUACUCUUUCUAGUUUCAGUACUAGUUAAAGGUAUAUCCUCAAUAUUAACUGAGACUUUCGACAUGGAAUUCAUGUCCUUUGGCCUAGGUAUAGAUGUAAACCUUUGUUCAUGGGAAAAUGGGACAGAUUGUUGCUCUUGGGCUGGAGUCACCUGCCACCCCAUCUCAGGUCACGUCACUCAGCUCAACCUCAGCUGCAAUGGCCUUUACGGCAAUAUCCAUCCAAACAGUACGCUUUUUCAUCUUUCUCAUCUUCACUCACUCAACCUUGCUUUCAAUGAUUUUGAUGAAUCUCAUUUGUCAUCUCUCUUUGGUGGGUUUGUGAGCCUCACUCAUCUCAACUUGUCUAAUUCGUACUUUGAAGGGGAUAUUCCUUCCCAAAUCUCUCACCUUUCCAAAUUAGUCUCACUUGAUCUCUCAGAUAACAACCUCAACGGUUCAAUCCCAUCCUCACUCUUAACCCUCACACAUCUUACUUUCUUGGAUCUCUCAUAUAACCAACUCAGUGGUCAAAUCCCAGAUGUCUUUCCUCAGUCAAACAGCUUUCACGAAUUGCAUUUGAAUGAUAACAAAAUAGAGGGUGAGCUGCCAUCAACACUUUCAAAUCUUCAACAUCUCAUUCUCUUGGAUCUUUCAGAUAAUAAAUUGGAGGGCCCUCUGCCUAACAAUAUAACAGGGUUUUCAAACCUAACAUCGUUAAGGUUAAAUGGAAACUUACUGAAUGGGACAAUUCCUUCUUGGUGUUUAUCUUUGCCAUCUUUGAAGCAGUUAGAUCUAUCAGGAAACCAACUCUCUGGGCAUAUUAGUGCAAUCUCAUCAUAUUCCUUGGAGACAUUGUCUUUAUCCCACAACAAGUUACAAGGCAAUAUUCCAGAAUCAAUUUUUAGCCUUCUAAACCUUUAUUACUUAGGUCUAUCAUCAAACAAUCUAAGUGGAUCUGUCAAAUUUCAUCGUUUCUCCAAGCUUCAAUAUUUGGAAGAACUUCACCUUUCAUGGAAUGAUCAGUUAUCACUAAAUUUCGAAUCCAAUGUCAAUUAUAAUUUCUCUAAUUUAAGGUUGUUGAACUUAUCUUCUAUGGUUUUAACUGAAUUUCCAAAAUUAUCGGGAAAAGUCCCAAUUUUAGAAUCACUCUAUUUGUCCAAUAACAAACUUAAAGGUAGAGUGCCACAUUGGUUGCAUGAAAUAUCGUUAUCUGAAUUGGACCUCUCUCAUAACCUAUUGACACAAUCAUUGCACCAAUUCUCGUGGAACCAACAACUCGGUUCCCUUGAUCUUAGUUUUAACUCAAUCACUGGUGACUUCUCUUCCUCAAUUUGCAAUGCAAGUGCAAUUGAGAUUCUCAACUUGUCUCACAACAAGUUGACAGGAACCAUUCCACAAUGCCUUGCAAACUCAUCAUCCCUUCUAGUUUUGGAUCUACAACUGAACAAGCUUCAUGGCACUUUGCCAAGUAUCUUUUCAAAGGACUGUCAGCUCAGAACUCUGGAUCUCAAUGGCAACCAAUUAUUAGAAGGUCUUUUGCCAGAAUCUAUAUCCAAUUGCAUUCAUCUGGAGGUUUUAGAUCUUGGAAACAAUCAAAUAAAGGAUGUGUUUCCCCAUUGGCUUCAAACUCUACCAGAAUUGAAAGUAUUGGUUUUGCGAGCCAACAAGUUGUACGGUCCCAUUGCCGGUUUAAAGAUCAAGGAUGGAUUCCCCAGUUUAGUCAUCUUUGAUGUCUCUUCCAACAACUUCAGCGGCCCAAUACCAAAAGCCUACAUACAAAAAUUUGAAGCGAUGAAGAACGUUGUUAUAGAUACCGAUCUGCAGUACAUGGAAAUUUCUUUUUCUUAUGGUGGAAACAAGUACAGUGAUUCUGUGACUAUAACAACAAAAGCAAUUACUAUGACAAUGGAUAGAAUUCGAAAUGACUUUGUAAGCAUUGAUUUAUCGCAAAACGGAUUUGAAGGAGAGAUUCCAAAUGCCAUUGGAGAGCUUCAUUCACUCAGAGGACUCAACCUUUCCCAUAACAGACUUAUUGGUCCUAUUCCCCAAUCCAUGGGAAAUUUGACAAACUUAGAAUCAUUGGAUCUCUCCUCAAAUAUGCUCACUGGUCGGAUACCUACAGAAUUAACCAAUUUGAACUUUCUUGAAGUGCUAAAUCUUUCCAAUAACCAUCUUGCGGGAGAAAUACCUCGAGGACAACAGUUCAAUACUUUUUCCAAUGAUUCCUACAAGGGAAACUUGGGGUUAUGUGGACUCCCAUUGACAACAGAAUGCAGCAAGGGCCCUGAACAACAUUCUCCACCUUCAACUACCUUGAGGAGAGAAGCAGGAUUUGGAUUUGGUUGGAAACCAGUGGCUAUAGGAUAUGGAUGUGGAGUGGUCUUUGGAGUGGGAAUGGG